CCUAGUAGGUUCUUAGAGUUCUUCACCCAUCAUGGCAGCCGGUAGAGAGGGAGAGAAAAAAAAAAGAGGGAGCCAAGCCAGCCGCUUAGGUCAAGUAAAAUGCGCGCCGAGAUUCCCCGGUUUCAGAAUUUUCGUGGGGAUUCUCUCCGCUUUUCUUGCCUAAGCAAAACCCGACCCCGCCUAGUAGGUUCUUAGAGUUCUUCACUCAGCAUGGCAGCCUGUAGAGAGGGAGAGAGAAAAAAAAGAGGGAGCCAAGCCAGCCGCUUAGGUCAAGUAAAAUGCGUGCCGAGAUCCCCCGGUUUCAGAGUUUUCGUGGGGAUCCUCUCCGCUUUUCUUGCCUAAGCAAAACCCGACCCCGCCUAGUAGGUCCUUUUAGUUCUUCACCUAGCACGGCAGCCGGUAGAGAGGGAGGGAGAAAAAAAAGAGGGAGUCAAGCCAGCUGCUUAGGUAAAGUAAAAUGCGCGUCGAGAUUGCCUGGUAUCAGAGCUUGCAUGGGCAACCUCUCCGCUUUUGAUGGAAUUUGAUGAAAUGCUUAUGUCGAAAGUAGGUAUUUCUCUACAGAGUCCUAAUGGUCAUAGAAAUUUAUUAUGUUUUGUAUUUAUUUUACUUUGUUGUCAAGAAUCAACUUCUUUUCUGAUUUGUAUGUUUAUGUAUAUGUUGCAUCUCUGUCUUGUUAUCAUGUUGUAUUUCAUUGUACUCAAUAGUCUGAUUUGCAUUUUUUAUUUGUGUUAAUAAGUGUUCGUGUAAUUGCAAUUUUGUUCUUGAAGAUAUUUUGCUUGAAUCAAGUUAGUUCUCUCUAUAAGGAUCAUUUUCUUGUAAGGUUAUAACUUCUUGUCCAAUUUUUCCAACUCACAUUUCAACUUGUAACAGGUGAAUCUCUUCCAAAUAAGAGCUUAAAAAGAAAAAACAAUUGGAACCUUUAACCAUAAAAUCAAGGUACUGCAUCUUAUUUGCAAUGAAUUGCUAUAAUUUUGUAGAGACUCCACAAAUAAAAUACUAAAUUACCCAAACAGUUGGCAAACAGAGACAACACUCUGUAGAUCUUUAUUUAUAUAUAAAUGCCAAAAGAUACAGUAGAAGGAAAUAUAGAAGAAAGCAAUAAAGAUGAUAAUAUCAUGUCAAACCUCCCCAGGAAAAGAUAGUAGUCCUUCCUAGACCUAGCAGCCUCUACAGACCAAAUGAAGACAAAAAGUUAACCUAGCCCCCAAUCCCGAUAAGGCCUUAUUUAUAGCUCUUUUCUCAUUCUUCCCCGUGGGCCCCACUCUCAUGUUCUUUUCCUAAUAUUCUCCCCUUUUCUGCUGCGUGAGCUUUUACGUUUUUACCCCUCCUUUUGUAUGUAUGGAUAAUAGGGGGCCUUACAAUACCCCUCGGUUCCAGGUUCACCUUGUCCUCAAGGUGAAAGUCAGGGAAUUGUUGGUUCAUUUGGAAAACAGAUUCCCAAGUUGUUUCACUGUCCGGCAGCCCUUUCCACUUAAGUAACCAUUCAUUUCCUCCCAAUUCCCGAUUCCAACGGACUCCCAACACUGUUUCCGGCCAUAAUUGUAACUCAAACUCUUCCGUUAGCCUAGGUUGCUGGUGUUGAACAGCUUGUUGACUACCCAGUUUCAGUUUUAACUGAGAAAUAUGGAACACAUUGUGGAUACUGGCUUCCGGCGGUAACAUCAAUCUGUACGCAACUGCUCCUAUUUCUUCAGUAAUUUUGUAGGGUCCGUAAUAUUUAGGUGCUAACUUUUCACACUUCUUCCGAGCCAAGGAGCGUUGCCGGUAAGGUCUCAAUUUCAAGUAGACUUCAUCUCCUACCUUAAAUUUUAACUCUCUUCUAUUUCGAUCAGCCAUUUUCUUCAUCCUGUUCUAGGCUACACACAGGUGUUCUUUUAAGGCAUUGAUGGCUAAGUCACGUUCCUUCAGCAGCGUGUCAACCUCAUUAUUAGGAGUUUUCUUGUAACCAUAGGAUAACAGGGGAGGAGGCGGUCUGCGGUAUACCGUCUGGAAAGGGGUCAUUUUGGUGGAUGCAUGGAAGGUGGUAUUAUACCACAAUUCUGCCCAUGGAAUCAGUCUAUCCCAUUUUUUUGGUUGUUCAUUACAGAAGCAUCGCAGAUAAGUUUCGAGACAUCUAUUUACCCUUUCUGUCUGCCCAUCAGUUUGUGGGUGAAACACGGUACUCCUCUUUAGAAUAGUUCCCAUGGUUGCAAACAGUUCCUUCCAAAAAUUACUAAGAAAGAUUUUAUCCCGAUCUGUGAUAAUCGACUUAGGAAUGCCGUGCUUGCUUACUAUUCUGUCGAUGAAUAUGGAAGCAACUUGCUUGGCUGAAAACGGAUGUCUCAAUGAUAUAAAGUAAGAAUACUUACUCAGCCGAUCAACUACCACCAUGAUCACAUUAACCCCUCCAGCUAGUGGCAACCCCUCAAUAAAAGUCCAUGGUCCAAUCUUCUAAGAUUCUGUCAGGAAUUGGAAUUGGUUGAAGUACCCCAGCUGGUUUGGUUGCUUCGUAUUUGUUUCUCUGGCAGAUCUAGCAUUGUUCCACAUAUUUCUUUAUUUCAGCCUUCAUACCCCUCCAAUAUAGUUCUCCACUGAUCCUCUUGUAAGUUCUUAAAAAUCCAGAAUGUCCCCCGAGGAUAGAAUCGUGGAAAGUAUGUAGGAUCUUGGGUAUAAGUGUAGAAGUUUGAGAUACUACCAUUCUCCCCUUAUAGAGCAAUCUUCCUUUUUCCACUUGAAACUUGCUUCCUUCUUCUGCAUUUUUCUUCAGAUUUUCCAUAAUUUUCUUAAGUUCAGCAUCAUUCUCAACUUCCUGCUCGAUUAGUUUCACAUCAAUGAUUCCAGUAGUUGUCAAGCUGUGCAGCUCCACCAGUUGCUCCAUUCUAGAUAGGGCGUCCGCUGCCUUGUUCUGAUGUCCGGGUUGAUAUAAAAUCUCGAAAUCAUAUCCAAGGAGCUUUGUCAACCAUUUCUGGAAUUGGGGCUGUACCUCUCUCUGUCCAAGCAAGAAUUUAAGAGCCUUUUGAUCUGAAAGUAUGGUGAACUUCCUGCCCAGCAAAUAAUGCCUCCAUUUUUGAACUGAUAGAACUACAGCCAUCAACUCUCUUUCAUAGAUGGAUUUGUUUUGAGCCCUUGUGGAUAACUUCUGACUGAAAAAGGCAAUCGGGUGGCCAUUUUGAGAGAUCACCGCUCCUAACCCUACGCCAGAUGCAUCAGUUUCGAUAAUAAAGGGAAUGUUCCAAUCUGGUAAUGCCAACACUGGUAGAGUAGUCAUUGCUAGCUUCAAAUUUUCGAAGGCAGUAUUUGCUUCUUCAUUCCACUUAAAAGCAUUCUUCUGUAAUAACUUGGUUAGCGGUGCAGCGAUCUCUCCAUAACCCUUGACAAACCUCCUAUAAUAUCCUGUCAGUCCUAAGAAGCCCCGCAGACCAGAUAUAUUCGUUGGUGGUGGCCAAUUAAUCAUCUUCUUGAUCUUAUCCUCAUCUGCCUCAACUCCUCUUUUGGAUAUCAUAUGUCCCAAGUACUGUAUUUGAGAAUGGGCUAUAACGCAUUUUUUUUUGUUAGCAAACAGCUGGUUAUACUUCAAAACAUUGAAUACCAUGCCCAAAUGCUUUGCGUGUUCAUCUAUAUCCGCACUAUAAACCAGUAUAUCAUCAAAGAACACCAAAACACAGCGCCGAAGGAAAGGUUUAAAUACCUGGUUCAUCAAAGAUUGGAAGGUUGCCAGAGCAUUCGUGAGACCAAACGGCAUUACUAGAAACUCAUAGUGCCCUUCAUGUGUGCGGAACACAGUUUUCUCCACAUCUUCCUCUUUCAUUCUAAUCUGGUGAUAACCAGAUUUCAGAUCUAAUUUCGAGAAAACCGUUGCCCUAUUCAGCUCAUCUAAUAAUUCCUCUAUCACAGGAAUUGGGAACUUAUCCGAUACUGUCGCCUGAUUUAACUUGCGGUAAUCGACACAAAAUCUCCAUCCACCAUCUUUUUUCUUCACUAACAACACCGGGCUGGAGUAAGGGCUAUGACUAGGGCGAAUAACCCCUGCUUGAAGCAUCUCGACCACCAGUUUUUCUAUUUCUUCUUUCUGCACAUGACCGUAUUUGUAAGGUCUUACGUUGAUAGGUUUAUGGUCAGGUAGGGUUAAUAUUCGGUGAUCAUAGCUCUUUUUGGAGGUAAUUUCUUCGGUGUCUCAAAUAUCUCCGCAUAAUACUUGAGCAGGGAUCGGAUCAUAGAUAUUUCCUCCUCAUCUCCUUUUAAUCUUGUCCCCAGUUCAUAUUCAUUCUCUACUUCCAUCUCAUAAUUCUGGAAUUCUAAGAGGAAGCCUUGAUCUUCUAUAUGUAAGGAUUCAACUUGCUUACUUCACUAUUUCUCCCUUACAAUGGCCAAAAGCAGAGGUAGCCCUCUGCUAUCUUUAUUUAUAUAUAGCCAAAAUGAGUACAGAAAAACAUAAAGAUUCAAGAAAAACAAGGAAUAAUAAAGACAAACCCAGCUUCCUCUAGGGAAAGACUGGAUAUUCAUCUAGGCUAAGCAGCCGCCAACUUCAGGAUAAAAAUAAAACCUACCUCCCCUAGACCUAAAAAACCUAUUUAUAUUCCUUCUCUCAUCUUUCUCUUAUUUCUGUGCCUGGGCCCCACCUGCAGGAUCUCCUCCUCUUUUUCCUUCCUCAUUAUUAAUUUGUCCAGUAACUUUUCUGCCCCUCCUUUGAUAUGUAUGAAUAAUUGGAGGUCUUACAAUACCCCGGGGCUCCAAGUUCACCUUGUCCUCAAGGUGAAACUGAGGGAACUGCUGAUUCAAUAGGUAAACUGAUUCCCACGUUGCUUCACUGUCUGGUAAGUUCUUCCAUUUGAUCAGCCACUCAUUGCCUCCUAGCUCCUUGUUCCACCUUAUUCCCAGCACGUUUUCCGGCCACAAUUGUAGUUCAAAAUCCUCAGUUAGUAUAGGCUGUUGUUGCUGGAAUACAUGUUGUUUUCCCAACUUCAGUUUCAGUUGAGACACGUGAAAGACAUUGUGAAUGGCGGCCUCGGGCGGUAGUUGCAAUCGAUAAGCGACCUCUCCUAUCUCUUCAAUAACCUCAUACGGCCCAUAAAAUUUUGGGGAUAGCUUUUCACAUUUCUUCCGAGCUAGUGAUCUUUGUCGAUAGGGUCGUAGUUUCAAAUACACUUCAUCCCCAAUUUUGAAUUUGAGCUCCCUGCGGUUUCGGUCUGCCAUUUUCUUCAUUCUAUUUUGAGCUAUGCAUAGGUUUUCCUCCAGUGCAUUGAGUGCUAAAUCUCUCUCCUUCAACAUGACUUCUACGUCAUUGUUAGGAGAUUGCUUCCAUCCAUAUGACAGCAGUGGCGGGGGAGUUCUUCCAAAAACAGAUUGGUAAGGAGUAGUUUUGGUGGAUGCGUGGAAGGUUGUGUUAUACCAUAAUUCCGCCCAAGGGAUCAGUUUAUCCCAUUUCUUCGGUUGUUCAUUGCAAAAGCAUCUCAAAUAGGUCUCUAGGCAUCUGUUUACCCUCUCGGUUUGUCCAUCGGUUUGGGGAUGGAAUGCCGUGCUUCUCUUCAAAAUGGUGCCCAUGGUAGUGAACAACUCCUUCCAGAAAUUGCUAAGGAAGAUCUUAUCACGGUCGGUAAUAAUGGACUUGGGUAUUCCAUGUUUGCUGACCACUUUUUCCAAAAAAAUUGAAGCCACUUGCUUGGCUGUGUACGGGUGUUUCAGAGGCAAGAAGUAGGAGUACUUACUUAGGCGGUCGACGACUACCAUAAUCACGUUGUAACCUCCUGCUAUUGGCAGCCCUUCAAUAAAAUCCAUGGUCCAAUCCUCCAAUAUCUUGUCGGGGAUAGGAAUGGGUUGCAGAACUCCCGCAGGCUUAGUAGCUUCGAACUUAUUACGUUGACAAGUGUCACAUUCUUCUACAUAUCUCUUGAUAUCAGCCUUCAUUCCUUUCCAAAAUAGUUCCCCACUCAUUCUUUUAUAGGUUCUCAAGAAUCCCGAGUGCCCUCCUAAUAUGGAAUCAUGGAACGUGUGUAGAAGACUCGGAAUGAGGGAGGAAUUUCGUGGCAGCACCAUCCUUCCUUUAUAUAGCAGCCUGCCAUUGUUCCACUGGUAUUUCCCACCUUGAUCCACCUCUCCCUUAAGUUCGGCAAUAAUUUUCUGAAGUUCUUGAUCCAUUUCAACUUCCUUCUCUAUUAUCUCUAUAUCAACUAUGCCUGUGGUUGUCAUUGUAUUUAACUCCACCGAAUGGUCCUUCCUUGAGAGAGCAUCCGCCACCUUAUUCUGCAGACCCGGCUGGUAUAAGAUCUCAAAGUCAUACCCCAAAAGUUUUGUGAGCCACUUUUGGAAUUGAGGCUGAACUUCCCUCUGUUCUAACAGAAAUUUCAGAGCCUUCUGAUCUGAAACAAUUGUGAACUUUCUGCCCAGGAGAUAAUGUCUCCAUUUUUGCACCGAAAGGACAACCGCCAUCAAUUCCCUUUCAUAGAUCGACUUACCCUGGGCCCUUGGGGACAGUUUCUGGCUGAAGAAUGCGAUGGGAUGACCAUCUUGUGAUAAAACUGCACCUAAACCUACUCCUGAAGCAUCAGUUUCGAUUGUGAAGGGCUGAGACCAAUCCGGCAAUGCUAAUACCGGUAAGGUUGUCAUUGCUAGCUUCAGCUGGUCAAACGCUAUUGUAGCUUCCUCAUUCCAAUGGAAUGCAUUUUUCUGAAGUAAUUUGGUUAAGGGUGCAGCUAUUUCUCCAUAGCUUUUCACAAAUCUUCUAUAAUACCCAGUCAGUCCAAGGAAUCCCCUCAGCCCAGUUAUAUCUUUCGGCCGUGGCCAAUUUACCAUACUGCGAAUCUUGUCCUCAUCAGCCUCCACUCCUCUGCUGGAAAUCAGAUGACCCAAAUAUUGAACUUGGGAAUGAGCAAUGACACAUUUAGACCUAUUUGCAAACAAUUCAUGGUCCCUCAAGAUAGCAAAAACCAUUCCUAAAUGUUUCAUGUGUUCAUCUAUGUCCACACUAUAAACUAGAAUGUCAUAAAAAAAAACCAGGACACACCUUCGAAGGAAUGGUUUGAACACCUCGUUCAUGAGAGAUUGGAAGGUGGCAGGAGCAUUCGUAAGGCCGAAAGGCAUCACCAAGAACUCAUAAUGUCCUUCAUGCGUGUGGAAAGCUGUUUUCUCCACAUCUUCCUCCCUCAUCCUAAUCUGGUGGUAUCCAGAUUUAAGGUCUAACUUUGAGAAAGCUGUCGCACCAUGAAGUUCAUCUAAGAGUUCUUCGAUCACGGGAAUUGGAAAUUUAUCAGCCACCGUUACUUGAUUGAGUUUCCUGUAAUCUACACAAAAUCUCCACCCUCCAUCUUUAUUCUUCACUAAGAGGACCGGGCUCGAAUAUGGGCUGCGGCUUGGACGAAUCACCCCAGCUUGUAACAUUUCUAACACCAAUUUUUCAAUCUCUUCCUUUUGUACAUGGCCAUACUUAUAUGGUCUUACAUUAAUUGGUUUCUGAUCGGCCACGGUCAGAAUGCGAUGGUCUAUGGCUCUCCUUGGCGGUAAACCCGUGGGCAACCUAAAGACAUCUGCAUAUUGCUCGAGCAAUCGCUGAACCAUGGGUAAUCCUUCUUCCCUUCCCUUCAAUUCAGCUUCUGUUUCCGAUUCUCCUUCAUAGUUUACUUCAUAGUUUUGGAAUUCCAAGAGGAAUCCUUGGUCCCCGGAUUGCCACGUUUUCUCUAAGGUUCUCAAUGAACAUUCUGACUUCGUUAGAGAAGGGUCACCUUUUAGGAUUAUUCUUCUACCCUUCAUCCAAAACGUCAUGGUUAGGGAUGGCCAGUGAACCUUCAUGGUUCCUGUCGAAUCUAGCCAUUGCAUCCCAAGCACCAAGUCUACCGUUCCUAACUCUACCGCUAGGAAAUCUGCUACGAUUGUUAACUCUUUUAACUUCACCUUCACCCUCUUGCAAAUCCCACUUCCUUCACAUUGGUUGUCAUUCCCAAUGGUAACUCCAAAACGAGUUCCCGGAUCGAUGCUCAGCUGUAGUUCAUCUACCAACACUUAGCUGAUGAAGUUAUUGGUCGCCCCGCUGUCAAUCAGAAUAACUACUUCCCUUCCGUUCACAUGUCCUUUUAAUUUCAUCGUCCCCUUUGAUGUAACUCCCGUGAUCAACCUCAAUUCAAUAGGGUUAUCCAUAUUCAAUUCCAGAUGAUUCAGUUCUAUUACUUCGCUUGCCUCAUCCUCUGUAUCCUCUUCCCUUUUGUGGUCUUCUUCCUCAUUUAGUAUAAGGAGCAUCAACUCUCUUUUUUCUCUCCCUUUACAUCGAUGGCCUGGGGCGUACUUUUCAUUACAUCUGAAACAAAGCCCCUUAUCCAGCCUUGCUCUAAAUUCCGUAUCCGACAGCCGUUUAAUUGGGAGAUCUUUUUUCUGGUAAUCAUUUUUCAAUGGAAUAGUUACCUGCUUCAUCACAAACUCUGUCUUUUUACUUUCUGUCUUCUCAUUUUUUCCUUGAAAUUUGCUGCUGUUCUCAUUCCUUUUGGGCUCAACUAUAUCCAACUCUUCCAUCGCCAGUUUUAAUGCUAUAUUCCUAUCAUUCGCCAGCUGAGCUUCCUUCAUACAUUCCUCUAAAGUUUGAGGGUGUCUGCUGAUUACUUCCGCUUGCAGUGAGGGUUCCAGACCCGUUAAAAACGCAUCCAGCAGAACACUUUCUGCCAUGUCCGGGAGGGGGCUGAGUAUGUAACAAACUUCUUAACGUACUCGCUGUAUGAGACUUCUUGCUUAAUACGGAUUAAUCUUGCCCCCAAGCUCUGCUGUCCUGUAUCAUUAAAGAAAUCAAACAUCCUUUCCUUCAAGUCCUCCCAAGAUUCCACCCUCUUUCUACGAUUACUCCAUCUAAACCAGUCUACCUCUUCCUGUCCAAAACUCACGACUGCUACUUUGACCUUCUCAGCUUCCGGUAAGUCAUUUAUAUCAAAAAAAUGUUCUGCUCGGUACGCCCAGGAUUCAGGGUUCACCCCUGUAAACAGUGGCAUUUCUAAUUUUUUGUACUUACUUCGGUCUGCGCUGCUUCCACCCGACUCGACUGUGGUUCCGGCCUCUUCCAGUUUUCCCUUCAGUUUCAACCUGAUGUCGUCCGUAGUCCCUGCUUCUUCUUUUUUCUUAGCACCAUGGUUUUCUCUUAGCUCGCCUGUCAUUCGAUCCAUCGAUUUCUUCAUUUCCAGCAUCAUCUCCUUCAGACUCAUAAUUUCCUUUUCAGUACCUUCUACCCGAUCUUCUAUCUGUCUUUGAGCCAUCAGACGCGUGAUCACCCCCAGUGUGGAGGCUCUGAUACCAAUAUAUAAGGAUUCAACUUGCUUACUUCACUAUUUCUCCCUUACAAUGGCCAAAAACAAAGAUAGCCCUCUGCUAUCUUUAUUUAUAUAUAGCCAAAAUGAGUACAGAAAAACAUAAAGAUUCAAGAAAAACAAGGAAUAAUGAAGACAAACCCAGCUUCCUCUAGGGAAAGACUGGAUAUUCCUCUAGGCUAAGCAGCCGCCAACUUCAGGAUAAAAAUAAAACCUACCUCCCCUAGACCUAAAAAACCUAUUUAUAUUCCUUCUCUCAUCUUUCUCUUAUUUCUGUGCCUGGGCCCCACCUGCACGAUCUCCUCCUCUUUUUCCUUCCUCAUUAUUAAUUUGUCCAAUUACUUUUCUGCCCCUCCUUUGAUAUGUAUGAAUAAUUGGAGGUCUUACACUAUAUCCCACGUUUUUUCCAAUGUCUUCAAAGAACAUUCAGGUUUCACUAAGGAUGGAUCUCCUCUUAACACGAUUUGCUUGUCUUUUGCCCAAAAGGUCAUGGUUAAUGAUGGCCAAUGUACCUUCAUUGUGCCGGUGGUAUCUAGCCAUUGCAUCCCUAAAAUCACGUCAAUAUUUCCUAGUUCCACCACUAGAAAAUCAGUUAUAACUGUCAUUUCUUUCAAUCUCAGUUCCACCUUUCUGCAAAUACCUUUCCCUUUACAGCGGGUCCCGUCUCCAAUAGUCACUCCAAAUUGUGUACCGGGUUCAAUGUUCAACCCUCCUUCCAUUGCCACUGCUUCAUGGAUGAAGUUGUUCGUAGCUCCACUGUCGACGAGAAUCACCACCUCCCUUCCUUUUACAUGCCCCUUCAGUUUCAUUGUCCCUUUGGAUGUUAACCCCGUGAGUGUCUUCAAUUCAAUUUCGGUGGUUUCAGCAACAACUAACUGGUUCAGCUCCAUUACUUCUUCGGUCUCUUCCAUUUUGACUUCCUCCCCGCCACUCUCUUCUUCGUUAAGUAUAAAUAACAUUAAUUCCCUUUUCUCUCUCAUCUUGCAUCGGUGUCCCGGUGAGUACUUCUCACUGCAUCUAAAACACAAACCCUUGUCCAAUCUUGCUCUGAAUUCCGUGUCCAAGAGUCUUUUAACUGGAGGUUCAUUUUUCUGGUAGUUUCCUUUAAUGGGAAUAGUGACUUGCUUCAUGGGGAACUCAGUCUUCUUUGGUGAACUUUUAUCUUGACUGCUUUGUCCCUUGCUUGAGCCUCCUCCUUCCCUAGUCACACUGUUUACCCAUUCUGCCUUGGCUAAUUUCAAGGCUAGGUUUCUGCCACUUACCAGUUGUGCCUCCUUCAUACAUUCCUCUAAGGUUUGAGGAUGUCUACUAAUAACUUCUGCUUGAAGAGCCGGUUCUAGACCAGUCACGAAUGCAUCUAAGAGCACGCUUUCAGCCAUGUGCAGUAGUGGUGCAGAAUAUUGUACGAAUUUCUUGACAUGAUCAUUAUAGGAUCCAUCUUGUUCUAUUCGAAUCAGCCUUGCACCUAAGCUCUUCUGCCCAGAAUCUCGAAAAAAUUCAAACAUCCUUACCUUCAAAUCUUCCCAUCCUUCCACCUUCUUUCUAUGGUUACUCCAACGGUACCAAUCGAUUUCAUCUUGUCCGAAACUAACCACUGCUACUUUAGUAUGCCAUCCAAAUUAACUUUCUCCAUGGAUACUCUUCACCACUUUAGCCCAAAGGGAAUUCUUUUCAUUUAUAAAUCUCCAUCCCCAUUUAGCAAGAAGGUUGCAUUUUUUUAACGUUGCACCAUCGACGCCGAUUCCACCAUCCUCUUGCGAACAAGACACCACCUUCCAAUUAAUCACUUUAUGAAUCAUCUUUUCUGGCAUUAAGAAUAUAGACAUAUAGUGUGUAGGUAUAUGUGAAAAAACCGACUUACAAAGUGUGUCCCAACCUCCACUAAAGAGACAAUAUCUUUUCCACUUAUCUAGUUUAACUUGGAUUUUAUCUAUUUCUUGAAAUUACAUAAGGAGUAGAGAGAGGGCUCCAAGCCGAAGCAGUUAUGGAAAACAUCUCCAAUUUACAGCAAGUUAAAGCAAAAACAAAAAAAAAAAAACCGCAGUUCAAAAAAACUGGGCAUCUUGCUUCCUUCUAAUUGAAAGUUCUGCUGUUUCUGUCAAGUCAAAUUGACCACAAAAUGCUCAAAUGAGAUUCUUCAAUAGGAAUACAUAAAAAAAAAAAAUAUGUAAAAGAAUUUUCAAUGUUUAAUAUAAUAUGUAAAAUAAUUUUCUUAUAUUGGAAUUGGCAGAUGGCUGAGGGCCUUCGUGAAACGUGGGAGAGAAGCGAUAACAUUAUCGUUCAAAAAAUUCAGGAGUAAGUAUUUAUGUGAAAGGCCAUAUUCUUUGGCCAUUUGACCUUAUUUAUGAUUGAAUUAUUUGGAUGGAAAUGAUAAACUACACAUUAUUGUCUGCUUGAGUUGUGAUCUUGAUUAUGGGCUAUUUGGUAUUUUGCCUACAAACUGUAUAGUUAAUUAUCUGUUAGCUUUUGUUUUCCUGUCACAGCUUUAUGUUUCUGUGGCUAAUUGUAGCCAAAAGUUUUAUUUAUCGAUCUUAUUUUUCACAGCAUAAAUGAAACCGCGUUUCAAGCAUCAAAUGCUGCUACAUCAUUCAAGGAAAUUCGUCGUAGAGGUCCGUAAGUUUUUUCCUUUGGUGCUGUGAUACUAACCUGUUUGAAUAAAGGAAUCUGACUUGGUCUUUUCCUCUUUAACAUUAUGGAUUAGGUCUUUCUCUUUACCAAAUUUCGUAGCUGAACUUUAAGAAGCAAUCAAACCGGUGUUAACUUCUUAUAUAAAGGUUAGUGCUAACUGCUAAGCUUAUUUCUAAGAUGAAAGAUGCUUUUAUCCCCUCCCCAAAGAAUAUCAUUACUAUUUAUGUUGUAUAUCUGCUAACUAAUUCUUGCAUAGCAUCUGGUUUGAUAAAUAAAGUAAAGUUUCUGACAUGGAGGUUUUCAAGUUGGAAUAUAUAUUUAUGUUUUAGGUAGAUUCCCAAACUUUGAAGAAACGCUGCAGUACUGAGGUAAUUGAACGUUGUAAGGCAGAGCAUUGGGCUUACCGGAGCCAAGGUAUCUUCUUCGAUAACAAGUAAGGAUAGUCCUGAUACUACCUUUCUUUUGUUAUUGAAGUUUAUUGUUCCUUCUCUCUUGUUUGGUGGUUGUGCACCUAUAUUGAUUUGUACUUCUGUUAAUUAAUUAUAGUCCUUCUCUCUUGUUUGAGUAAUUAUUGUCUACCAUUUUGUUAGCAAAGGCUUCCCAUGGAAAUUUAGUUUGUUGUGCUGCAUGUCCAAGAUGAUUUUCGUGAUUUUAGUUUUAGAUACAUAAAAGGGAUUUUGCAUCACAACAUGAAUGACUAUUUCUAAAUAUGAACCUACAAUAACCCCAAAUGAAUACCGGAUUAAAUUGGAAACAGGGCAGAUAGAGAGUGAGAUGGAGAGUGUUUGUGUGUGCUUUAGAGUAGUUUUAAGCACAUUUUUUAGAUUUGUUUAACACUAAGUUUGUUUCACUUGCACAAUUGGUUGCCAUUUUAGGUCUCAAAGUGCAUUUUCACUCAUUUUGAACUUUUUGUUAGUUUGUGAGUUACGAACUUACACUUAAGCACUGUUAGGUCGUUUCAAACACAUUUUGUGUUUGUUUGGAACUAAGCUUGUUUAGACAUUUGAUUGACAUGUUGGGUCUCCAAGUGCUUUUUUCCACACUUUUUGAAAUUUUGGUAGGUUGUGAGUCACGAACUUACGCUUGAGUAUUGUUUGGUCCGUUUGAAAGCUUAGACACAUUUUGAACUCUUUUUAAGAUAACUUGAAACUAAGUUCAUUGCACUUACAUACUUCGUUGCCGUUUUGGGUCUCGAAGUACCUUUUUCACACUUUUUGAAAUUUUGGUAGGUUGUGAGUUACAAACUUACCCUUAAGCAUUGUUUGGUUGUUUUGAAAAUUCAAGUGAUAGUUACACACGUUUUGAAUACAUUUUAGGUUAGAUUGAGUUUGUUGCACUUGGUUGUCAUUUUUGGUCUUGAAAUGCUUUUUUCAAACUUUUUGGUAGAUUAUGAGUUACGAACUUACACUUAGGAUUUGCUAAAUCGUUUUGAAAACUCAAGUAAUACAUAGACACGUUUUGAGCACGUUUUAGGUUGGUUUGAACUAAGUUUGUUGCACUUACACACUUGGUUGCCAUUUUGGGGAUUGUAGUGCUUUUUUCACAAUAUUUGAACUUUUUUCGUAGGUUAUGAGUUACGAUCCUACACGUAAGCUGUUUUAGGACAUUUUGAAAGUUCAAGUGAUACUUAGACACGUUUUAAACUCGGUUUAGGUUAGUUCGAAACUAAGUUUGUUGACCUUAUCCAAUUGGUUGCCAUUUUCGGUCUUGAAGUGCCCUUUUCACACUUUUUGAACUUUUUGGUAGGCUAUGGGUUACCAACUUACACUUAAACUUUGUUAGGUUGUUUUGAAAGUCCAAGUGAUACUUAGACACGCCUUGACCACUUUUUAGGUUGGUUUGGAACUAAGUUUGUUGCACUUGCGCACUUGGUUGCCAUUUUGGGUCGUGUAGUGUUUCCUUUUUUUCCAUACUUCUUGAACUUUUUGGUAGGUUAUGAGUGAUGAAUUUACAAAUAAACAUUCUUAGGUCGUUCUGAAAGUUCAAGUGAUACUUAAACACGGUUUGAAAUUUUUUUAGAUUUGUUUAAGACUAAGUUUGUUUCACUUGCAUACUUGGUUGCCAUUUUAGGUCUCAAAGUGCAUUUUUCACGCAUUUUGAUUUUUUUGUUAGUUUGUGAGUUACGAACUUACACUUAACGAUUGUUAGGUCGUUUUAAACACAUUUUGCGUUGGUUUGAAACUAAGUUUGUUGCACUUACACAUUGGAUUGAAAUGUUGGGUCUUGAAGUACUUUUUUUCACACUUUUUGAAAUUUUUUUAGGUUGUGAGUUACGAACUUACGCUUGAGUAUUGUUUGGUCGGUUUGAAAUCUUAGACACGUUUUGCACUCUUUUAGGAUGGCUUGAAACUAAGUCCGUUGCACUUACAUACUUCGUUGCCAUUUUGGGUCUUGAAGUGCUUUUCUUACACUUUUUGAAAUUUUGGUAGGUUGUGAGUUACAAACUUACACUUAAGCAUUGUUUGGUGGUUUUGAAAGUUUAAGUGAUACGUACACAUGUUUUGAAUACAUUUUAGGUUAGAUUGAUUUUGUUGCACUUGGUUGUCAUUUUUGGUCUUGAAAUGCUUUUUUCAACCUUUUUGGUAGAUCAUUACGAACCUACAUUUAGGAUUUGCUAGGUCGUUUUGAAAACUCAAGUAAUACCUAGACACGUUUUGAGCACGUUCUAGGUUGGUUUGAACUAAGUUUGUUACAAUUACACACUUGGUAGCCAUUUUGGGUCUUGUAGUGCUUUUUUCACACUAUUUGAACUUUUUUCGUAGGUUAUGAGUUACGAAUCUCAACGUAAGCUGUUUUAGGUCGUUUUGAAAGUUCAAGUGAUACUUAGACACAUUUUGUUCAAGUGAUACUGUUUUAGGUCGUUUUGAAGUGAACUUUUUUCUUCUUGUAUUGACUGUUUUACUAUUUCUUCAUGGUUUGUAUUCAUGGUAUUUAGUUUCGUACUGAAUCUUUCAUGUUCUGGUAAACAUUGCAGAAACACAUAAUUUCAUCAAUCUGUCAAAGAGUUGAAGGAGAAGACAGAAGAACUUAAAGGUCACAUGAAGACCUAAAAGUUAGGUAAUUUUUUGAAAACUUUUUUCUUUGUCUUGCUUAGUUUUAGUGGUAUUUGUUAACAGGCUGAGACAUACUCUUGUAUGCCAAGGCUGGGUGGCCAAUUCAAUGGAUGGCCUGAGACGGUGAAAUGACGAGUGUAGACAAUCGAGCAGAUUUACAAGUAGGAGGAUGGUGUUUGGUCUUACUCAAAAGCUACUGCUAGAAAGGUGAUUCUCCCUUUAUUUACACAUGUUAUCUAUAUUUAAUUACUGUUUUUAUGUGAUGGUGAAUAAAUAUUUAAGUUGUUUCAAGUUUGUACAUCAUGCUUGAGUUAAUACAUUUCUCAACUCGCACUAAUUUUAAAGUUGAGACUAAGUUUGUUGCACUUACACACUUGGUUGCCAUUUUGGAUUUUGGAGUGCUUUUUCUACAUUUUUUGAACAUUUUGGUAGGUUAUGAUUUAUGAAGUAAGACUAAAGCAUUAUUAGGUCGUUUUUAAAGUUCGAGUGAUACUUAAACAUUUUUUGAACACCUUUUAGGUUGUUACAAACUAAGUUAGUUUUACAUACAGCCAUGGUUGCCAUUUUGAGUCUUGAAAGAUUUUUUUUCACACUUUUUGAAAUUUUUGGUAAGUUAUGAGUUAUAAACUUACACUUAAGCGUUGUUAGGUUGUUUGAAAACUUAUACGUGUUUUGAAUACUUGUUAAGUUUGUAUAGAACUAAGUUCGUUGCACUUACACACUUGACAUUUUGGGUUUUGGAGUGUCUUUUUAAAAAAUUUUGAACUUUUUGCUAGUUUAUGACUUAUGAACUUGUAUUGAAUAUUUGUUAGGUCGUUUUGAUAAUUCAAGUGAUACUUAGAAAAUGCAACCGAGCUUAAACAAUUCCGCUCAUUUUUCUAAAAUUUUUAGUUUAACCUAUUGAAUAAAAUUCGAUGGAAAUUCUUGUUUUCUUUUUGUAGGAAUAAAAGGAAAUGAAAUAUAACCAAACUUGGGAUCUUUGCAAACAAUCUUCCAUGAAGAAACUAGGCUACAAGUGGUUUGGGGUUUGGGUUUUUAGGGCUUAGGGCUUUUAGGGCUUUUUGGGCUUAUGGCUUAGGGCUUUUAGCGCUUUUAGGGCUUUUAGGGCGCUUAGGGCUUUUAGGUUUUAGGGCUUAGGGCUUUUAGGGCUUAUGGCUUUAGGGUUUAGGGUUUAGGGGUUUAGGGUUUAGGGCGCUUAGGGCUUUUAGGGAUUUUAGGGCGCUUAGGGAUUUUAGGUUUUAGGGCUUAGGGCUUUUAGGGAUUAUGGCUUAGGGCUUAGCGCUUUUAGGGCUUAGGGCUUAGGGCUUAGGGCUUUAAGGGCUUUAAGGGUAUUUAGGGAUAAGGGAUUUUAGGGCUUUUAGGGCUUUUAGGGCAUUUAGGGCUUUUGGGGCUUUUAGGGCUUUUAGGGCUUAGGGCGUUUGGCUUAGGGCUUUUAGGGCUUAGGGAUUAGGGCUUGGGCUUUUAGGGCUCGGGCUUUGGGCUCUUUGGGCUUUUAGGACUUUUAGUGCUCUUAGGGCUUUUUGGGCGCUUAGGGCUUAUGACUUUUAAGGCUUAGGGCUUUGGGCUUUGGGCUUUUAGGGCUUUUAGGGCUUUUAGGGCGCUUAUGGCUUUUAGCUUUUAGGGCUUAGGGCUUUUUGGUCUUUUAGGGCUUAGGGCUUAGGGCUUAGGCUUUUAGGGCUUUCAGGGCUUGGGCUUUGGGCGUUUAGGGCUUUUAGGGCUUUUAGGACGCUUAGGGCUUUUAGGUUGUAGGGCUUAGGGCUUUUAGGGCUUAUGGCUUUUAGGGCUUAGCGCUUAGGGCUUAGGGCUUAGGGCUUUUACGGCUUUUACGGCUUUUACGACUUUUAGGGCUUUUAGGACUGAGGCCUUAGGGCUUAGGCCUUAGGGCUUAGGCCUUAGGGCUUAGGCCUUAGGGCUCAGGGCUCAGGGCUCAGGGCUCAGGGCUUAGGGCUUAGGGCUUAGGGUUUAGGGUUUAGGGUUUAGGGUUUAGGGAUUAGGGCUUAGUUCUUGUGCUUUUAUUGCUUAGGGCUUAGGGCUUGUAGGGCUUAGGGCUUAUGGCUUAGGGCUUGGGCUUUUAGGGCUUGGGUUUUUAGGGCUUGGGCUUUGGGCUUUUAGGGCGUUUAGGGCUUUUAGGGCGCUUAAGUCGUUUAUGGCUUUUAAGGCGUUUAGGGCUUAGGGCUUUGAGGGCUUAGGGGUUUUGGCUUACGACUUAGGGCUUGGGAUUUUAGGGCUUAGGGCUCGGGCUUUGUGCUUUUAGGACUUUUAGUGCUCUUAGGGCUUUUUGGGCGCUUAGGGCUUAUGACUUUUAAGGCUUAGGGCUUUGGGCUUUUAGGGCUUUUAGGGCUUUUAGGACUUUUAGGGCUUUUAGGGCGCUUAUGGCUUUUAGCUUUUAGGGCAUAGGCCUUUUUGGGCUUUUAGGGCUUAGGGCUUAGUGAUGUAAUUCAAAGUUGGAUUGAUUUUUCAAAAGAAUUCUCUGCCAAUAAUGGCUAAGAUAAGGGGUAUUUAUUGAGAAUUUGUAAGUAGUUACAAUUAGUUGAAAUAACUGUUUAUGAAACAGCCUUAACUGUUAAACAGUUUAACUGUUUAAACUGUUUUACUAACUAACUACAGCUGUUUAACCAUAGCUUUAUUCUAUAUUACAUCACUUAGGGCUUAGGCUUUUAGGGCUUUCAGGGCUUGGGCUUUGGGCGUUUAGAGCACAAUUACUUCCAGUCUCUGGUCGAUAAGUACCCAAGGAAGGUAAAUUCCAGCGAAGAAAGUCGAGAGCUCCUUAGUUGAUCACAAAUCCUUCCAAAUUCUUUGUUCGUAGACUAAUUUGAAAUUCUUCCAAUAUGGAUCCAUGCUGUCUUUUAUAUCCAUAAGAUACCAAUUAGAUUGUGUUAAUUAUUGUUUAUAAGAAAAUAAGUUCAAUAGAAAAAAAAAUAUAUAGCAGAAGAAGCGCAUGAAUAAGAAAGAAACAAUAAGGAACAAUAAUUACUUCCUCCAGCCCUUCGCCAGCAUAUGGUUGAGGGAACAGCAUCACCAAACUUAUCCUCAAAAAUCAGUUUUCCAGACUUGAUAUUCCAUAGACGAAAUUUGCAGUCUUCUCCACCUAAAACCAGAAUAUAUUUGGUGCAAGCUCAUGUUACCAGGAACUCCGAGAUUUCUGAAUAUAAAGAAAUUGAGCAUGCACUGAAAUGAACUACCAGAUGUGACAAACGUCUCGGUGGGAUCAACUCCAAGCUGUACACGGGUUAUGGAAAACAUCUCCAAUUUACAGCAAGUUAAAGAAAAAAAAGAAGAGAAAAACAGCAGUUAAAAAAAACUGGGCAUCUUGCUUCUUUCUUAUUGAAAGUUUGGCCGUUUCUUUCAAGUCAAAUUGACCACAAAAUGCUCAAAUGAGAUUCUUCAAUAGGAAUAUGUAAAAAAAAUAUAAUAUGUAAAAGAAUUUUUGUGAAACGUGGGAGAGAAGCGGUAACAUUAUCCUUCAAAAAAUUCAGGAGUAAAUAUUUAUGUGAAAGGACAUAUUAUUUGGCCAUUUGACCUUAUUUGUUAUUGAAUUAUUUGGUUGGAAAUGAUAAACUACACAUUAUUGUUUGCUUCAGUUGUGAUCUUGAUUAUGGGCUAUUUGGUAUUUUGCUUACAAACUGUAUAGUUAAUUAUCUGUUAGCUUUUGUUUUCCUGUCACAGCUUUAUGUUUAUGUGGCUCAUUGUAACCGAAAGUUUUAUUUAUCAAUCUUAUUUUUCACAGCAUAAAUGAAACUGUGUUUGAAGAAUCAGGUGCUGCUACAUCAUUCAAGGAAAUUCGUCGUAGAGGUCCGUAAGUUUUUUCCUUUGGAGAUGUGAUACUAACCUGUUUGAAUAAAGGAAUCUGACUUGGUCUUUUCCUCUUUAACAUUAUGGAUUAGGUCUUUCUCUUUACCAGAUUUCGUAGCUGAACUUUAAGAAGCAAUCAAACCGGUGUUAACUUCUUAUAUAAAGGUUAGUGCUAACUGCUAAGCUUAUUUCUAAGAUGAAAGAUGCUUUUAUCCCCUCCCCAAAGAAUAUCAUUACUAUUUAUGUUGUAUUUCUGCUAACUAAUUCUUGCAUAGCAUCUGGUUUGAUAAAUAAAGUAAAGUUUCUGACAUGGAGGUUUUCAAGUUGGAAUAUAUAUUUAUGUUUUAGGUAGAUUCCCAAACUUUGAAGAAACGCUGCAGUACUGAGGUAAUUGAACGUUGUAAGGCAGAGCAUUGGCUUACCGGAGCCAAGGUAUCUUCUUCGAUAACAAGUAAGGAUAGUCCUGAUACUACCUUUCUUUUGUUAUUAGAAUUUAUUGUUCCUUUUGUUGGGGGCUUGGUGGUUGUGCACCUAUAUUGAUUUGUACUUCUGUUAAUUAAUUAUAGUCAUUCUCUCUUGUCUGAGUAAUUAUUGUCAACCAUUUUGUUAGCAAAGGCUUCCCAUGGAAAUUCAGUUUGUUGUGCUGCAUGUCCACGAUGAUUUUCGUGAUUUUAGUUUUAGAUACAUAAAAAGGGCCUUUGCAUCACGACAUGAAUGACUACUUUUUAAUAUGAACGUACAAUACCCCAAAUGAAUGCUGAAGUAAGUUUAUUGAUGUAUGUAAUUUACAACAAUCUUUUUGAACUUUUUGGUAGGUUAUGAAUUACGAACUUGUAUUGAAUAUUUGUUAGGUCGUUUUAAUAAUUCAAGUGAUGCUUAGAAAAUGCAACCGAGCUUAAACAAUUCUGCACAUUUUUCUAAAAUUUUUAGUUUAACCUCUUUAAUAAAAUUCGAAGGAAAUUCUUGUUUUCUUUUUGUAGGAAUAAAGGAAAAUGAAAUAUAACCAAACUUGGGAUCUUUGCAAGCAAGCUUCCAUGAAGAAACUAGGUUACAAGGGGAGGUCUUCUGUUCUCCUUUUUUUUUCUUUCCAUCCGUAGAAUCUUGCUUAAAAUGCUUUGAGGACAAUGCAAAUUUUUAAGUGGGGGGUGGGGUUGUAGCCUUGCACAUUCCAUGUCCUUUGGGAAAUUUUCAUUUUGCAAAUUUUGCUAAAAAUGUCAAAAUUUAGAAACUUUUGCAAUGCUCUAUGCUUAGAAUAAGUACCAUGUCUACUUCGCUUUUUAGCAUAAAAAAGCAUAUAUGCCUAACCCAUGAGAACAGAGCUCGGAUUUGUGAUUGUAUUUGUUAUUUGAAUAUGUUACAUAUGUUGAAAAUGCAUAUAUUGAUAGCUUAGAAAUGAGUAGAACACUUGGUUCAUUUUCUGAAUAUUGUGAAUUAUGUACAUAAUAAUAUGUGCGGUUGCCUUUUUUAUCUCAAUUUUAAUCCCCUUUUUUGCCAUCUUCUACUGCCUUUUUUAUAUUAAUUUUAAAUCCCUCUUUUGGCCAUACACAUUUGUAUAAGAUUGUUUGAAAGCAAAAUAUGAUUGUUAGGUCAAGUAGAAAGCAAAGUCGGCAAGUUCUUAGAGUUCUUCACCCAACAUAACAGCCGAUAAAAACAAAACAAUACGACCAAGCUGCUUAGAGUUGCAAAACCGACCCCCGCCUAGUGGGUCACUAGAGUUCUUCACCCAGCAUGGCAGCCGGUAGAGAGGGAGAGAGAAAAAAAAGAGGGAGCCAAGCCAGCCGCUUAGGUCAAGUAAAAUGCGCGCCGAGAUCCCCCGGUUUCAGAAUUUUCGUGGGGAUCCUCUCCGCUUUUCUUGCCUAAGCAAAACCCGACCCGCCUAGUAGGUUCUUAGAGUUCUUCACCCAUCAUGGCAGCCGGUAGAGAGGGAGAGAGAAAAAAAAGAGGGAGCCAAGCCAGCCGCUUAGGUCAAGUAAAAUGCGCGCCGAGAUCCCCCGGUUUCAGAAUUUUCGUGGGGAUCCUCUCCGCUUUUCUUGCCUAAGCAAAACCCGACCCGCCUAGUAGGUCCUUAGAGUUUUUCACCCAGCAUGGCAGCCGGUAGAGAGGGAGAGAGAAAAAAAAGAGGGAGCCAAGCCAGCCGCUUAGGUCAAGUAAAAUGCGCGCCGAGAUCCCCCGGUUUCAGAAUUUUCGUGGGGAUCCUCUCCGCUUUUCUUGCCUAAGCAAAACCCGACCCCGCCUAGUAGGUCCUUAGAGUUUUUCACCCAGCAUGGCAGCCGGUAGAGAGGGAGAGAGAAAAAAAAGAGGGAGCCAAGCCAGCCGCUUAGGUCAAGUAAAAUGCGCGCCGAGAUCCCCCGGUUUCAGAAUUUUCGUGGGGAUCCUCUCCGCUUUUCUUGCCUAAGCAAAACCCGACCCCGCCUAGUAGGUCCUUAGAGUUUUUCACCCAGCAUGGCAGCCGGUAGAGAGGGAGAGAGAAAAAAAAGAGGGAGCCAAGCCAGCCGCUUAGGUCAAGUAAAAUGCGGCCGAGAUCCCCCGGUUUCAGAAUUUUCGUGGGGAUCCUCUCCGCUUUUCUUGCCUAAGCAAAACCCGACCCGCCUAGUAGGUUCUUAGAGUUCUUCACCCAUCAUGGCAGCCGGUAGAGAGGGUGAGAGAAAACAAAGAGGGAGCCAAGCCAGCCGCUUAGGUCAAGUAAAAUGCGCGCCGAGAUCCCCCGGUUUCAGAGUUUUCGUGGGGAUCCUCUCCGCUUUUCUUGCCUAAGCAAAACCCGACCCCGCCUAGUAGGUCCUUAGAGUUCUUCACCCAGCAUGGCAGCCGGUAGAGAGGGAGAGAGAAAAAAAAGAGGGAGCCAAGCCAGCCGCUUAGGUCAAGUAAAAUGCGCGCCGAGAUCCCCCGGUUUCAGAAUUUUCGUGGGGAUCCUCUCCGCUUUUCUUGCCUAAGCAAAACCCGACCCGCCUAGUAGGUCCUUAGAGUUCUUCACCCAGCAUGGCACGGUAGAGAGGGAGGGAGAAAAAAAAGAGGGAGCCAAGCCAGCUGCUUAGGUCAAGUAAAAUGCACGUCGAGAUUGCCUGGUAUCAGAGCUUGCAUGGGCAACCUCUCCGCUUUAGAUGGAAUUUGAUGAAAUGCUUAUGUCGAAAGUAGGCAUUUCUCUACAGAGUCCUAAUGGUCAUAGAAAUUUAUUAUGCUUUGUAUUUAUUUUACUUUGUUGUCGAGAAUCAACUUCUUUUCUGAUUUGUAUGUUUAUGUAUAUGUUGCAUCUCUGUCUUGUUAUCAUGUUGUAUUUCAUUGUACUCAAUAGUCUGAUUUGCAUUUUUUAUUUGUGUUAAUAAGUGUUCGUGUAAUUGCAAUUUUGUUCUUGAAGAUAUUUUGCUUGAAUCAAGUUAGUUCUUUCUAUAAGGAUCAUUUUCUUGUAAGGUUAUAACUUCUUGUCCAAUUUUUCCAACUCACAUUUCAACUUGUAACAGGUGAAUCCCUUCCAAAUAAGAGCUUAAAAAGAAAAAACAAUUGGAACCUUUAACCAUAAAAUCAAGGUACUGCAUCUUAUUUGCAAUGAAUUGCUAUAAUUUUGUAGAGACUCCACAAAUAAAAUACUAAAUUACCCAAACAGUUGGCAAACAGAGACACACUCUGUAGAUCUUUAUUUAUAUAUAAAUGCCAAAAGAUACAGUAGAAGGAAAUAUAAAAGAAAGCAAUAAAGAUGAUAAUAUCAUGUCAAACCUCCCCAGGAAAAGAUAGUAGUCCUUCCUAGACCUAGCAGCCUCUACAGACCAAAUGAAGACAAAAAGUUAACCUAGCCCCCAAUCCCGAUAAGGCCUUAUUUAUAGCUCUUUUCUCAUUCUUCCCCGUGGGCCCCACUCUCAUGUUCUUUUCCUAAUAUUCUCCCCUUUUCUGCUGCGUGAGCUUUUACGUUUUUACCCUCCUUUUGUAUGUAUGGAUAAUAGGGGGCCUUACAAUACCCCUCGGUUCCAGGUUCACCUUGUCCUCAAGGUGAAAGUCAGGGAAUUGUUGGUUCAUUUGGAAAACAGAUUCCCAAGUUGUUUCACUGUCCGGCAGCCCUUUCCACUUAAUUAACCAUUCAUUUCCUCCCAAUUCCCGAUUCCAACGGACUCCCAACACUGUUUCCGGCCAUAAUUGUAACUCAAACUCUUCCGUUAGCCUAGGUUGCUGGUGUUGAACAGCUUGUUGACUACCCAGUUUCAGUUUUAACUGAGAAAUAUGGAACACAUUGUGGAUACUGGCUUCCGGCGGUAACAUCAAUCUGUACGCAACUGCUCCUAUUUCUUCAGUAAUUUUGUAGGGUCCGUAAUAUUUAGGUGCUAACUUUUCACACUUCUUCCGAGCCAAGGAGCGUUGCCGGUAAGGUCUCAAUUUCAAGUAGACUUCAUCUCCUACCUUAAAUUUUAACUCUCUUCUAUUUCGAUCAGCCAUUUUCUUCAUCCUGUUCUAGGCUACACACAGGUGUUCUUUUAAGGCAUUGAUGGCUAAGUCACGUUCCUUCAGCAGCGUGUCAACCUCAUUAUUAGGAGUUUUCUUGUAACCAUAGGAUAACAGGGGAGGAGGCGGUCUGCGGUAUACCGUCUGAAAAGGGGUCAUUUUGGUGGAUGCAUGGAAGGUGGUAUUAUACCACAAUUCUGCCCAUGGAAUCAGUCUAUCCCAUUUUUUUGGUUGUUCAUUACAGAAGCAUCGCAGAUAAGUUUCGAGACAUCUAUUUACCCUUUCUGUCUGCCCAUCAGUUUGUGGGUGAAACGGCGGUACUCCUCUUUAGAAUAGUUCCCAUGGUUGCAAACAGUUCCUUCCAAAAAUUACUAAGAAAGAUUUUAUCCCGAUCUGUGAUAAUCGACUUAGGAAUGCCGUGCUUGCUUACUAUUCUGUCGAUGAAUAUGGAAGCAACUUGCUUGGCUGAAAACGGAUGUCUCAAUGAUAUAAAGUAAGAAUACUUACUCAGCCGAUCAACUACCACCAUGAUCACAUUAACCCCUCCAGCUAGUGGCAACCCCUCAAUAAAAGUCCAUGGUCCAAUCUUCUAAGAUUCUGUCAGGAAUUGGAAUUGGUUGAAGUACCCCAGCUGGUUUGGUUGCUUCGUAUUUGUUUCUCUGGCAGAUCUCGCAUUGUUCCACAUAUUUCUUUAUUUCAGCCUUCAUACCCCUCCAAUAUAGUUCUCCACUGAUCCUCUUGUAAGUUCUUAAAAAUCCAGAAUGUCCCCCGAGGAUAGAAUCGUGGAAAGUAUGUAGGAUCUUGGGUAUAAGUGUAGAAGUUUGAGAUACUACCAUUCUCCCCUUAUAGAGCAAUCUUCCUUUUUCCACUUGAAACUUGCUUCCUUCUUCUGCAUUUUUCUUCAGAUUUUCCAUAAUUUUCUUAAGUUCAGCAUCAUUCUCAACUUCCUGCUCGAUUAGUUUCACAUCAAUGAUUCCAGUAGUUGUCAAGCUGUGCAGCUCCACCGGUUGCUCCAUUCUAGAUAGGGCGUCCGCUGCCUUGUUCUGAUGUCCGGGUUGAUAUAAAAUCUCGAAAUCAUAUCCAAGGAGCUUUGUCAACCAUUUCUGGAAUUGGGGCUGUACCUCUCUCUGUUCAAGCAAGAAUUUAAGAGCCUUUUGAUCUGAAAGUAUGGUGAACUUCCUGCCCAGCAAAUAAUGCCUCCAUUUUUGAACUGAUAGAACUACAGCCAUCAACUCUCUUUCAUAGAUGGAUUUGUUUUGAGCCCUUGUGGAUAACUUCUGACUGAAAAAGGCAAUCGGGUGGCCAUUUUGAGAGAUCACCGCUCCUAACCCUACGCCAGAUGCAUCAGUUUCGAUAAUAAAGGGAAUGUUCCAAUCUGGUAAUGCCAACACUGGUAGAGUAGUCAUUGCUAGCUUCAAAUUUUCGAAGGCAGUAUUUGCUUCUUCAUUCCACUUAAAAGCAUUCUUCUGUAAUAACUUGGUUAGCGGUGCAGCGAUCUCUCCAUAACCCUUGACAAACCUCCUAUAAUAUCCUGUCAGUCCUAAGAAGCCCCGCAGACCAGAUAUAUUCGUUGGUGGUGGCCAAUUAAUCAUCUUCUUGAUCUUAUCCUCAUCUGCCUCAACUCCUCUUUUGGAUAUCAUAUGUCCCAAGUACUGUAUUUGAGAAUGGGCUAUAACGCAUUUUUUUUUGUUAGCAAAACAGCUGGUUAUACUUCAAAACAUUGAAUACCAUGCCCAAAUGCUUUGCGUGUUCAUCUAUAUCCGCACUAUAAACCAGUAUAUCAUCAAAGAACACCAAAACACAGCGCCGAAGGAAAGGUUUAAAUACCUUGGUUCAUCAAAGAUUGGAAGGUUGCCAGAGCAUUCGUGGAGACCAAACGGCAUUACUAGAAACUCAUAGUGCCCUUCAUGUGUGCGGAACACAGUUUUCUCCACAUCUUCCUCUUUCAUUCUAAUCUGGUGAUAACCAGAUUUCAGAUCUAAUUUCGAGAAAACCGUUGCCCUAUUCAGCUCAUCUAAUAAUUCCUCUAUCACAGGAAUUGGGAACUUAUCCGAUACUGUCGCCUGAUUUAACUUGCGGUAAUCGACACAAAAUCUCCAUCCACCAUCUUUUUUUCUUCACUAACAACACCGGGCUGGAGUAAGGGCUAUGACUAGGCGAAUAACCCCUGCUUGAAGCAUCUCGACCACCAGUUUUUUUAUAUUCUUCUUUCUGCACAUGACCGUAUUUGUAAGGUCUUACGUUGAUAGGUUUAUGGUCAGGUAGGGUUAAUAUUCGGUGAUCAAUAGCUCUUUUUGGAGGUAAUUUCUUCGGUGUCUCAAAUAUCUCCGCAUAAUACUUGAGCAGGGAUCGGAUCAUAGAUAUUUCCUCCUCAUCUCCUUUUAAUCUUGUCCCCAGUUCAUAUUCAUUCUCUACUUCCAUCUCAUAAUUCUGGAAUUCUAAGAGGAAGCCUUGGUCUUCUAUAUGUAAGGAUUCAACUUGCUUACUUCACUAUUUCUCCCUUACAAUGGCCAAAAACAGAGGUAGCCCUCUGCUAUCUUUAUUUAUAUAUAGCCAAAAUGAGUACAGAAAAACAUAAAGAUUCAAGAAAAACAAGGAAUAAUAAAGACAAACCCAGCUUCCUCUAGGGAAAGACUGGAUAUUCCUCUAGGCUAAGCAGCCGCCAACUUCAGGAUAAAAAUAAAACCUACCUCCCCUAGACCUAAAAAACCUAUUUAUAUUCCUUCUCUCAUCUUUCUCUUAUUUCUGUGCCUGGGCCCCACCUGCACGAUCUCCUCCUCUUUUUCCUUCCUCAUUAUUAAUUUGUCCAAUUACUUUUCUGCCCCUCCUUUGAUAUGUAUGAAUAAUUGGAGGUCUUACACUAUAUCCCACGUUUUUUCCAAUGUCUUCAAAGAACAUUCAGGUUUCACUAAGGAUGGAUCUCCUCUUAACACGAUUUGCUUGUCUUUUGCCCAAAAGGUCAUGGUUAAUGAUGGCCAAUGUACCUUCAUUGUGCCGGUGGUAUCUAGCCAUUGCAUCCCUAAAAUCACGUCAAUAUUUCCUAGUUCCACCACUAGAAAAUCAGUUAUAACUGUCAUUUCUUUCAAUCUCAGUUCCACCUUUCUGCAAAUACCUUUCCCUUUACAGCGGGUCCCGUCUCCAAUAGUCACUCCAAAUUGUGUACCGGGUUCAAUGUUCAACCCUCCUUCCAUUGCCACUGCUUCAUGGAUGAAGUUGUUCGUAGCUCCACUGUCGAUGAGAAUCACCACCUCCCUUCCUUUUACAUGCCCCUUCAGUUUCAUUGUCCCUUUGGAUGUUAACCCCGUGAGUGUCUUCAAUUCAAUUUCGGUGGUUUCAGCAACAACUAACUGGUUCAGCUCCAUUACUUCUUCGGUCUCUUCCAUUUUGACUUCCUCCCCGCCACUCUCUUCUUCGUUAAGUAUAAAUAACAUUAAUUCCCUUUUCUCUCUCAUCUUGCAUCGGUGUCCCGGUGAGUACUUCUCAUUGCAUCUAAAACACAAACCCUUGUCCAAUCUUGCUCUGAAUUCCGUGUCCAAGAGUCUUUUAACUGGAGGUUCAUUUUUCUGGUAGUUUCCUUUAAUGGGAAUAGUGACUUGCUUCAUGGGGAACUCAGUCUUCUUUGGUGAACUUUUAUCUUGACUGCUUUGUCCCUUGCUUGAGCCUCCUCCUUCCCUAGUCACACUGUUUACCCAUUCUGCCUUGGCUAAUUUCAAGGCUAGGUUUCUGCCACUUACCAGUUGUGCCUCCUUCAUACAUUCCUCUAAGGUUUGAGGAUGUCUACUAAUAACUUCUGCUUGAAGAGCCGGUUCUAGACCAGUCACGAAUGCAUCUAAGAGCACGCUUUCAGCCAUGUGCAGUAGUGGUGCAGAAUAUUGUACGAAUUUCUUGACAUAAUCAUUAUAGGAUCCAUCUUGUUCUAUUCGAAUCAGCCUUGCACCUAAGCUCUUCUGCCCAGAAUCUCGAAAAAAUUCAAACAUCCUUACCUUCAAAUCUUCCCAUCCUUCCACCUUCUUUCUAUGGUUACUCCAACGGUACCAAUCGAUUUCAUCUUGUCCGAAACUAACCACCGCUACUUUCACUUUUUCUGCUUCCGGUAGGCUAUUAAUUUCGAAAAAAUGCUCAGCUCUAAACACCCAUGACUCAGGAUUUUCCCCGGUGAAAAUCGGCAUUUCCAGUUUCUUAUAUUUGCUUCGGUCGACAGUUACUACAUUGUUUUCCCCUGGAUUGUCGGCUUCUUCCCAUUUUCCUUUUAACUUCAUGACUGAUCCAUCAGAAGUUCCGGAUUCAUCUCGCCUUUUGUAGCUGCUGUUUUCUUUCAUUUCAUCAGCCAGUCUAUCCAUGGAUUUCUUCAUUUCCAGAAUCAUUUCCUUCAAGCCCAGUAUUUCUUUCUCUGUUCCAUCUAUUCUUUCUUCUAUUUGCCUUUGCGCCAUCAGUCGCGUCACCACCCCAGCGUUUGGGCUCUGAUACCAGUUGUAGAGACUCCACAAAUAAAAUACUAAAUUACCCAAACAGUUGGCAAACAGAGACAGCACUCUGUAGAUCUUUAUUUAUAUAUAAAUGCCAAGAGAUACAGUAGAAGGAAAUAUAAAAGAAAGCAAUAAAGAUGAUAAUAUCAUGUCAAACCUCCCCAGGAAAAGAUAGUAGUCCUUCCUAGACCUAGCAGCCUCUACAGACCAAAUGAAGACAAAAAGUUAACCUAGCCCCCAAUCCCGAUAAGGCCUUAUUUAUAGCUCUUUUCUCAUUCUUCCCCGUGGGCCCCACUCUCAUGUUCUUUUCCUAAUAUUCUCCCCUUUUCUGCUGCGUGAGCUUUUACGUUUUUACCCCUCCUUUUGUAUGUAUGGAUAAUAGGGGGCCUUACAAAUUUCUUCCAACACUAUGAAACAUUUAUGUUAUAGUUUUAUUAUUGUAAACAUUUUUGCUAAACAUCAUUGUAAUUUCCAAACACAACUCUGCCAAAGUUCCCAAGAUAGUUCUAUAGCAAUGUUCCACAGGCUAUCUUGCAAGUGAUGUGGAACUCCUUUGCUUUUUUGAAUAGUAAGCUGGCCUUCCUCUUUUGUUAUGCUUUGUUUUGUUCUUAAUACUUGCUUUUAUCUUCGCCUAUUUCAUUCCUAGUUGAUAUAUUACAUAGUCCUCUUAAAUCUACAUUCUUUUUCUGUUUUAUGAUUCGCUUGAGUUUAAUGACUAACUUUGGCAAAAUAAUGUUGAACUAUAUUACAUGUUUUGCAUCUAAACCUCAAUUGAAAAGGUUUGUUACCUGUAUCAUUAUAAGGUUUCCAUCCAUCUUUCUUAGGCCAUCAAUGAAGUUUUUGCUUAGAUCUAUCUUAGUUCGGCCUCUUUAAAAUGUUACUCCAUACAAGGAAGAUCGAAAGUUGUGAUUACAAAGUGUAGAUUUGUAUUGUAUAGUUGCCUUAGUUAUUUUUUUAAUUAUUCUUUUUAGACGUUAUUUCCUUUUAUAAUUAGUUCUCUUUAGUUAGAAUUUCUAUUAAAUUAUACUUGCCUAUUAUCAAGUCCUUUUUCAUUAAUAAGAGAAAAUGGAGUUUUUCUCAAAUAACAAAAAGUGAUUAUUUAAGAUACUAUGCUAAAGGGAACACAUCCAAUUACCAUGUUGAGAAUAUUAUCUUUGCCUAUUGAAGGUCUUGGAUUCUUGGUCAACUUUGAAUGCGAAUUUUUCUUAGUUGAUUAUUAAAUAUCAGGGUAAAAAGAUCUUAUAUUGUAAUGUUGUUUUGCUUCACUUGCAUCAUACACUAAAACACAAGAUUAAAAAAAAAGUUAUAUUUAGACUUUUGUAUGGUAGAUUAGGUGUUCUCUUUGAAUUGGUGUUGGUAUUGGCUUUCUAAUUAUGAUAUGAUUUUGGGAACCUUUGAAUUAUGUUCUUCAAACCUUCUCUCUUCGAUUGAAGCUUAUUAUAUUUUAUCGUUGUUAGUAUGUUUUUUUUUUUCCAUUUUUUCCCUUCUAAUAUUUUUAUUUGAUAUAUAAUGUGCAUAAAAGAGAAAGUAGUUAAUGUGUUUUACAUUGUUGUGUUGUGCAAAGUUGGUGCUGUUGGUUCAAAUAUUUAAGAUUUGGUGAAGCACUUGGAAUAAGUUCAAACUUUUAAUCUGUAGGAUAAUUUACUUUAUAAGAAUCACACAUUUACCUUUUUUUUCUUUUUUGAAGUAGGAAAGGAGCCUCUUCAUUAAGCUGAAAAUGAAUAGACAAGACAAAAGGUAAUACAAAGAAGCCCUAGGAUCAGUGAGUGCACUAGGACAUCUCAUCUAUGUUGACACCUACUUAGCAUUCUCACCAUAUCGAGACUUAAACCAAAAGACUAAACCAACGACAAGGUUUGGAAUAGAUCAUACAAACUGCCCAAUAACUAUACAACAUAGAUUUAAGACCACUAGAAAUCCAAAAGAAAUAAAAUAAGAGUACAGUAGUGGACUAAGAAUUAAAAAUGAAAGUCGGCCAAUUAUGACUUAUAUCUUGUAUGGAGAAAUCUUUGAAGUCUUUUGAAAGAGAGCAUCAAGAAGAAGCAUUGAUUCUAGCCAUUUCGACUCGAGUUGUCCAAGAGGAAGCUUUAUUUUGAAAUGUUAGCUGAUUAUGUUCAAACCAAAUUUCUGGUAAAAUGGCCUUCACUGCAUUUAACCAAAUCAAUCUUGGUUUCUUCUUGAGAAUGGGACAUGAAAUAAGCUGGACCGCGUUCUCCUAAAUCUAUAGUCGAAAACCCAAUUCAAAUGAAGAUAGCCAAGUAAGUCAAACCAACACUUCUUUUCAUGUAAGCAGGAGAAGAAAAUAUGAUGUAAAUCUUCUAAAGCAUGCAAACACAAGGGACAAAUAUUAGGAGAUAAACUGUGAGAGGAAGGUUUCAUUUGCAAAACUUCUGCACAGUUCAUAGUCCAUUUCGCUUUCUCCAAAGCGUGAUAUUCACUCUUCUAGGGCUUUUUGUCUUCCAAAUUGUCGAGUAUAAAUGUUUUUCAAUUGGGGAGGCAAUGGAGAGAUGCUUGACCAAUGAAUGAACCAAAAACCUCCCAUUUGAUUCUGAUUUCUAGGUUCUUUUAUUUUGGGAGGCUUGAAAUUCAUCUAUUUCUUCAACUUUUAGAAGUCUCCUGAAAUUUAGAGCCCAUGAAGUAGUGGAAGAGUCCCAAAACUCCUUUACAUCUCCAUUAUUAGAGUUCAAAGACAAUCUAAACGAUCUUGAAAAGAAACAACAUCUGCCCAAAAAUCAUUCCAAAAUGCUAUUCUUCAACCAUCACCGAACUUGAACAAUGCCUAGGAAUCCACUUGAAGCUAGCAUCUCGAAAUGCUAAUCCAGGGACUAUGGAGACUGCAAGUGACAAUUCCUUUAGUAUGCCAUCCAAAUUAACUUUCUCCAUGGAUACUCUUCACCACUUUAGCCCAAAGGGAAUUCUUUUCAUUUAUAAAUCUCCAUCCCCAUUUAGCAAGAAGGUUGCAUUUUUUUAACGUUGCACCAUCGACGCCGAUUCCACCAUCCUCUUGCGAACAAGACACCACCUUCCAAUUAAUCACUUUAUGAAUCAUCUUUUCUGGCAUUAAGAAUAUAGACAUAUAGUGUGUAGGUAUAUGUGAAAAAACCGACUUACAAAGUGUGUCCCAACCUCCACUAAAGAGACAAUAUCUUUUCCACUUAUCUAGUUUAACUUGGAUUUUAUCUAUUUCUUGAAAUUACAUAAGGAGUAGAGAGAGGGCUCCAAGCCGAAGCAGUUAUGGAAAACAUCUCCAAUUUACAGCAAGUUAAAGCAAAAAAAAAAAAAAAAAACCGCAGUUCAAAAAAACUAGGCAUCUUGCUUCCUUCUAAUUGAAAGUUCUGCUGUUUCUGUCAAGUCAAAUUGACCACAAAAUGCUCAAAUGAGAUUCUUCAAUAGGAAUACAUAAAAAAAAAGAUAAUAUGUAAAAGAAUUUUCAAUGUUUAAUAUAAUAUGUAAAAUAAUUUUCUUAUAUUGGAAUUGGCAGAUGGCUGAGGGCCUUCGUGAAACGUGGGAGAGAAGCGAUAACAUUAUCGUUCAAAAAAUUCAGGAGUAAGUAUUUAUGUGAAAGGCCAUAUUAUUUGGCCAUUUGACCAUAUUUAUGAUUGAAUUAUUUGGAUGGAAAUGAUAAACUACACAUUAUUGUCUGCUUGAGUUGUGAUCUUGAUUAUGGGCUAUUUUGGUAUUUUGCCUACAAACUGUAUAGUUAAUUAUCUGUUCGCUUUUGUUUUCCUGUCACAGCUUUAUGUUUCUGUGGCUAAUUGUAGCCAAAAGUUUUAUUUAUCGAUCUUAUUUUUCACAGCAUAAAUGAAACCGUGUUUCAAGCAUCAAAUGCUGCUACAUCAUUCAAGGAAAUUCGCCGUAGAGAUCCGUAAGUUUUUUCCUUUGGUGCUGUGAUACUAACCUGUUUGAAUAAAGGAACCUGACUUGGUCUUUUCCUCUUUAAACAUUAUGGAUUAGGUCUUUCUCUUUACCAGAUUUCGUAGUUGAACUUUAAGAAGUAAUCAAACCGGUGUUAACUUCUUAUAUAAAGGUUAGUGCUAACUGCUAAGCUUAUUUCUAAGAUGAAAGAUGCUUUUAUCCCCUCCCCAAAGAAUAUCAUUACUAUUUAUGUUGUAUUUCUGCUAACUAAUUCUUGCAUAGCAUCUGGUUUGAUAAAUAAAGUAAAGUUUCUGACAUGGAGGUUUUCAAGUUGGAAUAUAUAUUUAUGUUUUAGGUAGAUUCCCAAACUUUGAAGAAACGCUGCAGUACUGAGGUAAUUGAACGUUGUAAGGCAGAGCAUUGGGCUUACCAGAGCCAAGGUAUCUUCUUCGAUAACAAGUAAGGAUAGUCCUGAUACUACCUUUCUUUUGUUAUUGAAGUUUAUUGUUCCUUCUCUCUUGUUUGGUGGUUGUGCACCUAUAUUGAUUUGUACUUCUGUUAAUUAAUUAUAGUCCUUCUCUUGUUUGAGUAAUUAUUGUCUACCAUUUUGUUAGCAAAGGCUUCCCGUGGAAAUUUAGUUUGUUGUGCUGCAUGUCCAAGAUGAUUUUCGUGAUUUUAGUUUUAGAUACAUAAAAGGGAUUUUGCAUCACAACAUGAAUGACUAUUUCUAAAUAUGAACCUACAAUAACCCCAAAUGAAUACCUGAUUAAAUUGGAAACAGGGCAGAUAGAGAGUGAGAUGGAGAGUGUUUGUGUGUGCUUUAGAGUAGUUUUAAGCACAUUUUUUAGAUUUGUUUAAGACUAAGUUUGUUUCACUUGCACAAUUGGUUGCCAUUUUAGGUCUCAAAGUGCAUUUUCACUCAUUUUGAACUUUUUGUUAGUUUGUGAGUUACGAACUUACACUUAAGCAUUGUUAGGUCGUUUCAAACACAUUUUGUGUUUGUUUGGAACUAAGUUUGUUUAGACAUUUGAUUGACAUGUUGGGUCUCCAAGUGCUUUUUUCCACACUUUUUGAAAUUUUGGUAGGUUGUGAGUUACGAACUUACGCUUGAGUAUUGUUUGGUCCGUUUGAAAGCUUAGACACAUUUUGAACUCUUUUUAAGAUAACUUGAAACUAAGUUCAUUGCACUUACAUACUUCGUUGCCGUUUUGGGUCUUGAAGUACCUUUUUCACACUUUUUGAAAUUUUGGUAGGUUGUGAGUUACAAACUUACCCUUAAGCAUUGUUUGGUUGUUUUGAAAAUUCAAGUGAUAGUUACACACGUUUUGAAUACAUUUUAGGUUAGAUUGAGUUUGUUGCACUUGGUUGUCAUUUUUGGUCUUGAAAUGCUUUUUUCAAACUUUUUGGUAGAUUAUGAGUUACGAACUUACACUUAGGAUUUGCUAGGUCGUUUUGAAAACUCAAGUAAUACAUAGACACGUUUUGAGCACGUUUUAGGUUGGUUUGAACUAAGUUUGUUGCACUUACACACUUGGUUGCCAUUUUUGGGUAUUGUAGUGCUUUUUUCACAAUAUUUGAACUUUUUUCGUAGGUUAUGAGUUACGAUCCUACACGUAAGCUGUUUUAGGACAUUUUGAAAGUUCAAGUGAUACUUAGACACGUUUUAAACUCGGUUUAGGUUAGUUCGAAACUAAGUUUGUUGACCUUAUCCAAUUGGUUGCCAUUUUCGGUCUUGAAGUGCCCUUUUCACACUUUUUGAACUUUUUGGUAGGCUAUGGGUUACCAACUUACACUUAAACUUUGUUAGGUUGUUUUGAAAGUCCAAGUGAUACUUAGACACGCCUUGACCACUUUUUAGGUUGGUUUGGAACUAAGUUUGUUGCACUUGCGCACUUGGUUGCCAUUUUGGGUCGUGUAGUGUUUCCUUUUUUUCCAUACUUCUUGAACUUUUUGGUAGGUUAUGAGUGAUGAAUUUACAAAUAAACAUUCUUAGGUCGUUCUGAAAGUUCAAGUGAUACUUAAACACGGUUUGAAAUUUUUUUAGAUUUGUUUAAGACUAAGUUUGUUUCACUUGCAUACUUGGUUGCCAUUUUAGGUCUCAAAGUGCAUUUUUCACGCAUUUUGAUUUUUUUGUUAGUUUGUGAGUUACGAACUUACACUUAACGAUUGUUAGGUCGUUUUAAACACAUUUUGCGUUGGUUUGAAACUAAGUUUGUUGCACUUACACAUUGGAUUGAAAUGUUGGGUCUUGAAGUACUUUUUUUCACACUUUUUGAAAUUUUUUUAGGUUGUGAGUUACGAACUUACGCUUGAGUAUUGUUUGGUCGGUUUGAAAUCUUAGACACGUUUUGCACUCUUUUUAGGAUGGCUUGAAACUAAGUCCGUUGCACUUACAUACUUCGUUGCCAUUUUGGGUCUUGAAGUGCUUUUUUUACACUUUUUGAAAUUUUGGUAGGUUGUGAGUUACAAACUUACACUUAAGCAUUGUUUGGUGGUUUUGAAAGUUUAAGUGAUACGUACACAUGUUUUGAAUACAUUUUAGGUUAGAUUGAUUUUGUUGCACUUGGUUGUCAUUUUUGGUCUUGAAAUGCUUUUUUCAACCUUUUUGGUAGAUCAUUACGAACCUACAUUUAGGAUUUGCUAGGUCGUUUUGAAAACUCAAGUAAUACCUAGACACGUUUUGAGCACGUUCUAGGUUGGUUUGAACUAAGUUUGUUACAAUUACACACUUGGUAGCCAUUUUGGGUCUUGUAGUGCUUUUUUCACACUAUUUGAACUUUUUUCGUAGGUUAUGAGUUACGAAUCUCAACGUAAGCUGUUUUAGGUCGUUUUGAAAGUUCAAGUGAUACUUAGACACAUUUUGUUCAAGUGAUACUGUUUUAGGUCGUUUUGAAGUGAACUUUUUUCUUCUUGUAUUGACUGUUUUACUAUUUCUUCAUGGUUUGUAUUCAUGGUAUUUAUUUUCGUAAUUGGGCAUCUUGCUUCUUUCUUAUUGAAAGUUUGGCCGUUUCUUUCAAGUCAAAUUGACCAGAAAAUGCUCAAAUGAGAUUCUUCAAUAGGAAUAUGUAAAAAAAAUAUAAUAUGUAAAAGAAUUUUUGUGAAACGUGGGAGAGAAGCGGUAACAUUAUCCUUCAAAAAAUUCAGGAGUAAAUAUUUAUGUGAAAGGACAUAUUAUUUGGCCAUUUGACCUUAUUUGUUAUUGAAUUAUUUGGUUGGAAAUGAUAAACUACACAUUAUUGUUUGCUUCAGUUGUGAUCUUGAUUAUGGGCUAUUUGGUAUUUUGCUUACAAACUGUAUAGUUAAUUAUCUGUUAGCUUUUGUUUUCCUGUCACAGCUUUAUGUUUCUGUGGCUAAUUGUAGCCAAAAGUUUUAUUUAUCGAUCUUAUUUUUCACAGCAUAAAUGAAACUGUGUUUGAAGAAUCAGGUGCUGCUACAUCAUUCAAGGAAAUUCGUCGUAGAGGUCCGUAAGUUUUUUUCCUUUGGAGAUGUGAUACUAACCUGUUUGAAUAAAGGAAUCUGACUUGGUCUUUUCCUCUUUAACAUUAUGGAUUAGGUCUUUCUCUUUACCAGAUUUCGUAGCUGAACUUUAAGAAGCAAUCAAACCGGUGUUAACUUCUUAUAUAAAGGUUAGUGCUAACUGCUAAGCUUAUUUCUAAGAUGAAAGAUGCUUUUAUCCCCUCCCCAAAGAAUAUCAUUACUAUUUAUGUUGUAUUUCUGCUAACUAAUUCUUGCAUAGCAUCUGGUUUGAUAAAUAAAGUAAAGUUUCUGACAUGGAGGUUUUCAAGUUGGAAUAUAUAUUUAUGUUUUAGGUAGAUUCCCAAACUUUGAAGAAACGCUGUAGUACUGAGGUAAUUGAACGUUGUAAGGCAGAGCAUUGGGCUUACCAGAGCCAAGGUAUCUUCUUCGAUAACAAGUAAGGAUAGUCCUGAUACUACCUUUCUUUUGUUAUUGAAGUUUAUUGUUCCUUUUGUUGGGGGCUUGGUGGUUGUGCACCUAUAUUGAUUUGUACUUCUGUUAAUUAAUUAUAGUCAUUCUCUCUUGUCUGAGUAAUUAUUGUCAACCAUUUUGUUAGCAAAGGCUUCCCAUGGAAAUUCAGUUUGUUGUGCUGCAUGUCCACGAUGAUUUUCGUGAUUUUAGUUUUAGAUACAUAAAAAGGGCCUUUGCAUCACGACAUGAAUGACUACUUUUUAAUAUGAACGUACAAUAACCCAAAUGAAUGCUGAAGUAAGUUUAUUGAUGUAUGUAAUUUACAACAAUCUUUUUGAACUUUUUGGUAGGUUAUGAAUUACGAACUUGUAUUGAAUAUUUGUUAGGUCGUUUUAAUAAUUCAAGUGAUGCUUAGAAAAUGCAACCGAGCUUAAACAAUUGUGCACAUUUUUCUAAAAUUUUUAGUUUAACCUCUUUAAUAAAAUUCGAAGGAAAUUCUUGUUUUUCUUUUUGUAGGAAUAAAGGAAAAUGAAAUAUAACCAAACUUGGGAUCUUUGCAAGCAAGCUUCCAUGAAGAAACUAGGUUACAAGGGGAGGUCUUCUGUUCUCCUUUUUUUUUCUUUCCAUCCGUAGAAUCUUGCUUAAAAUGCUUUGAGGACAAUGCAAAUUUUUAAGUGGGGGUGGGGUUGUAGCCUUGCACAUUCCAUGUCCUUUGGGAAAUUUUCAUUUUGCAAAUUUUGCUAAAAAUGUCAAAAUUUAGAAACUUUUGCAAUGCUCUAUGCUUAGAAUAAGUACCAUGUCUACUUCGCUUUUUAGCAUAAAAAAGCAUAUAUGCCUAAACCCAUGAGAACAGAGCUCGGAUUUGUGAUUGUAUUUGUUAUUUGAAUAUGUUACAUAUGUUGAAAAAUGCAUAUAUUGAUAGCUUAGAAAUGAGUAGAACACUUGGUUCAUUUUCUGAAUAUUGUGAAUUAUGUACAUAAUAAUAUGUGCGGUUGCCUUUUUUAUCUCAAUUUUAAUCCCCUUUUUUGCCAUCUUCUACUGCCUUUUUUAUAUUAAUUUUAAAUCCCUCUUUUGGCCAUACACAUUUGUAUAAGAUUGUUUGAAAGCAAAAUAUGAUUGUUAGGUUCUUAGAGUUCUUCACCCAACAUAACAGCCGAUAAAAACAAAACAAUACGACCAAGCUGCUUAGAGUUGCAGAACCCGACCCCCGCCUAGUGGGUCACUAGAGUUCUUCACCCAGCAUGGCAGCCGGUAGAGAGGGAGAGAGAAAAAAAAGAGGGAACCAAGCCAGCCGCUUAGGUCAAGUAAAAUGCGCGCCGAGAUCCCCCGGUUUCAGAAUUUUCGUGGGGAUCCUCUCCGCUUUUCUUGCCUAAGCAAAACCCGACCCCGGCUAGUAGGUUCUUAGAGUUCUUCACCCAUCAUGGCAGCCGGUAGAGAGGGAGAGAAAAAAAAGAGGGAGCCAAGCCAGCCGCUUAGGUCAAGUAAAAUGCGCGCCGAGAUCCCCCGGUUUCAGAAUUUUCGUGGGGAUCCUCUCCGCUUUUCUUGCCUAAGCAAAACCCGACCCGCCUAGUAGGUCCUUAGAGUUUUUCACCCAGCAUGGCAGCCGGUUAGAGAGGGAGAGAGAAAAAAAAGAGGGAGCCAAGCCAGCCGCUUAGGUCAAGUAAAAUGCGCGCCGAGAUCCCCCGGUUUCAGAAUUUUCGUGGGGAUCCUCUCCGCUUUUCUUGCCUAAGCAAAACCCGACCCGCCGCCUAGUUGGUUCUUAGAGUUCUUCACCCAUCAUGGCAGCCGGUAGAGAGGGUGAGAGAAAAACAAAGAGGGAGCCAAGGCAACCGCUUAGGUCAAGUAAAAUGCGCGCCGAGAUCCCCCGGUUACAGAAUUUUCGUGUGGAUCCUCUCCGCUUUUCUUGCCUAAGCAAAACCCGACCCGCCUAGUAGGUCCUUAGAGUUUUUCACACAGCAUGGCAGCCGGUAGAGAGGGCGAGAGAAAAAAAAAGAGGGAGCCAAGCCAGCCGCUUAGGUCAAGUAAAAUGCGCACCGAGAUCCCCCUGUUUCAGAAUUUUCGUGGGGAUCCUCUCCGCUUUUCUUGCCUAAGCAAAACCCGACACGCCUAGUAGGUCCUUAGAGUUUUUCACCCAGCAUGGCAGCCGGUAGAGAGGGAGAGAGAAAAAAAAGAGGGAGCCAAGCCAGCCGCUUAGGUCAAGUAAAAUGCGCGCGGAGAUCCCCCGGUUUCAGAAUUUUCGUGGGGAUUCUCUCCGCUUUUCUUGCCUAAGCAAAAACCGACCCCGCCUAGUAGGUUCUUAGAGUUCUUCACUCAGCAUGGCAGCCUGUAGAGAGGGAGAGAGAAAAAAAAGAGGGAGCCAAGCCAGCCGCUUAGGUCAAGUAAAAUGCGUGUCGAGAUCCCCCGGUUUCAGAGUUUUCGUGGGGAUCCUCUCCGCUUUUCUUGCCUAAGCAAAACCCGACCCCGCCUAGUAGGUCCUUUUAGUUCUUCACCUAGCACGGCAGCCGGUAGAGAGGGAGGGAGAAAAAAAGAGGGAGUCAAGCCAGCUGCUUAGGUAAAGUAAAAUGCGCGUCGAGAUUGCCUGGUAUCAGAGCUUGCAUGGGCAACCUCUCCGCUUUUGAUGGAAUUUGAUGAAAUGCUUAUGUCGAAAGUAGGCAUUUCUCUAUAGAGUCCUAAUGGUCAUAGAAAUUUAAUAUGUUUUGUAUUUAUUUUACUUUGUUGUCAAGAAUCAACUUCUUUUCUGAUUUGUAUGUUUAUGUAUAUGUUGCAUCUCUGUCUUGUUAUCAUGUUGUAUUUCAUUGUACUCAAUAGUGUGAUUUGCAUUUUUUAUUUGUGUUAAUAAGUGUUCGUGUAAUUGCAAUUUUGUUCUUGAAGAUAUUUUGCUUGAAUCAAGUUAGUUCUUUAAGGAUCAUUUUCUUGUAAGGUUAUAACUUCUUGUCCAAUUUUUCCAACUCACAUUUCAACUUGUAACAGGUGAAUCUCUUCCAAAUAAGAGCUUAAAAAGAAAAAAACAAUUGGAACCUUUAACCAUAAAAUCAAGGUACUGCAUCUUAUUUGCAAUGAAUUGCUAUAAUUUUGUAGAGACUCCACAAAUAAAAUACUAAAUUACCCAAACAGUUGGCAAACAGAGACAGCACUCUGUAGAUCUUUAUUUAUAUAUAAAUGCCAAAAGAUACAGUAGAAGGAAAUAUAAAAGAAAGCAAUAAAGGUGAUAAUAUCAUGUCAAACCUCCCUAGGAAAAGAUAGUAGUCCUUCCUAGACCUAGCAGCCUCUACAGACCAAAUGAAGACAAAAAGUUAACCUAGCCCCCAAUCCCGAUAAAUAAAUAAGAGCUUAAAAAGAAAAAACAAUUGGAACCUUUAACCAUAAAAUCAAGGUACUGCAUCUUAUUUGCAAUGAAUUGCUAUAAUUUUGUAGAGACUCCACAAAUAAAAUACUAAAUUACCCAAACAGUUGGCAAACAGAGACAGCACUCUGUAGAUCUUUAUUUAUAUAUAAAUGUCAAGAGAUAUAGUAGAAGGAAAUAUAAAAGAAAGCAAUAAAGAUGAUAAUAUCAUGUCAAACCUCCCCAGGAAAAGAUAGUAGUCCUUCCUAGACCUAGCAGCCUCUACAGACCAAAUGACGACAAAAAGUUAACCUAGCCCCCAAUCCCGAUAAGGCCUUAUUUAUAGCUCUUUUCUCAUUCUUCCCUGUGGGCCCCACUCUCAUGUUCUUUUCCUAAUAUUCUCCCCUUUUCUACUUCGUGAGCUUUUACGUUUUUACCCCUCAUACGGCCCAUAAAAUUUUGGGGAUAGCUUUUCACAUUUCUUCCGAGCUAGUGAUCUUUGUCGAUAGGGUCGUAGUUUCAAAUACACUUCAUCCCCAAUUUUGAAUUUGAGCUCCCUGCGGUUUCGGUCUGCCAUUUUCUUCAUUCUAUUUUGAGCUAUGCAUAGGUUUUCCUCCAGUGCAUUGAGUGCUAAAUCUCUCUCCUUCAACAUGACUUCUACGUCAUUGUUAGGAGAUUGCUUCCAUCCAUAUGACAGCAGUGGCGGGGGAGUUCUUCCAAAAACAGAUUGGUAAGGAGUAGUUUUGGUGGAUGCGUGGAAGGUUGUGUUAUACCAUAAUUCCGCCCAAGGGAUCAGUUUAUCCCAUUUCUUCGGUUGUUCAUUGCAAAAGCAUCUCAAAUAGGUCUCUAGGCAUCUGUUUACCCUCUCGGUUUGUCCAUCGGUUUGGGGAUGGAAUGCCGUGCUUCUCUUCAAAAUGGUGCCCAUGGUAGUGAACAACUCCUUCCAGAAAUUGCUAAGGAAGAUCUUAUCACGGUCGGUAAUAAUGGACUUGGGUAUUCCAUGUUUGCUGACCACUUUUUCCAAAAAAAUUGAAGCCACUUGCUUGGCUGUGUACGGGUGUUUCAGAGGCAAGAAGUAGGAGUACUUACUUAGGCGGUCGACGACUACCAUAAUCACGUUGUAACCUCCUGCUAUUGGCAGCCCUUCAAUAAAAUCCAUGGUCCAAUCCUCCAAUAUCUUGUCGGGGAUAGGAAUGGGUUGCAGAACUCCCGCAGGCUUAGUAGCUUCGAACUUAUUACGUUGACAAGUGUCACAUUCUUCUACAUAUCUCUUGAUAUCAGCCUUCAUUCCUUUCCAAAAUAGUUCCCCACUCAUUCUUUUAUAGGUUCUCAAGAAUCCCGAGUGCCCUCCUAAUAUGGAAUCAUGGAACGUGUGUAGAAGACUCGGAAUGAGGGAGGAAUUUCGCGGCAGCACCAUCCUUCCUUUAUAUAGCAGCCUGCCAUUGUUCCACUGGUAUUUCCCACCUUGAUCCACCUCUCCCUUAAGUUCGGCAAUAAUUUUCUGAAGUUCUUGAUCCAUUUCAACUUCCUUCUCUAUUAUCUCUAUAUCAACUAUGCCUGUGGUUGUCAUUGUAUUUAACUCCACCGAAUGGUCCUUCCUUGAGAGAGCAUCCGCCACCUUAUUCUGCAGACCCGGCUGGUAUAAGAUCUCAAAGUCAUACCCCAAAAGUUUUGUGAGCCACUUUUGGAAUUGAGGCUGAACUUCCCUCUGUUCUAACAGAAAUUUCAGAGCCUUCUGAUCUGAAACAAUUGUGAACUUUCUGCCCAGGAGAUAAUGUCUCCAUUUUUGCACCGAAAGGACAACCGCCAUCAAUUCCCUUUCAUAGAUCGACUUACCCUGGGCUCUUGGGGACAGUUUCUGGCUGAAGAAUGCGAUGGGAUGACCAUCUUGUGAUAAAACUGCACCUAAACCUACUCCUGAAGCAUCAGUUUCGAUUGUGAAGGGCUGAGACCAAUCCGGCAAUGCUAAUACCGGUAAGGUUGUCAUUGCUAGCUUCAGCUGGUCAAACGCUAUUGUAGCUUCCUCAUUCCAAUGGAAUGCAUUUUUCUGAAGUAAUUUGGUUAAGGGUGCAGCUAUUUCUCCAUAGCUUUUCACAAAUCUUCUAUAAUACCCAGUCAGUCCAAGGAAUCCCCUCAGCCCAGUUAUAUCUUUCGGCCGUGGCCAAUUUACCAUACUGCGAAUCUUGUCCUCAUCAGCCUCCACUCCUCUGCUGGAAAUCAGAUGACCCAAAUAUUGAACUUGGGAAUGAGCAAUGACACAUUUAGACCUAUUUGCAAACAAUUCAUGGUCCCUCAAGAUAGCAAAAACCAUUCCUAAAUGUUUCAUGUGUUCAUCUAUGUCCACACUAUAAACUAGAAUGUCAUAAAAAAAAACCAGGACACACCUUCGAAGGAAUGGUUUGAACACCUCGUUCAUGAGAGAUUGGAAGGUGGCAGGAGCAUUCGUAAGGCCGAAAGGCAUCACCAAGAACUCAUAAUGUCCUUCAUGCGUGUGGAAAGCUGUUUUCUCCACAUCUUCCUCCCUCAUCCUAAUCUGGUGGUAUCCAGAUUUAAGGUCUAACUUUGAGAAAGCUGUCGCACCAUGAAGUUCAUCUAAGAGUUCUUCGAUCACGGGAAUUGGAAAUUUAUCAGCCACCGUUACUUGAUUGAGUUUCCUGUAAUCUACACAAAAUCUCCACCCUCCAUCUUUUUUCUUCACUAAGAGGACCGGGCUCGAAUAUGGGCUGCGGCUUGGACGAAUCACCCCAGCUUGUAACAUUUCUAACACCAAUUUUUCAAUCUCUUCCUUUUGUACAUGGCCAUACUUAUAUGGUCUUACAUUAAUUGGUUUCUGAUCGGCCACGGUCAGAAUGCGAUGGUCUAUGGCUCUCCUUGGCGGUAAACCCGUGGGCAACCUAAAGACAUCUGCAUAUUGCUCGAGCAAUCGCUGAACCAUGGGUAAUCCUUCUUCCUUUCCCUUCAAUUCAGCUUCUGUUUCCGAUUCUCCUUCAUAGUUUACUUCAUAGUUUUGGAAUUCCAAGAGGAAUCCUUGGUCCCCGGAUUGCCACGUUUUCUCUAAGGUUCUCAAUGAACAUUCUGACUUCGUUAGAGAAGGGUCACCUUUUAGGAUUAUUCUUCUACCUUCAUCCAAAACGUCAUGGUUAGGGAUGGCCAGUGAACCUUCAUGGUUCCUGUCGAAUCUAGCCAUUGCAUCCCAAGCACCAAGUCUACCGUUCCUAACUCUACCGCUAGGAAAUCUGCUACGAUUGUUAACUCUUUUAACUUCACCUUCACCCUCUUGCAAAUCCCACUUCCUUCACAUUGGUUGCCAUUCCCAAUGGUAACUCCAAAACGAGUUCCCGGAUCGAUGCUCAGCUGUAGUUCAUCUACCAACACUUAGCUGAUGAAGUUAUUGGUCGCCCCGCUGUCAAUCAGAAUAUACUACUUCCCUUCCGUUCACAUGUCCUUUUAAUUUCAUCGUCCCCUUUGAUGUAACUCCCGUGAUCAACCUCAAUUCAAUAGGGUUAUCCAUAUUCAAUUCCAGAUGAUUCAGUUCUAUUACUUCGCUUGCCUCAUCCUCUGUAUCCUCUUCCCUUUUGUGGUCUUCUUCCUCAUUUAGUAUAAGGAGCAUCAACUCUCUUUUUUCUCUCCCUUUACAUCGAUGGCCUGGGGCGUACUUUUCAUUACAUCUGAAACAAAGCCCCUUAUCCAGCCUUGCUCUAAAUUCCGUAUCCGACAGCCGUUUAAUUGGGAGAUCUUUUUUCUGGUAAUCAUUUUUCAAUGGAAUAGUUACCUGCUUCAUCACAAACUCUGUCUUUUUACUUUCUGUCUUCUCAUUUUUUCCUUGAAAUUUGCUGCUGUUCUCAUUCCUUUUGGGCUCAACUAUAUCCAACUCUUCCAUCGCCAGUUUUAAUGCUAUAUUCCUAUCAUUCGCCAGCUGAGCUUCCUUCAUACAUUCCUCUAAAGUUUGAGGGUGUCUGCUGAUUACUUCCGCUUGCAGUGAGGGUUCCAGACCCGUUAAAAACGCAUCCAGCAGAACACUUUCUGCCAUGUCCGGGAGGGGGCUGAGUAUGUAACAAACUUCUUAACGUACUCGCUGUAUGAGCCUUCUUGCUUAAUACGGAUUAAUCUUGCCCCCAAGCUCUGCUGUCCUGUAUCAUUAAAGAAAUCAAACAUCCUUUCCUUCAAGUCCUCCCAAGAUUCCACCCUCUUUCUACGAUUACUCCAUCUAAACCAGUCUACCUCUUCCUGUCCAAAACUCACGACUGCUACUUUGACCUUCUCAGCUUCCGGUAAGUCAUUUAUAUCAAAAAAAUGUUCUGCUCGGUACGCCCAGGAUUCAGGGUUCACCCUGUAAACAGUGGCAUUUCUAAUUUUUUGUACUUACUUCGGUCUGCGCUGCUUCCACCCGACUCGACUGUGGUUCCGGCCUCUUCCAGUUUUCCCUUCAGUUUCAACCUGAUGUCGUCCGUAGUCCCUGCUUCUUCUUUUUUCUUAGCACCAUGGUUUUCUCUUAGCUCGCCUGUCAUUCGAUCCAUCGAUUUCUUCAUUUCCAGCAUCAUCUCCUUCAGACUCAUAAUUUCCUUUUCAGUACCUUCUACCCGUUCUUCUAUCUGUCUUUGAGCCAUCAGACGCGUGAUCACCCCCAGUGUGGAGGCUCUGAUACCAAUAUAUAAGGAUUCAACUUGCUUACUUCACUAUUUCUCCCUUACAAUGGCCAAAAACAGAGGUAGCCCUCUGCUAUCUUUAUUUAUAUAUAGCCAAAAUGAGUACAGAAAAACAUAAAGAUUCAAGAAAAACAAGGAAUAAUGAAGACAAACCCAGCUUCCUCUAGGGAAAGACUGGAUAUUCCUCUAGGCUAAGCAGCCGCCAACUUCAGGAUAAAAAUAAAACCUACCUCCCCUAGACCUAAAAAACCUAUUUAUAUUCCUUCUCUCAUCUUUCUCUUAUUUCUGUGCCUGGGCCCCACCUGCACGAUCUCCUCCUCUUUUCCUUCCUCAUUAUUAAUUUGUCCAAUUACUUUUCUGCCCCUCCUUUGAUAUGUAUGAAUAAUUGGAGGUCUUACACUAUAUCCCACGUUUUUUCCAAUGUCUUCAAAGAACAUUCAGGUUUCACUAAGGAUGGAUCUCCUCUUAACACGAUUUGCUUGUCUUUUGCCCAAAAGGUCAUGGUUAAUGAUGGCCAAUGUACCUUCAUUGUGCCGGUGGUAUCUAGCCAUUGCAUCCCUAAAAUCACGUCAAUAUUUCCUAGUUCCACCACUAGAAAAUCAGUUAUAACUGUCAUUUCUUUCAAUCUCAGUUCCACCUUUCUGCAAAUACCUUUCCCUUUACAGCGGGUCCCGUCUCCAAUAGUCACUCCAAAUUGUGUACCGGGUUCAAUGUUCAACCCUCCUUCCAUUGCCACUGCUUCGGAUGAUGAAAUCACCACCUCCCUUCCUUUUACAUGCCCCUUCAGUUUCAUUGUCCCUUUGGAUGUUAACCCCGUGAGUGUCUUCAAUUCAAUUUCGGUGGUUUCAGCAACAACUAACUGGUUCAGCUCCAUUACUUCUUCGGUCUCUUCCAUUUUGACUUCCUCCCCGCCACUCUCUUCUUCGUUAAGUAUAAAUAACAUUAAUUCCCUUUUCUCUCUCAUCUUGCAUCGGUGUCCCGGUGAGUACUUCUCAUUGCAUCUAAAACACAAACCCUUGUCCAAUCUUGCUCUGAAUUCCGUGUCCAAGAGUCUUUUAACUGGAGGUUCAUUUUUCUGGUAGUUUCCUUUAAUGGGAAUAGUGACUUGCUUCAUGGGGAACUCAGUCUUCUUUGGUGAACUUUUAUCUUGACUGCUUUGUCCCUUGCUUGAGCCUCCUCCUUCCCUAGUCACACUGUUUACCCAUUCUGCCUUGGCUAAUUUCAAGGCUAGGUUUCUGCCACUUACCAGUUGUGCCUCCUUCAUACAUUCCUCUAAGGUUUGAGGAUGUCUACUAAUAACUUCUGCUUGAAGAGCCGGUUCUAGACCAGUCACGAAUGCAUCUAAGAGCACGCUUUCAGCCAUGUGCGUAGUGGUGCAGAAUAUUGUACGAAUUUCUUGACAUAAUCAUUAUAGGAUCCAUCUUGUUCUAUUCGAAUCAGCCUUGCACCUAAGCUCUUCUGCCCAGAAUCUCGAAAAAAUUCAAACAUCCUUACCUUCAAAUCUUCCCAUCCUUCCACCUUCUUUCUAUGGUUACUCCAACGGUACCAAUCGAUUUCAUCUUGUCCGAAACUAACCACUGCUACUUUCACUUUUUCUGCUUCCGGUAGGCUAUUAAUUUCGAAAAAAUGCUCAGCUCUAAACACCCAUGACUCAGGAUUUUCCCCGGUGAAAAUCGGCAUUUCCAGUUUCUUAUAUUUGCUUCGGUCGACAGUUACUACAUUGUUUUCCCCUGGAUUGUCGGCUUCUUCCCAUUUUCCUUUUAACUUCAUGACUGAUCCAUCAGAAGUUCCGGAUUCAUCUCGCCUUUUGUAGCUGCUGUUUUCUUUCAUUUCAUCAGCCAGUCUAUCCAUGGAUUUCUUCAUUUCCAGAAUCAUUUCCUUCAAGCCCAGUAUUUCUUUCUCGGUUCCAUCUAUUCUUUCUUCUAUUUGCCUUUGCGCCAUCAGUCGCGUCACCACCCCAGCGUUUGGGCUCUGAUACCAGUUGUAGAGACUCCACAAAUAAAAUACUAAAUUACCCAAACAGUUGGCAAACAGAGACAGCACUCUGUAGAUCUUUAUUUAUAUAUAAAUGCCAAGAGAUACAGUAGAAGGAAAUAUAAAAGAAAGCAAUAAAGAUGAUAAUAUCAUGUCAAACCUCCCCAGGAAAAGAUAGUAGUCCUUCCUAGACCUAGCAGCCUCUACAGACCAAAUGAAGACAAAAAGUUAACCUAGCCCCCAAUCCCGAUAAGGCCUUAUUUAUAGCUCUUUUCUCAUUCUUCCCCGUGGGCCCCACUCUCAUGUUCUUUUCCUAAUAUUCUCCCCUUUUCUGCUGCGUGAGCUUUUACGUUUUUACCCCUCCUUUUGUAUGUAUGGAUAAUAGGGGGCCUUACAAAUUUCUUCCAACACUAUGAAACAUUUAUGUUAUAGUUUUAUUAUUGUAAACAUUUUUGCUAAACAUCAUUGUAAUUUCCAAACACAACUCUGCCAAAGUUCCCAAGAUAGUUCUAUAGCAAUGUUCCACAGGCUAUCUUGCAAGUGAUGUGGAACUCCUUUGCUUUUUUGAAUAGUAAGCUGGCCUUCCUCUUUUGUUAUGCUUUGUUUUGUUCUUAAUACUUGCUUUUAUCUUCGCCUAUUUCAUUCCUAGUUGAUAUAUUACAUAGUCCUCUUAAAUCUACAUUCUUUUUCUGUUUUAUGAUUCGCUUGAGUUUAAUGACUAACUUUGGCAAAAUAAUGUUGAACUAUAUUACAUGUUUUGCAUCUAAACCUCAAUUGAAAAGGUUUGUUACCUGUAUCAUUAUAAGGUUUCCAUCCAUCUUUCUUAGGCCAUCAAUGAAUGAAGUUUUUGCUUAGAUCUAUCUUAGUUCGGCCUCUUUAAAAUGUUACUCCAUACAAGGAAGAUCGAAAGUUGUGAUUACAAAGUGUAGAUUUGUAUUGUAUAGUUGCCUUAGUUAUUUUUUUAAUUAUUCUUUUUAGACGUUAUUUCCUUUUAUAAUUAGUUCUCUUUAGUUAGAAUUUCUAUUAAAUUAUACUUGCCUAUUAUCAAGUCCUUUUUCAUUAAUAAGAGAAAAUGGAGUUUUUCUCAAAUAACAAAAAGUGAUUAUUUAAGAUACUAUGCUAAAGGGAACACAUCCAAUUACCAUGUUGAGAAUAUUAUCUUUGCCUAUUGAAGGUCUUGGAUUCUUGGUCAACUUUGAAUGCGAAUUUUUCUUAGUUGAUUAUUAAAUAUCAGGGUAAAAAGAUCUUAUAUUGUAAUGUUGUUUUGCUUCACUUGCAUCAUACACUAAAACACAAGAUUAAAAAAAAAAGUUAUAUUUAGACUUUUGUAUGGUAGAUUAGGUGUUCUCUUUGAAUUGGUGUUGGUAUUGGCUUUCUAAUUAUGAUAUGAUUUUGGGAACCUUUGAAUUAUGUUCUUCAAACCUUCUCUCUUCGAUUGAAGCUUAUUAUAUUUUAUCGUUGUUAGUAUGUUUUUUUUUUCCAUUUUUUCCCUUCUAAUAUUUUUAUUUGAUAUAUAAUGUGCAUAAAAGAGAAAGUAGUUAAUGUGUUUUACAUUGUUGUGUUGUGCAAAGUUGGUGCUGUUGGUUCAAAUAUUUAAGAUUUGGUGAAGCACUUGGAAUAAGUUCAAACUUUUAAUCUGUAGGAUAAUUUACUUUAUAAGAAUCACACAUUUACCUUUUUUUUCUUUUUUGAAGUAGGAAAGGAGCCUCUUCAUUAAGCUGAAAAUGAAUAGACAAGACAAAAGGUAAUACAAAGAAGCCCUAGGAUCAGUGAGUGCACUAGGACAUCUCAUCUAUGUUGACACCUACUUAGCAUUCUCACCAUAUCGAGACUUAAACCAAAAGACUAAACCAACGACAAGGUUUAGAAUAGAUCAUACAAACUGCCCAAUAACUAUACAACAUAGAUUUAAGACCACUAGAAAUCCAAAAGAAAUAAAAUAAGAGUACAGUAGUGGACUAAGAAUUAAAAAUGAAAGUCGGCCAAUUAUGACUUAUAUCUUGUAUGGAGAAAUCUUUGAAGUCUUUUGAAAGAGAGCAUCAAGAAGAAGCAUUGAUUCUAGCCAUUUCGACUCGAGUUGUCCAAGAGGAAGCUUUAUUUUAAAAUGUUAGUUGAUUAUGUUCAAACCAAAUUUCUGGUAAAAUGGCCUUUACUGCAUUUAACCAAAUCAAUCUUGGUUUCUUCUUGAGAAUGGGACAUGAAAUAAGCUGGACCGCGUUCUCCUAAAUCUAUAGUCGAAAACCCAAUUCAAAUGAAGAUAGCCAAGUAAGUCAAACCAACACUUCUUUUCAUGUAAGCAGGAGAAGAAAAUAUGAUGUAAAUCUUCUAAAGCAUGCAAACACAAGGGACAAAUAUGAGGAGAUAAACUGUGAGAGGAAGGUUUCAUUUGCAAAACUUCUGCACAGUUCAUAGUCCAUUUCGCUUUCUCCAAAGCGUGAUAUUCACUCUUUCUAGGGCUUUUUUGUCUUCCAAAUUGUCGAGUAUAAAUGUUUUUCAAUUGGGGAGGCAAUGGAGAGAUGCUUGACUAAUGAAUGAACCAAAAACAUCCCAUUUGAUUCUGAUUUCUAGGUUCUUUUAUUUUGGGAGGCUUGAAAUUCAUCUAUUUCUUCAACUUUUAGAAGUCUCCUGAAAUUUAGAGCCCAUGAAGUAGUGGAAGAGUCCCAAAACUCCUUUACAUCUCCAUUAUUAGAGUUCAAAGACAAUCUAAACGAUCUUGAAAAGAAACAACAUCUGCCCAAAAAUCAUUCCAAAAUGCUAUUCUUCAACCAUCACCGAACUUGAACAAUGCCUAGGAAUCCACUUGAAGCUAGCAUCUCGAAAUGCUAAUCCAGGGACUAUGGAGACUGCAAGUGACAAUUCCUUUAGUAUGCCAUCCAAAUUAACUUUCUCCAUGGAUACUCUUCACCACUUUAGCCCAAAGGGAAUUCUUUUCAUUUAUAAAUCUCCAUCCCCAUUUAGCAAGAAGGUUGCAUUUUUUUAACGUUGCACACAUCGACGCCGAUUCCACCAUCCUCUUGCGAACAAGACACCACCUUCCAAUUAAUCACUUUAUGAAUCAUCUUUUCUGGCAUUAAGAAUAUAGACAUAUAGUGUGUAGGUAUAUGUGAAAAAACCGACUUACAAAGUGUGUCCCAACCUCCACUAAAGAGACAAUAUCUUUUCCACUUAUCUAGUUUAACUUGGAUUUUAUCUAUUUCUUGAAAUUACAUAAGGAGUAGAGAGAGGGCUCCAAGCCGAAGCAGUUAUGGAAAACAUCUCCAAUUUACAGCAAGUUAAAGCAAAAAAAAAAAAAAAAAACCGCAGUUCAAAAAACUAGGCAUCUUGCUUCCUUCUAAUUGAAAGUUCUGCUGUUUCUGUCAAGUCAAAUUGACCACAAAAUGCUCAAAUGAGAUUCUUCAAUAGGAAUACAUAAAAAAAAAGAUAAUAUGUAAAAGAAUUUUCAAUGUUUAAUAUAAUAUGUAAAAUAAUUUUCUUAUAUUGGAAUUGGCAGAUGGCUGAGGGCCUUCGUGAAACGUGGGAGAGAAGCGAUAACAUUAUCGUUCAAAAAAUUCAGGAGUAAGUAUUUAUGUGAAAGGCCAUAUUAUUUGGCCAUUUGACCAUAUUUAUGAUUGAAUUAUUUGGAUGGAAAUGAUAAACUACACAUUAUUGUCUGCUUGAGUUGUGAUCUUGAUUAUGGGCUAUUUGGUAUUUUGCCUACAAACUGUAUAGUUAAUUAUCUGUUCGCUUUUGUUUUCCUGUCACAGCUUUAUGUUUCUGUGGCUAAUUGUAGCCAAAGUUUUAUUUAUCGAUCUUAUUUUUCACAGCAUAAAUGAAACCGUGUUUCAAGCAUCAAAUGCUGCUACAUCAUUCAAGGAAAUUCGCCGUAGAGAUCCGUAAGUUUUUUCCUUUGGUGCUGUGAUACUAACCUGUUUGAAUAAAGGAACCUGACUUGGUCUUUUCCUCUUUAACAUUAUGGAUUAGGUCUUUCUCUUUACCAGAUUUCGUAGUUGAACUUUAAGAAGCAAUCAAACCGGUGUUAACUUCUUAUAUAAAGGUUAGUGCUAACUGCUAAGCUUAUUUCUAAGAUGAAAGAUGCUUUUAUCCCCUCCCCAAAGAAUAUCAUUACUAUUUAUGUUGUAUUUCUGCUAACUAAUUCUUGCAUAGCAUCUGGUUUGAUAAAUAAAGUAAAGUUUCUGACAUGGAGGUUUUCAAGUUGGAAUAUAUAUUUAUGUUUUAGGUAGAUUCCCAAACUUUGAAGAAACGCUGCAGUACUGAGGUAAUUGAACGUUGUAAGGCAGAGCAUUGGGCUUACCGGAGCCAAGGUAUCUUCUUCGAUAACAAGUAAGGAUAGUCCUGAUACUACCUUUCUUUUGUUAUUGAAGUUUAUUGUUCCUUCUCUCUUGUUUGGUGGUUGUGCACCUAUAUUGAUUUGUACUUCUGUUAAUUAAUUAUAGUCCUUCUCAGUUGUUUGAGUAAUUAUUGUCUACCAUUUUGUUAGCAAAGGCUUCCCGUGGAAAUUUAGUUUGUUGUGCUGCAUGUCCAAGAUGAUUUUCGUGAUUUUAGUUUUAGAUACAUAAAAGGGAUUUUGCAUCACAACAUGAAUGACUAUUUCUAAAUAUGAACCUACAAUAACCCCAAAUGAAUACCUGAUUAAAUUGGAAACAGGGCAGAUAGAGAGUGAGAUGGAGAGUGUUUGUGUGUGCUUUAGAGUAGUUUUAAGCACAUUUUUUAGAUUUGUUUAACACUAAGUUUGUUUCACUUGCACAAUUGGUUGCCAUUUUAGGUCUCAAAGUGCAUUUUCACUCAUUUUGAACUUUUUGUUAGUUUGUGAGUUACGAACUUACACUUAAGCACUGUUAGGUCGUUUCAAACACAUUUUGUGUUUGUUUGGAACUAAGUUUGUUUAGACAUUUGAUUGACAUGUUGGGUCUCCAAGUGCUUUUUUCCACACUUUUUGAAAUUUUGGUAGGUUGUGAGUCACGAACUUACGCUUGAGUAUUGUUUGGUCCGUUUGAAAGCUUAGACACAUUUUGAACUCUUUUUAAGAUAACUUGAAACUAAGUUCAUUGCACUUACAUACUUCGUUGCCGUUUUGGGUCUUGAAGUACCUUUUUCACACUUUUUGAAAUUUUGGUAGGUUGUGAGUUACAAACUUACCCUUAAGCAUUGUUUGGUUGUUUUGAAAAUUCAAGUGAUAGUUACACACGUUUUGAAUACAUUUUAGGUUAGAUUGAGUUUGUUGCACUUGGUUGUCAUUUUUGGUCUUGAAAUGCUUUUUUCAAACUUUUUGGUAGAUUAUGAGUUACGAACUUACACUUAGGAUUUGCUAGGUCGUUUUGAAAACUCAAGUAAUACAUAGACACGUUUUGAGCACAUUUUAGGUUGGUUUGAACUAAGUUUGUUGCACUUACACACUUGGUUGCCAUUUUGGGUAUUGUAGUGCUUUUUUCACAAUAUUUGGACUUUUUUCGUAGGUUAUGAGUUACGAUCCUACACGUAAGCUGUUUUAGGACAUUUUGAAAGUUUAAGUGAUACUUAGACACGUUUUAAACUCGGUUUAGGUUAGUUUGAAACUAAGUUUGUUGACCUUAUCCAAUUGGUUGCCAUUUUCGGUCUUGAAGUGCCCUUUUCACACUUUUUGAACUUUUUGGUAGGCUAUGGGUUACCAACUUACACUUAAACUUUGUUAGGUUGUUUUGAAAGUCCAAGUGAUACUUAGACACGCCUUGACCACUUUUUAGGUUGGUUUGGAACUAAGUUUGUUGCACUUGCGCACUUGGUUGCCAUUUUGGGUCGUGUAGUGUUUCCUUUUUUUCCAUACUUCUUGAACUUUUUGGUAGGUUAUGAGUGAUGAAUUUACAAAUAAACAUUCUUAGGUCGUUCUGAAAGUUCAAGUGAUACUUAAACACGGUUUGAAAUUUUUUUAGAUUUGUUUAAGACUAAGUUUGUUUCACUUGCAUACUUGGUUGCCAUUUUAGGUCUCAAAGUGCAUUUUUCACGCAUUUUGAUUUUUUUGUUAGUUUGUGAGUUACGAACUUACACUUAACGAUUGUUAGGUCGUUUUAAACACAUUUUGCGUUGGUUUGAAACUAAGUUUGUUGCACUUACACAUUGGAUUGAAAUGUUGGGUCUUGAAGUACUUUUUUUCACACUUUUUGAAAUUUUUUUAGGUUGUGAGUUACGAACUUACGCUUGAGUAUUGUUUGGUCGGUUUGAAAUCUUAGACACGUUUUGCACUCUUUUUAGGAUGGCUUGAAACUAAGUCCGUUGCACUUACAUACUUCGUUGCCAUUUUGGGUCUUGAAGUGCUUUUUUACAGUUUUUGAAAAUUUGGUAGGUUGUGAGUUACAAACUUACACUUAAGCAUUGUUUGGUGGUUUUGAAAGUUUAAGUGAUACGUACACAUGUUUUGAAUACAUUUUAGGUUAGAUUGAUUUUGUUGCACUUGGUUGUCAUUUUUGGUCUUGAAAUGCUUUUUUCAACCUUUUUGGUAGAUCAUUACGAACCUACAUUUAGGAUUUGCUAGGUCGUUUUGAAAACUCAAGUAAUACCUAGACACGUUUUGAGCACGUUCUAGGUUGGUUUGAACUAAGUUUGUUACAAUUACACACUUGGUAGCCAUUUUGGGUCUUGUAGUGCUUUUUUCACACUAUUUGAACUUUUUUCGUAGGUUAUGAGUUACAAAUCUCAACGUAAGCUGUUUUAGGUCGUUUUGAAAGUUCGAGUGAUACUUAGACACAUUUUGUUCAAGUGAUACUGUUUUAGGUCGUUUUGAAGUGAACUUUUUUCUUCUUGUAUUGACUGUUUUACUAUUUCUUCAUGGUUUGUAUUCAUGGUAUUAUUUUCGUAAUUGGGCCAUCUUGCUUCUUUCUUAUUGAAAGUUUGGCCGUUUCUUUCAAGUCAAAUUGACCAAAAAUGCUCAAAUGAGAUUCUUCAAUAGGAAUAUGUAAAAAAAAUAUAAUAUGUAAAAGAAUUUUUGUGAAACGUGGGAGAGAAGCGGUAACAUUAUCCUUCAAAAAAUUCAGGAGUAAAUAUUUAUGUGAAAGGACAUAUUAUUUGGCCAUUUGACCUUAUUUGUUAUUGAAUUAUUUGGUUGGAAAUGAUAAACUACACAUUAUUGUUUGCUUCAGUUGUGAUCUUGAUUAUGGGCUAUUUGGUAUUUUGCUUACAAACUGUAUAGUUAAUUAUCUGUUAGCUUUUGUUUUCCUGUCACAGCUUUAUGUUUAUGUGGCUCAUUGUAGCCGAAAGUUUUAUUUAUCAAUCUUAUUUUUCACAGCAUAAAUGAAACUGUGUUUGAAGAAUCAGGUGCUGCUACAUCAUUCAAGGAAAUUCGUCGUAGAGGUCCGUAAGUUUUUUCCUUUGGAGAUGUGAUACUAACCUGUUUGAAUAAAGGAAUCUGACUUGGUCUUUUCCUCUUUAACAUUAUGGAUUAGGUCUUUCUCUUUACCAGAUUUCGUAGCUGAACUUUAAGAAGCAAUCAAACCGGUGUUAACUUCUUAUAUAAAGGUUAGUGCUAACUGCUAAGCUUAUUUCUAAGAUGAAAGAUGCUUUUAUCCCCUCCCCAAAGAAUAUCAUUACUAUUUAUGUUGUAUUUCUGCUAACUAAUUCUUGCAUAGCAUCUGGUUUGAUAAAUAAAGUAAAGUUUCUGACAUGGAGGUUUUCAAGUUGGAAUAUAUAUUUAUGUUUUAGGUAGAUUCCCAAACUUUGAAGAAACGCUGCAGUACUGAGGUAAUUGAACGUUGUAAGGCAGAGCAUUGGGCUUACCGGAGCCAAGGUAUCUUCUUCGAUAACAAGUAAGGAUAGUCCUGAUACUACCUUUCUUUUGUUAUUGAAAUUUAUUGUUCCUUUUGUUGGGGGCUUGGUGGUUGUGCACCUAUAUUGAUUUGUACUUCUGUUAAUUAAUUAUAGUCAUUCUCUCUUGUCUGAGUAAUUAUUGUCAACCAUUUUGUUAGCAAAAGGCUUCCCAUGGAAAUUCAGUUUGUUGUGCUGCAUGUCCACGAUGAUUUUCGUGAUUUUAGUUUUAGAUACAUAAAAAGGGCCUUUGCAUCACACAUGAAUGACUACUUUUUAAUAUGAACGUACAAUACCCCAAAUGAAUGCUGAAAGUAAGUUUAUUGAUGUAUGUAAUUUACAACAAUCUUUUUGAACUUUUUGGUAGGUUAUGAAUUACGAACUUGUAUUGAAUAUUUGUUAGGUCGUUUUAAUAAAUUCAAGUGAUGCUUAGAAAAUGCAACCGAGCUUAAACAAUUCUGCACAUUUUUCUAAAAUUUUUAGUUUAACCUCUUUAAUAAAAUUCGAAAGGAAAUUCUUGUUUUCUUUUUGUAGGAAUAAAGGAAAAUGAAAUAUAACCAAACUUGGGAUCUUUGCAAGCAAGCUUCCAUGAAGAAACUAGGUUACAAGGGGAGGUCUUCUGUUCUCCUUUUUUUUUCUUUCCAUCCGUAGAAUCUUGCUUAAAAUGCUUUGAGGACAAUGCAAAUUUUUAAGUGGGGGGUGGGGUUGUAGCCUUGCACAUUCCAUGUCCUUUGGGAAAUUUUCAUUUUGCAAAUUUUGCUAAAAAUGUCAAAAUUUAGAAACUUUUGCAAUGCUCUAUGCUUAGAAUAAGUACCAUGUCUACUUCGCUUUUUAGCAUAAAAAAGCAUAUAUGCCUAACCCAUGAGAACAGAGCUCGGAUUUGUGAUUGUAUUUGUUAUUUGAAUAUGUUACAUAUGUUGAAAAUGCAUAUAUUGAUAGCUUAGAAAUGAGUAGAACACUUGGUUCAUUUUCUGAAUAUUGUGAAUUAUGUACAUAAUAAUAUGUGCGGUUGCCUUUUUUAUCUCAAUUUUAAUCCCCUUUUUUGCCAUCUUCUACUGCCUUUUUUAUAUUAAUUUUAAAUCCCUCUUUUGGCCAUACACAUUUGUAUAAGAUUGUUUGAAAGCAAAAUAAGAUUGUUAGGUCAAGUAGAAAGCAAAGUCGGCAAGUUCUUAGAGUUCUUCACCCAACAUAACAGCCGAUAAAAACAAAGCAAUACGACCAAGCUGCUUAGAGUUGCAGAACCCGACCCCCGCCUAGUGGGUCACUAGAGUUCUUCACCCAGCAUGGCAGCCGGUAGAGAGGGAGAGAGAAAAAAAAGAGGGAGCCAAGCCAGCCGCUUAGGUCAAGUAAAAUGCGGACCGAGAUCCCCCGGUUUCAGAAUUUUCGUGGGGAUCCUCUCCGCUUUUCUUGCCUAAGCAAAACCCGACCCGCCUAGUAGGUUCUUAGAGUUUUUCACCCAGCAUGGCAGCCGGUAGAGAAGGUGAGAGAAAAAAAAGAGGGAGCCAAGCCAGCCGCUUAGGUCAAGUAAAAUGCGCGCCGAGAUCCCCCGGUUUCAGAAUUUUCGUGGGGAUCCUCUCCGCUUUUCUUGCCUAAGCAAAACCCGACCCGCCUAGUAGGUCCUUAGAGUUUCUUCACCCAGCAUGGCAGCCGGUAGAGAGGGUGAGAGAAAACAAAGAGGGAGCCAAGGCAGCCGCUUAGGUCAAGUAAAAUGCGCGCCGAGAUCCCCCGGUUUCAGAAUUUUCGUGGGAUCCUCUCCGCUUUUCUUGCCUAAGCAAAACCCGACCCGCCUAGUAGGUCCUUAGAGUUUUUCACCCAGCAUUGGCAGCCGGUAGAGAGGGUGAGAGAAAAAAAAGAGGGAGCCAAGGCAGCCGCUUAGGUCAAGUAAAAUGCGCGCCGAGAUCCCCCGGUUUCAGAAUUUUUCGUGGGGAUCCUCUCCGCUUUUCUUGCCUAAGCAAAACCCGACCCCGCCUAGUAGGUCCUUAGAGUUUUUCACCCAGCAUGGCAGCCGGUAGAGAGGGGAGAGAAAAAAAAGAGGGAGCCAAGCCAGCCGCUUAGGUCAAGUAAAAUGCUCGCCGAGAUCCCCCCGGUUUCAGAAUUUUCGUGGGGAUCCUCUCCGCUUUUCUUGCCUAGGCAAAACCCGACCCGCCUAGUAGGUCCUUAGAGGUUUUCACCCAGCAUGGCAGCCGGUAGAGAGGGAGAGAGAAAAAAAGAGGGAGCCAAGCCAGCCGCUUAGGUCAAGUAAAAUGCGCGCCGAGAUCCCCGGUUUCAGAAUUUUCGUGGGGAUCCUCUCCGCUUUUCUUGCCUAAGCAAAACCCGACCCCGCCUAGUAGGUCCUUAGAGUUCUUCACCCAUCAUGGCAGCCGGUAGUGAGGGUGAGAGAAAACAAAGAGGGAGCCAAGGCAGCCGCUUAGGUCAUGUAAAAUGCGCGUCGAGAUCCCCCGGUUUCAGAAUUUUCGUGGGGAUCCUCUCCGCUUUUCUUGCCUAAGCAAAACCCGACCCGCCUAGUAGGUCCUGCUUCCAAUUCUUGGCGCUUUCUUGGACUCUUAUCUUAUUAUCCCUUUGUAUAUUCCGUCGGACUUUAUCAAGCUUUUAGCCUCCAUUCCAUUUCGGGGGGAAAGAACCGUCUUUGCAUCUGGGAUCUUAGUAGAUUGAAAUGGAGCAACUUCCGGGCGGUACCUUUGUGGAGGGGAUUCACUUCAGAAAGUAGAAGUCGAAAUUCAGUAGAAGUCGAAGGAAGAGAUAGGGUUUCAGGUAAAUUUAUGGGCAGCUUCUAAAUCUACAUUUUGAGAGAAUAAAUAGCUUGACUCAACGACAACAACUGAAACUGAAGAAAGAGCUGCUACUGGUCUCGCCUUUGCCUGGGCCUAGCCCUCGUACUCUGACUCAGCAGCUAGAUAGGGUUGAUGAAGACUUAUCCGUUGAGUCUGCUCUUUCAUGGGUUUCCUGAUCGGGGUUAGGAGCUUUACCAUUGCAAGAACUAUUCUUCUGAGUUUUUCACCCAGCAUUGCAGCAGGUAGAGAGGGUGAGAGAAAAAAAAGAGGGAGCCAAGGCAGCCGCUUAGGUCAAGUAAAAUGCGCGCCGAGAUCCCCCGGUUUCAGAAUUUUCGUGGGGAUCCUCUCCGCUUUUCUUGCCUAAGCAAAACCCGACCCCCUAGUAGGUCCUUAGAGUUUUUCACCCAUCAUGGCAGCCGGUAGAGAGGGAGAGAAAAAAAAGAGGGAGCCAAGCCAGCCGCUUAGGUCAAGUAAAAUGCGCGCCGAGAUCCCCCGGUUUCAGAAUUUUCGUGGGGAUCCUCUCCGCUUUUCUUGCCUAAGCAAAACCCGACCCGCCUAGUAGGUCCUUAGAGUUUUUCACCCAGCAUGGCAGCCGGUAGAGAGGGAGAGAGAAAAAAAAGAGGGAGCCAAGCCAGCCGCUUAGGUCAAGUAAAAUGCGCGCCGAGAUCCCCCGGUUUCAGAAUUUUCGUGGGGAUCCUCUCCGCUUUUCUUGCCUAAGCAAAACCCGACCCCGCCUAGUAGGUCCUUAGAGUUCUUCACCCAUCAUGGCAGCCGGUAGAGGGGAGAGAAGAAAAAAGAGGGAGCCAAGCCAGCCGCUUAGGUCAAGUAAAAUGCGCGCCGAGAUCCCCCGGUUUCAGAAUUUUCGUGGGGAUCCUCUCCGCUUUUCUUGCCUAAGCAAAACCCGACCCGCCUAGUAGGUCCUUAGAGUUUUUCACCCAGCAUGGCAGCCGGUAGAGAGGGGAGAGAGAAAAAAAAGAGGGAGCCAAGCCAGCCGCUUAGGUCAAGUAAAAUGCGCGCCGAGAUCCCCCGGUUUCAGAAUUUUCGUGGGGAUCCUCUCCGCUUUUCUUGCCUAAGCAAAACCCGACCCGCCUAGUAGGUCCUUAGAGUUUUUCACCCAGCAUGGCAGCCGGUAGAGAGGGGAGAGAAAAAAAAGAGGGAGCCAAGCCAGCCGCUUAGGUCAAGUAAAAUGCGCGCCGAGAUCCCCCGGUUUCAGAAUUUUCGUGGGGAUCCUCUCCGCUUUUCUUGCCUAAGCAAAACCCGACCCGCCUAGUAGGUCCUUAGAGUUUUUCACCCAGCAUGGCAGCCGGUAGAGAGGGAGAGAGAAAAAAAAGAGGGAGCCAAGCCAGCCGCUUAGGUCAAGUAAAAUGCGCGCCGAGAUCCCCGGUUUCAGAAUUUUCGUGGGGAUCCUCUCCGCUUUUCUUGCCUAAGCAAAACCCGACCCGCCUAGUAGGUCCUUAGAGUUCUUCACCCAUCAUGGCAGCCGGUAGUGAGGGAGAGAGAAAAAAAAGAGGGAGCCAAGCCAGCCGCUUAGGUCAAGUAAAAUGCGCGCCGAGAUCCCCCGGUUUCAGAAUUUUCGUGGGGAUCCUCUCCGCUUUUCUUGCCUAAGCAAAACCCGACCCGCCUAGUAGGUCCUUAGAGUUUUUCACCCAGCAUGGCAGCCGGUAGAGAGGGAGAGAGAAAAAAAAGAGGGAGCCAAGCCAGCCGCUUAGGUCAAGUAAAAUGCGCGCCGAGAUCCCCCGGUUUCAGAAUUUUCGUGGGGAUCCUCUCCGCUUUUCUUGCCUAAGCAAAACCCGACCCGCCUAGUAGGUCUUAGAGUUUUCACCCAGCAUGGCAGCCGGUAGAGAGGGAGAGAGAAAAAAAAGAGGGAGCCAAGCCAGCCGCUUAGGUCAAGUAAAAUGCGCGCCGAGAUCCCCCGGUUUCAGAAUUUUCGUGGGGAUCCUCUCCGCUUUUCUUGCCUAAGCAAAACCCGACCCCGCCUAGUAGGUUCUUAGAGUUCUUCACCCAUCAUGGCAGCCGGUAGAGAGGGAGAGAAAAAAAAAGAGGGAGCCAAGCCAGCCGCUUAGGUCAAGUAAAAUGCGCGCCGAGAUCCCCGGUUUCAGAAUUUUCGUGGGGAUUCUCUCCGCUUUUCUUGCCUAAGCAAAACCCGACCCCGCCUAGUAGGUUCUUAGAGUUCUUCACUCAGCAUGGCAGCCUGUAGAGAGGGAGAGAGAAAAAAAAGAGGGAGCCAAGCCAGCCGCUUAGGUCAAGUAAAAUGCGUGCCGAGAUCCCCGGUUUCAGAGUUUUCGUGGGGAUCCUCUCCGCUUUUCUUGCCUAAGCAAAACCCGACCCCGCCUAGUAGGUCCUUUAUUUCUUCACCUAGCACGGCAGCCGGUAGAGAGGGAGGGAGAAAAAAAAGAGGGAGUCAAGCCAGCUGCUUAGGUAAAGUAAAAUGCGCGUCGAGAUUGCCUGGUAUCAGAGCUUGCAUGGGCAACCUCUCCGCUUUAGAUGGAAUUUGAUGAAAUGCUUAUGUCGAAAGUAGGCAUUUCUCUACAGAGUCCUAAUGGUCAUAGAAAUUUAUUAUGUUUUGUAUUUAUUUUACUUUGUUGUCAAGAAUCAACUUCUUUUCUGAUUUGUAUGUUUAUGUAUAUGUUGCAUCUCUGUCUUGUUAUCAUGUUGUAUUUCAUUGUACUCAAUAGUCUGAUUUGCAUUUUUUAUUUGUGUUAAUAAGUGUUCGUGUAAUUGCAAUUUUGUUCUUGAAGAUAUUUUGCUUGAAUCAAGUUAGUUCUUUCUAUAAGGAUCAUUUUCUUGUAAGGUUAUAACUUCUUGUCCAAUUUUUCCAACACAUUUCAACUUGUAACAGGUGAAUCCCUUCUAAAUAAGAGCUUAAAAAGAAAAAACAAUUGGAACCUUUAACCAUAAAAUCAAGGUACUGCAUCUUAUUUGCAAUGAAUUGCUAUAAUUUUGUAGAGACUCCACAAAUAAAAUACUAAAUUACCCAAACAGUUGGCAAACAGAGACAGCACUCUGUAGAUCUUUAUUUAUAUAUAAAUGCCAAAAGAUACAGUAGAAGGAAAUAUAAAAGAAAGCAAUAAAGAUGAUAAUAUCAUGUCAAACCUCCCCAGGAAAAGAUAGUAGUCCUUCCUAGACCUAGCAGCCUCUACAGACCAAAUGAAGACAAAAAGUUAACCUAGCCCCCAAUCCCGAUAAGGCCUUAUUUAUAGCUCUUUUCUCAUUCUUCCCCGUGGGCCCCACUCUCAUGUUCUUUUCCUAAUAUUCUCCCCUUUUCUGCUGCGUGAGCUUUUACGUUUUUACCCCUCCUUUUGUAUGUAUGGAUAAUAGGGGGCCUUACAAUACCCCUCGGUUCCAGGUUCACCUUGUCCUCAAGGUGAAAGUCAGGGAAUUGUUGGUUCAUUUGGAAAACAGAUUCCCAAGUUGUUUCACUGUCCGGCAGCCCUUUCCACUUAAUUAACCAUUCAUUUCCUCCCAAUUCCCGAUUCCAACGGACUCCCAACACUGUUUCCGGCCAUAAUUGUAACUCAAACUCUUCCGUUAGCCUAGGUUGCUGGUGUUGAACAGCUUGUUGACUACCCAGUUUCAGUUUUAACUGAGAAAUAUGGAACACAUUGUGGAUACUGGCUUCCGGCGGUAACAUCAAUCUGUACGCAACUGCUCCUAUUUCUUCAGUAAUUUUGUAGGGUCCGUAAUAUUUAGGUGCUAACUUUUCACACUUCUUCCGAGCCAAGGAGCGUUGCCGGUAAGGUCUCAAUUUCAAGUAGACUUCAUCUCCUACCUUAAAUUUUAACUCUCUUCUAUUUCGAUCAGCCAUUUUCUUCAUCCUGUUCUAGGCUACACACAGGUGUUCUUUUAAGGCAUUGAUGGCUAAGUCACGUUCCUUCAGCAGCGUGUCAACCUCAUUAUUAGGAGUUUUCUUGUAACCAUAAUAGGAUAACAGGGGAGGAGGCGGUCUGCGGUAUACCGUCUGGAAAGGGGUCAUUUUGGUGGAUGCAUGGAAGGUGGUAUUAUACCACAAUUCUGCCCAUGGAAUCAGUCUAUCCCAUUUUUUUGGUUGUUCAUUACAGAAGCAUCGCAGAUAAGUUUCGAGACAUCUAUUUACCCUUUCUGUCUGCCCAUCAGUUUGUGGGUGAAACGCGGUACUCCUCUUUAGAAUAGUUCCCAUGGUUGCAAACAGUUCCUUCCAAAAAUUACUAAGAAAGAUUUUAUCCCGAUCUGUGAUAAUCGACUUAGGAAUGCCGUGCUUGCUUACUAUUCUGUCGAUGAAUAUGGAAGCAACUUGCUUGGCUGAAAACGGAUGUCUCAAUGAUAUAAAGUAAGAAUACUUACUCAGCCGAUCAACUACCACCAUGAUCACAUUAACCCCUCCAGCUAGUGGCAACCCCUCAAUAAAGUCCAUGGUCCAAUCUUCUAAGAUUCUGUCAGGAAUUGGAAUUGGUUGAAGUACCCCAGCUGGUUUGGUUGCUUCGUAUUUGUUUCUCUGGCAGAUCUCGCAUUGUUCCACAUAUUUCUUUAUUUCAGCCUUCAUACCCCUCCAAUAUAGUUCUCCACUGAUCCUCUUGUAAGUUCUUAAAAAUCCAGAAUGUCCCCCGAGGAUAGAAUCGUGGAAAGUAUGUAGGAUCUUGGGUAUAAGUGUAGAAGUUUGAGAUACUACCAUUCUCCCCUUAUAGAGCAAUCUUCCUUUUUCCACUUGAAACUUGCUUCCUUCUUCUGCAUUUUUCUUCAGAUUUUCCAUAAUUUUCUUAAGUUCAGCAUCAUUCUCAACUUCCUGCUCGAUUAGUUUCACAUCAAUGAUUCCAGUAGUUGUCAAGCUGUGCAGCUCCACCGGUUGCUCCAUUCUAGAUAGGGCGUCCGCUGCCUUGUUCUGAUGUCCGGGUUGAUAUAAAAUCUCGAAAUCAUAUCCAAGGAGCUUUGUCAACCAUUUCUGGAAUUGGGGCUGUACCUCUCUCUGUUCAAGCAAGAAUUUAAGAGCCUUUUGAUCUGAAAGUAUGGUGAACUUCCUGCCCAGCAAAUAAUGCCUCCAUUUUUGAACUGAUAGAACUACAGCCAUCAACUCUCUUUCAUAGAUGGAUUUGUUUUGAGCCCUUGUGGAUAACUUCUGACUGAAAAAGGCAAUCGGGUGGCCAUUUUGAGAGAUCACCGCUCCUAACCCUACGCCAGAUGCAUCAGUUUCGAUAAUAAAGGGAAUGUUCCAAUCUGGUAAUGCCAACACUGGUAGAGUAGUCAUUGCUAGCUUCAAAUUUUCGAAGGCAGUAUUUGCUUCUUCAUUCCACUUAAAAGCAUUCUUCUGUAAUAACUUGGUUAGCGGUGCAGCGAUCUCUCCAUAACCCUUGACAAACCUCCUAUAAUAUCCUGUCAGUCCUAAGAAGCCCCGCAGACCAGAUAUAUUCGUUGGUGGUGGCCAAUUAAUCAUCUUCUUGAUCUUAUCCUCAUCUGCCUCAACUCCUCUUUUGGAUAUCAUAUGUCCCAAGUACUGUAUUUGAGAAUGGGCUAUAACGCAUUUUUUUUUGUUAGCAAACAGCUGGUUAUCCUUCAAAACAUUGAAUACCAUGCCCAAAUGCUUUGCGUGUUCAUCUAUAUCCGCACUAUAAACCAGUAUAUCAUCAAAGAACACCAAAACACAGCGCCGAAGGAAAGGUUUAAAUACCUGGUUCAUCAAAGAUUGGAAGGUUGCCAGAGCAUUCGUGAGACCAAACGGCAUUACUAGAAACUCAUAGUGCCCUUCAUGUGUGCGGAACACAGUUUUCUCCACAUCUUCCUCUUUCAUUCUAAUCUGGUGAUAACCAGAUUUCAGAUCUAAUUUCGAGAAAACCGUUGCCCUAUUCAGCUCAUCUAAUAAUUCCUCUAUCACAGGAAUUGGGAACUUAUCCGAUACUGUCGCCUGAUUUAACUUGCGGUAAUCGACACAAAAUCUCCAUCCACCAUCUUUUUUCUUCACUAACAACACCGGGCUGGAGUAAGGGAUAGGUUUAUGGUCAGGUAGGGUUAAUAUUCGGUGAUCAAUAGCUCUUUUUGGAGGUAAUUUCUUCGGUGUCUCAAAUAUCUCCGCAUAAUACUUGAGCAGGGAUCGGAUCAUAGAUAUUUCCUCCUCAUCUCCUUUUAAUCUUGUCCCCAGUUCAUAUUCAUUCUCUACUUCCAUCUCAUAAUUCUGGAAUUCUAAGAGGAAGCCUUGGUCUUCUAUAUGUAAGGAUUCAACUUGCUUACUUCACUAUUUCUCCCUUACAAUGGCCAAAAACAGAGGUAGCCCUCUGCUAUCUUUAUUUAUAUAUAGCCAAAAUGAGUACAGAAAAACAUAAAGAUUCAAGAAAAACAAGGAAUAAUGAAGACAAACCCAGCUUCCUCUAGGGAAAGACUGGAUAUUCCUCUAGGCUAAGCAGCCGCCAACUUCAGGAUAAAAAUAAAACCUACCUCCCCUAGACCUAAAAAACCUAUUUAUAUUCCUUCUCUCAUCUUUCUCUUAUUUCUGUGCCUGGGCCCCACCUGCAGGAUCUCCUCCUCUUUUUCCUUCCUCAUUAUUAAUUUGUCCAAUUACUUUUCUGCCCCUCCUUUGAUAUGUAUGAAUAACUGGAGGUCUUACACUAUAUCCCACGUUUUUUCCAAUGUCUUCAAAGAACAUUCAGGUUUCACUAAGGAUGGAUCUCCUCUUAACACGAUUUGCUUGUCUUUUGCCCAAAAGGUCAUGGUUAAUGAUGGCCAAUGUACCUUCAUUGUGCCGGUGGUAUCUAGCCAUUGCAUCCCUAAAAUCACGUCAAUAUUUCCUAGUUCCACCACUAGAAAAUCAGUUAUAACUGUCAUUUCUUUCAAUCUCAGUUCCACCUUUCUGCAAAUACCUUUCCCUUUACAGCGGGUCCCGUCUGCAAUAGUCACUCCAAAUUGUGUACCGGGUUCAAUGUUCAACCCUCCUUCCAUUGCCACUGCUUCAUGGAUGAAGUUGUUCGUAGCUCCACUGUCGAUGAGAAUCACCACCUCCCUUCCUUUUACAUGCCCCUUCAGUUUCAUUGUCCCUUUGGAUGUUAACCCCGUGAGUGUCUUCAAUUCAAUUUCGGUGGUUUCAGCAACAACUAACUGGUUCAGCUCCAUUACUUCUUCGGUCUCUUCCAUUUUGACUUCCUCCCCGCCACUCUCUUCUUCGUUAAGUAUAAAUAACAUUAAUUCCCUUUUCUCUCUCAUCUUGCAUCGGUGUCCCGGUGAGUACUUCUCAUUGCAUCUAAAACACAAACCCUUGUCCAAUCUUGCUCUGAAUUCCGUGUCCAAGAGUCUUUUAACUGGAGGUUCAUUUUUCUGGUAGUUUCCUUUAAUGGGAAUAGUGACUUGCUUCAUGGGGAACUCAGUCUUCUUUGGUGAACUUUUAUCUUGACUGCUUUGUCCCUUGCUUGAGCCUCCUCCUUCCCUAGUCACACUGUUUACCCAUUCUGCCUUGGCUAAUUUCAAGGCUAGGUUUCUGCCACUUACCAGUUGUGCCUCCUUCAUACAUUCCUCUAAGGUUUGAGGAUGUCUACUAAUAACUUCUGCUUGAAGAGCCGGUUCUAGACCUGUCACGAAUGCAUCUAAGAGCACGCUUUCAGCCAUGUGCGGUAGUGGUGCAGAAUAUUGUACGAAUUUCUUGACAUAAUCAUUAUAGGAUCCAUCUUGUUCUAUUCGAAUCAGCCUUGCACCUAAGCUUUUCUGCCCAGAAUCUCGAAAAAAUUCAAACAUCCUUACCUUCAAAUCUUCCCAUCCUUCCACCUUCUUUCUAUGGUUACUCCAACGGUACCAAUCGAUUUCAUCUUGUCCGAAACUAACCACCGCUACUUUCACUUUUUCUGCUUCCGGUAGGCUAUUAAUUUCGAAAAAAUGCUCAGCUCUAAACACCCAUGACUCAGGAUUUUCCCCGGUGAAAAUCGGCAUUUCCAGUUUCUUAUAUUUGCUUCGGUCGACAGUUACUACAUUGUUUUCCCCUAGAUUGUCGGCUUCUUCCCAUUUUCCUUUUAACUUCAUGACUGAUCCAUCAGAAGUUCCGGAUUCAUCUCGCCUUUUGUAGCUGCUGUUUUCUUUCAUUUCAUCAGUCAGUCUAUCCAUGGAUUUCUUCAUUUCCAGAAUCAUUUCCUUCAAGCCCAGUAUUUCUUUCUCUGUUCCAUCUAUUCUUUCUUCUAUUUGCCUUUGCGCCAUCAGUCGCGUCACCACCCCCAGCAUUUGGGCUCUGAUACCAGUUGUAGAGACUCCACAAAUAAAAUACUAAAUUACCCAAACAGUUGGCAAACAGAGACAGCACUCUGUAGAUCUUUAUUUAUAUAUAAAUGCCAAGAGAUACAGUAGAAGGAAAUAUAAAAGAAAGCAAUAAAGAUGAUAAUAUCAUGUCAAACCUCCCCAGGAAAAGAUAGUAGUCCUUCCUAGACCUAGCAGCCUCUACAGACCAAAUGAAGACAAAAAGUUAACCUAGCCCCCAAUCCCGAUAAGGCCUUAUUUAUAGCUCUUUUCUCAUUCUUCCCCGUGGGCCCCACUCUCAUGUUCUUUUCCUAAUAUUCUCCCCUUUUCUGCUGCAUGAGCUUUUACGUUUUUACCCCUCCUUUUGUAUGUAUGGAUAAUAGGGGGCCUUACAAAUUUCUUCCAACACUAUGAAACAUUUAUGUAUAGUUUUAUUAUUGUAAACAUUUUUGCUAAACAUCAUUGUAAUUUCCAAACACAACUCUGCCAAAGUUCCCAAGAUAGUUCUAUAGCAAUGUUCCACAGGCUAUCUUGCAAGUGAUGUGGAACUCCUUUGCUUUUUUGAAUAGUAAGCUGGCCUUCCUCUUUUGUUAUGCUUUGUUUUGUUCUUAAUACUUGCUUUUAUCUUCGCCUAUUUCAUUCCUAGUUGAUAUAUUACAUAGUCCUCUUAAAUCUACAUUCUUUUUCUGUUUUAUGAUUCGCUUGAGUUUAAUGACUAACUUUGGCAAAAUAAUGUUGAACUAUAUUACAUGUUUUGCAUCUAAACCUCAAUUGAAAAGGUUUGUUACCUGUAUCAUUAUAAGGUUUCCAUCCAUCUUUCUUAGGCCAUCAAUGAAGUUUUUGCUUAGAUCUAUCUUAGUUCGGCCUCUUUAAAUGUUACUCCAUACAAGGAAGAUCGAAAGUUGUGAUUACAAAGUGUAGAUUUGUAUUGUAUAGUUGCCUUAGUUAUUUUUUUAAUUAUUCUUUUUAGACGUUAUUUCCUUUUAUAAUUAGUUCUCUUUAGUUAGAAUUUCUAUUAAAUUAUACUUGCCUAUUAUCAAGUCCUUUUUCAUUAAUAAGAGAAAAUGGAGUUUUUCUCAAAUAACAAAAAGUGAUUAUUUAAGAUACUAUGCUAAAGGGAACACAUCCAAUUACCAUGUUGAGAAUAUUAUCUUUGCCUAUUGAAGGUCUUGGAUUCUUGGUCAACUUUGAAUGCGAAUUUUUCUUAGUUGAUUAUUAAAUAUCAGGGUAAAAAGAUCUUAUAUUGUAAUGUUGUUUUGCUUCACUUGCAUCAUACACUAAAACACAAGAUUAAAAAAAAAGUUAUAUUUAGACUUUUGUAUGGUAGAUUAGGUGUUCUCUUUGAAUUGGUGUUGGUAUUGGCUUUCUAAUUAUGAUAUGAUUUUGGGAACCUUUGAAUUAUGUUCUUCAAACCUUCUCUCUUCGAUUGAAGCUUAUUAUAUUUUAUCGUUGUUAGUAUGUUUUUUUUUUUCCAUUUUUUCCCUUCUAAUAUUUUUAUUUGAUAUAUAAUGUGCAUAAAAGAGAAAGUAGUUAAUGUGUUUUACAUUGUUGUGUUGUGCAAAGUUGGUGUUGUUGGUUCAAAUAUUUAAGAUUUGGUGAAGCACUUGGAAUAAGUUCAAACUUUUAAUCUGUAGGAUAAUUUACUUUAUAAGAAUCACACAUUUACCUUUUUUUUCUUUUUUGAAGUAGGAAAGGAGCCUCUUCAUUAAGCUGAAAAUGAAUAGACAAGACAAAAGGUAAUACAAAGAAGCCCUAGGAUCAGUGAGUGCACUAGGACAUCUCAUCUAUGUUGACACCUACUUAGCAUUCUCACCAUAUCGAGACUUAAACCAAAAGACUAAACCAACGACAAGGUUUGGAAUAGAUCAUACAAACUGCCCAAUAACUAUACAACAUAGAUUUAAGACCACUAGAAAUCCAAAAGAAAUAAAAUAAGAGUACUGUAGUGGACUAAGAAUUAAAAAUGAAAGUCGGCCAAUUAUGACUUAUAUCUUGUAUGGAGAAAUCUUUGAAAUCUUUUGAAAGAGAGCAUCAAGAAGAAGCAUUGAUUCUAGCCAUUUCGACUCGAGUUGUCCAAGAGGAAGCUUUAUUUUGAAAUGUUAGCUGAUUAUGUUCAAACCAACUUUGAAUGACUAUUUCUAAAUAUGAACCUACAAUAACCCCAAAUGAAUACCGGAUUAAAUUGGAAACAGGGCAGAUAGAGAGUGAGAUGGAGAGUGUUUGUGUGUGCUUUAGAGUAGUUUUAAGCACAUUUUUUAGAUUUGUUUAACACUAAGUUUGUUUCACUUGCACAAUUGGUUGCCAUUUUAGGUCUCAAAGUGCAUUUUCACUCAUUUUGAACUUUUUGUUAGUUUGUGAGUUACGAACUUACACUUAAGCAUUGUUAGGUCGUUUCAAACACAUUUUGUGUUUGUUUGGAACUAAGUUUGUUUAGACAUUUGAUUGACAUGUUGGGUCUCCAAGUGCUUUUUUCCACACUUUUUGAAAUUUUGGUAGGUUGUGAGUCGCGAACUUACGCUUGAGUAUUGUUUGGUCCGUUUGAAAGCUUAGACACAUUUUGAACUCUUUUUAAGAUAACUUGAAACUAAGUUCAUUGCACUUACAUACUUCGUUGCCGUUUUGGGUCUUGAAGUACCUUUUUCACACUUUUUGAAAUUUUGGUAGGUUGUGAGUUACAAACUUACCCUUAAGCAUUGUUUGGUUGUUUUGAAAAUUCAAGUGAUAGUUACACACGUUUUGAAUACAUUUUAGGUUAGAUUGAGUUUGUUGCACUUGGUUGUCAUUUUUGGUCUUGAAAUGCUUUUUUCAAACUUUUUGGUAGAUUAUGAGUUACGAACUUACACUUAGGAUUUGCUAGGUCGUUUUGAAAACUCAAGUAAUACAUAGACACGUUUUGAGCACGUUUUAGGUUGGUUUGAACUAAGUUUGUUGCACUUACACACUUGGUUGCCAUUUUGGGUAUUGUAGUGCUUUUUUCACAAUAUUUGAACUUUUUUCGUAGGUUAUGAGUUACGAUCCUACACGUAAGCUGUUUUAGGACAUUUUGAAAGUUCAAGUGAUACUUAGACACAUUUUAAACUCGGUUUAGGUUAGUUUGAAACUAAGUUUGUUGACCUUAUCCAAUUGGUUGCCAUUUUCGGUCUUGAAGUGCCCUUUUCACACUUUUUGAACUUUUUGGUAGGCUAUGGGUUACCAACUUACACUUAAACUUUGUUAGGUUGUUUUGAAAGUCCAAGUGAUACUUAGACACGCCUUGACCACUUUUUAGGUUGGUUUGGAACUAAGUUUGUUGCACUUGCGCACUUGGUUGCCAUUUUGGGUCGUGUAGUGUUUCCUUUUUUUCCAUACUUCUUGAACUUUUUGGUAGGUUAUGAGUGAUGAAUUUACAAAUAAACAUUCUUAGGUCGUUCUGAAAGUUCAAGUGAUACUUAAACACGGUUUGAAAUUUUUUUAGAUUUGUUUAAGACUAAGUUUGUUUCACUUGCAUACUUGGUUGCCAUUUUAGGUCUCAAAGUGCAUUUUUCACGCAUUUUGAUUUUUUUGUUAGUUUGUGAGUUACGAACUUACACUUAACGAUUGUUAGGUCGUUUUAAACACAUUUUGCGUUGGUUUGAAACUAAGUUUGUUGCACUUACACAUUGGAUUGAAAUGUUGGGUCUUGAAGUACUUUUUUUCACACUUUUUGAAAUUUUUUUAGAAUUGUGAGUUACGAACUUACGCUUGAGAGUAUUGUUUGGUCGGUUUGAAAUCUUAGACACGUUUUGCACUCUUUUUAGGAUGGCUUGAAACUAAGUCCGUUGCACUUACAUACUUCGUUGCCAUUUUUGGGUCUGAAGUGCUUUUUUUACACUUUUUGAAAUUUUGGUAGGUUGUGAGUUACAAACUUACACUUAAGCAUUGUUUUGGUGGUUUUGAAAGUUUAAGUGAUACGUACACAUGUUUUGAAUACAUUUUAGGUUAGAUUGAUUUUGUUGCACUUGGUUGUCAUUUUUGGUCUUGAAAUGCUUUUUUCAACCUUUUUGGUAGAUCAUUACGAACCUACAUUUAGGAUUUGCUAGGUCGUUUUGAAAACUCAAGUAAUACCUAGACACGUUUUGAAGCACGUUCUAGGUUGGUUUGAACUAAGUUUGUUACAAUUACACACUUGGUAGCCAUUUUGGGUCUUGUAGUUACUUUUUUCACACUAUUUGAACUUUUUUCGUAGGUUAUGAGUUACGAAUCUACACGUAAGCUGUUUUAGGUCGUUUUGAAAGUUCAAGUGAUACUUAGACACAUUUUGUUCAAGUGAUACUGUUUUAGGUCGUUUUUGAAGUGAACUUUUUUCUUCUUGUAUUGACUGUUUUACUAUUUCUUCAUGGUUUGUAUUCAUGGUAUUUAUUUUCGUAAUGAAUCUUUCAUGUUCUGGUAAACAUUGCAGAACACACAUAAUUUCAUCAAUCUGUCAAAGAGUUGAAGGAGAAGACAGAAGAACUUAAAGGUCACAUGAAAACCUAAAAGUUAGGUAAUUUUUUGAAAACUUUUUUCUUUGUCUUGCUUAGUUUUAGUGGUAUUUUGUUAACAGUGCUGAGACAUACUCUUGUAUGCCAAGGCUGGGUGGCCAAUUCAAUGGAUGGCCUGAGACGGUGAAAUGACGUGUGUAGAACAAAGUAGACAAUCGAGCAGAUUUACAAGUAGGAGGAUGGUGUUUGGUCUUACUCAAAAGCUACUGCUAGAAAGGUGAUUCUCCCUUUAUUUACACAUGUUAUCUAUAUUUAAUUACUGUUUUUAUGUGAUGGUGAAUAAAUAUUUAAGUUGUUUCAAGUUUGUACAUCAUGCUUGAGUUAAUACAUUUCUCAACUCGCACUAAUUUUAAAGUUGAGACUAAGUUUGUUGCACUUACACACUUGGUUGCCAUUUUGGAUUUUGGAGUGCUUUUUCUACAUUUUUUGAACAUUUUGGUAGGUUAUGAUUUAUGAAGUAAGACUAAAGCAUUAUUAGGUCGUUUUUUAAAGUUCGAGUGAUACUUAAACAUUUUUUGAACACCUUUUAGGUUGUUACAAACUAAGUUAGUUUUACAUACAGCCAUGGUUGCCAUUUUGAGUCUUGAAAGAUUUUUUUUCACACUUUUUGAAAUUUUUGGUAAGUUAUGAGUUAUAAACUUACACUUAAGCGUUGUUAGGUUGCUUGAAAACUUAUACGUGUUUUGAAUACUUGUUAGGUUUGUAUAGAACUAAGUUCGUUGCACUUACACACUUGACAUUUUGGGUUUUGGAGUGUCUUUUUAAAAAAUUUUGAACUUUUUGCUAGUUUAUGACUUAUGAACUUGUAUUGAAUAUUUGUUAGGUCGUUUUGAUAAUUCAAGUGAUACUUAGAAAAUGCAACCGAGCUUAAACAAUUCCGCUCAUUUUUCUAAAAUUUUUAGUUUAACCUAUUGAAUAAAAUUCGAUGGAAAUUCUUGUUUUCUUUUUGUAGGAAUAAAAGAAAUGAAAUAUAACCAAACUUGGGAUCUUUGCAAACAAUCUUCCAUGAAGAAACUAGGCUACAAGUGGUUUGGGGUUUGGGUUUUUAGGGCUUAGGGCUUUUUGGGCUUAUGGCUUAGGGCUUUUAGGGCGCUUAGGGCUUUUAGGUUUUAGGGCUUAGGGCUUUUAGGGCUUAUGGCUUUAGGGUUUAGGGUAUAGGGUUUAGGGGUUUAGGGUUUAGGGUUUAGGGCGCUUAGGCUUUUAGGGAUUUUAGGGCGCUUAGGGAUUUUAGGUUUUAGGGCUUAGGGCUUUUAGGGAUUAUGGCUUAGGGCUUAGCGCUUUUAGGGCUUAGGGCUUAGGGCUUAGGGCCUUAAGGGCUUUAAGGGUAUUUAGGGAUAAGGGAUUUUAGGGCUUUUAAAGCAUUUAGGGCUUUUGGGGCUUUUAGGGCUUUUAGGGCUUAGGGAUUAGGGCUUGGGCUUUUAGGGCUCGGGCUUUGGGCUCUUUGGGCUUUUAGGACUUUUAGUGCUCUUAGGGCUUUUUGGGCGCUUAGGGCUUAUGACUCUUAAGGCUUAGGGCUUUGGGCUUUUAGGGCUUUUAGGGCUUUUAGGGCUUUUAGGGCUUUUAGGGCUUUUAGGGCUUUUAGGGCGCUUAUGGCUUUUAGCUUUUAGGGCUUAGGGCUUUUUGGGCUUUUAGGGCUUAGGGCUUAGGGCUUAGGCUUUUAGGGCUUUUAGGGCUUGGGCUUUGGGCGUUUAGGGCUUUUAGGACGCUUAGGGCUUUUAGGUUGUAGGGCUUAGGGCUUUUAGGGCUUAUGGCUUUUAGGGCUUAGCGCUUAGGGCUUAGGGCUUUUACGGGUUUUACGACUUUUAGGGCUUUUAGGGCUGAGGCCUUAGGGCUUAGGCCUUAGGGCUGAGGGCUCAGGGCUCAGGGCUUAGGGCUUAGGGUUUAGUGGCUUAGGGCUUAGGGCUUAGGGCUUAUGACUUUUAAGGCUUUGGGCUUUGGGCUUUUCGGGCUUUUAGGGCUUUUCGGGCUUUUAGGGCUUUUAGGGCUUUUUGGGCUUUUAGGGCUUAGGGCUUAGGGCUUAGGCUUUUAGGGCUUUUAGGGCUUGGGCUUUGGGCGUUUAGGGCUUUUAGGGCUUUUAGGACGCUUAGGGCUUUUAGGACGCUUAGGGCUUUUAGGUUGUAGGGCUUAGGGCUUUUAGGGCUUUUAGGACGCUUAGGGCUUUUAGGACGCUUAGGGCUUUUAGGUUGUAGGGCUUAGGGCUUUUAGGGCUUAUGGCUUUUAGGGCUUAGCGCUUAGGGCUUAGGGCUUUUACGGCUUUUACGGCUUUUACGACUUUUAGGGCUUUUAGGGCUGAGGCCUUAGGGCUUUUAGGGCUGAGGCCUUAGGGCUUAGGCCUUAGGGCUGAGGGCUCAGGGCUUAGGGCUUAGGGUUUAGGGUUUAGGGUUUAGGGUUUAGGGCUUAGUUCUUGUGCUUUUAUUGCUUAGAGCUUAGGGCUUGUAGGGCUUAGGGCUGAUGGCUUAGGGCUUGGGCUUUUAGGGCUUGGGUUUUUAGGGCUUGGGCUUUGGGCUUUUAGGGCGUUUAGGGCUUUUAGGGCGCUUAAGUCGUUUAGGGCUUAGGGCUUUUAGGGCUUAGGGGUUUUGGCUUAUGACUUAGGGCUUGAGAUUUUAGGGCUUAGGGCUUGGGCUUUGGCCUUUUAGGGCUUUUAGGGCUUUUACGACGCUUAGGGCUUUUAGGUUUUAGGGCUUAGGGCGCUUAGGGCUUUUAGGUCUUUUAGGGAUUAGGGUUUGGGCUUUUAAGGCUUGUGCUUUGGGCUUUUGGGAUUUUAGGGUUUAGGGCUUGUGCUUUGCGCUUUUAGGACUUUUAGGGCUUUUACAGCGCUAAGGGCGCUUAGGACUUAGGGCUUAGGGCUUAAGGCUUAGGGCUUUUAGGGCUUAGGGCUCAUUGAGGAACUGGAUUUAUCUAAUGAGUAUAGGUAAAAUGGUUUUUUAUAUUGGAUUUGAUCAAUGCAAUGAAUUGUUUUAUCAUAAGACCGAUCCCUAAUUAAAUUGAUGAUCCCCAUCCUAACGAAAUGAAUUUGAUUCAUACAUGUACACACACGAACUGAACAUAUAUACAUUCACCGAAUCAUUGAUAAAGCAAUUCUACUUGGCGAGGAAAAAAUUUUCAAUAACUUGUUGAUCCCUAUCCCCAAAUUUUAAAAUUUAUCGCUCUUGAAUUUUUUGGCUUAGUGUGAAAUCGAAAUAUACCUAACAUAAUCUUAACAAUGAGUUAAUCAAUGAGCGCCGAGAUCCCCCUGUUUUGAGAAUUUCGUGGGGAUCCUCUCCGCUUUUCUUGCCUAAGCAAAACCCGACACGCCUAGUAGGUCCAUAGAGUUUUUCACCGAGCAUGGCAGCCGGUAGAGAGGGAGAGAGAAAAAAAAGAGGGAACCAAGCCAGCCGCUUAGGUCAAGUAAAAUGCGCGCCGAGAUCCCCCGGUUUCAGAAUUUUCGUGGGGAUCCUCUCCGCUUUUCUUGUCUAGGCAAAACCCGACCCGCCUAGUAGGUCCUUAGAGUUUUUCACCCAGCAUGGCAGCCGGUAGAGAGGGAGAGAGAAAAAAAAAGAGGGAGCCAAGCCAGCCGCUUAGGUUAAGUAAAAUGCGCGCCGAGAUCCCCCUGUUUCAGAAUUUUCGUGGGAUCCUCUCCGCUUUUCUUGCCUAAGCAAAACCCGACCCCGCCUAGUAGGUCCUUAGAGUUCUUCACCCAUCAUGGCAGCCGGUAGAGAGGGAGAGAAAAAAAAUAGAGGGAGCCAAGCCAGCCGCUUAGGUCAAGUAAAAUGCGCGCCGAGAUCCCCCGGUUUCAGAAUUUUCGUGGGGAUCCUCUCCGCUUUUCUUGCCGAAGCAAAACCCGACCCGCCUAGUAGGUCCUUAGAGUUUUUCACCCAGCAUGGCAGCCGGUAGAGAGGAGAGAGAAAAAAAAGAGGGAACCAAGCCAGCCGCUUAGGUCAAGUAAAAUGCGCGCCGAGAUCCCCCGGUUUCAGAAUUUUCGUGGGGAUCCUCUCCGCUUUUCUUGCCUAAGGCAAAACCCGACCCGCCUAGUAGGUCCUUAGAGUUUUUCACCCAGCAUGGCAGCGGUAGAGAGGGGGAGAGAAAAAAAAGAGGGAGCCAAGCCAGCCGCUUAGGUCAAGUAAAAUGCGCGCCGAGAUCCCCCGGUUUCAGAAUUUUCGUGGGGAUCCUCUCCGCUUUUCUUGCCUAAGCAAAACCCGACCCCCCUAGUAGGUCCUUAGAGUUUUUCACCCAGCAUGGCAGCCGGUAGAGAGGAGAGAGAAAAAAAAGAGGAACCAAGCCAGCCGCUUAGGUCAAGUAAAAUGCGCGCCGAGAUCCCCCGGUUUCAGAAUUUUCGUGGGGAUCCGCUCCGCUUUUCUUGCCUAAGCAAAACCCGACCUGCCUAGUAGGUCCUUAGAGUUUUUCACCCAGCAUGGCAGCCGGUAGAGAGGGAGAGAGAAAAAAAAAGAGGGAGCCAAGCCAGCCGCUUAGGUCAAGUAAAAUGCGCGCCGAGAUCCCCCGAUUUCAGAAUUUUCGUGGGGAUCCUCUCCGCUUUUCUUGCCUAAGCAAAACCCGACCCGCCUAGUAGGUCCUUAGAGUUUUUCACCCAGCAUGGCAGCCGGUAGAGAGUGAGAGAAAAAAAAAGAGGGAGCCAAGCCAGCCGCUUAGGUCAAGUUAAAUGCGCGCCGAGAUCCCCCGGUUUCAGAAUUUUCGUGGGGAUCCUCUCCGCUUUUCUUGCCUAAGCAAAACCCGACCCGCCUAGUAGGUCCUUAGAGUUUUUCACCCAGCAUGGCAGCCGGUAGAGAGGGAGAGAGAAAAAAAAAAGGGAACCAAGCCAGCCGCUUAGGUCAAGUAAAAUGCGCGCCGAGAUCCCCCGGUUUCAGAAUUUUCGUGGGGAUCCUCUCCGCUUUUCUUGUCUAGGCAAAACCCGACCCGCCUAGUAGGUCCUUAGAGAUUUUCACCCAGCAUGGCAGCCGGUAGAGAGGGAGAGAGAAAAAAAAAGAGGGAGCCAAGCCAGCCGCUUCGGUCAAGUAAAAUGCGCGCCGAGAUCCCCCGGUUUCAGAAUUUUCGUGGGGAUCCUCUCCGCUUUUCUUGCCUAAGCAAAACCCGACCCCGCCAGUAGGUCCUUAGAGUUCUUCACCCAUCAUGGCAGCCGGUAGAGAGGGAGAGAAAAAAAAAAGAGGGAGCCAAGCGAGCCGCUUACGUCAAGUAAAAUGCGCGCCGAGAUCCCCCGUUUUAGAUUGGUUUCAAACUAUGUUUUAAACACAUUUCAUUGACAUGUUGGGUCUUGAAGUACUUUUUUCACACUUUUUGAAAUUUUGGUAGGUUGUGAGUUACAAACUUACACUUAAGCAUUGCUUGGUCGUUUUGAAAAUUCAGGUGAUACUUACACACGUUUUGAAUACAUUUUAGGUUAGAUUGAGUUUGUUGCACUUGGUUGUCAUUUUUGGUCGUGAAAUGCCUUUUUCAACCUUUAUGGUAGAUUAUGAGUUACGAACUUACACUUAGGAUUUGCUAGAUCGUUUUGAAAACUCAAGUACUACCUAGACACGUUUUGAGCAUGUUUUAGGUCGGUUUGAACUAAGCUUGUUGCCCUUACACACUUGGUUGCCAUUUUGGGUCUUGUAGUGCUUUUUUCACACUAUUUGAACUUUUUUCGUAAGUUAUCAGUUAGGAAUCUACACGUAAGCUGUUUUAGGUCGUUUUGAAAGUUCAAGUGAAACUUAGACACGUUUUGAACUCGUUUUAGGUUUGUUUGAAACUAAAUUUUAAACACAUUUCAUUGACAUGUUGGGUCUUGAAGUACUUUUUUCACACUUUUUGAAAUUUUGGUAGGUUGUGAGUUACAAACUUACACUUAAGCAUUACUUGGUCGUUUUGAAAAUUCAAGUGAUACUUACACACGUUUUGAUUACAUUUUAGGUUAGAUUGAGUUGUUGCACUUGAUGGUCAUUUUUGGUCUUGAAAUGCUUUUUUCAACCUUUUUGGUACAUUAUGAGUUACGAACUUACACUUAGGAUCUGCUAGGUCGUUUUGAAAACUCAAGUAGUACCUAGACACGUUUUGAGCAUGUUUUAGGUUGGUUUGAACUAAGUUUGUUGCACUUACACACUUAGUUGCCAUUUUGGGUCUUGUAGUGCUUUUUUCACACUAUUUGAACUUUUUUCGUAAGUUAUGAGUUAUGAAUCUACACGUAAGCUGUUUUAGGUUGUUUUGAAAGUUGAAGUGAAACUUAGACACCUUUUGAACAUGUUUUAGGUUGGUUUGAAACUAACUUUUAAACACAUUUGAUUGACAUGUUGGGUCUUGAAGUACUUUUUUCACACUUUUUGAAAUUUUGGUAGGUUGUGAGUUACAAACUUACACUUAAGCAUUACUUGGUGGUUUUGAAAAUUCAAGUGAUACUUACACACGUUUUGAUUAGAUUUUAGGUUAGAUUGAUUUGUUGCACUUGAUGGUCAUUUUUGGUCUUGAAAUGCUUUUUUCAACCUUUUUGGUAGAUUAUGAGUUACGAACUUACACUUGGGAUUUGCUAGGUCAUUUUUAAAACUCAAGUAAUACCUAGCCCCGUUUUGAUCAUGUUUUAGGUUGGUUUGAUCUAAGUUUGUUGCACUUGCACACUUGGUUGCCAUUUUGGGUCUCGUAGUGCUUUUUUCACACUAUUUGAACUUUUUUCGUAAGUUAUGAGUUAUGAAUCUACACGUAAGCUGUUUUAGGUCGUUUUGAAAGUUGAAGUGAAACUUAGACACGUUUUGAACUCGUUUUAGAUUGGUUUCAAACUAUGUUUUAAACACAUUUGAUUGACAUGCUGGGUCUUGAAGUACUUUUUUCACACAUAUUGAAAUUUUGGUAGGUUGUGAGUUACAAACUUACACUUAAGCAUUGCUUGGUAGUUUUGAAUAUUCAAGUGAUACUUACACACGUUUUGAAUACAUUUUAGGUUAGAUUGAGUUGGUUGCACUUGGUUGUCAUUUUUUGUCUUGAUAUGCUUUUUUCAACCUUUUUGGUAGAUUAUGAGUUACGAACUUACACUUAGGAUUUGCUUGGUCGUUUUGAAAACUCAAGUAAUAGCUAGACACGUUUUGAGCACGUUUUUGGUUGGUUUGAACUAAGUUCGUUGCAUUUACACACUUGGUUGCCAUUUUGGGUCUUGUAGUGUUUUUUUCAAAAAUUUUGAACUUUUUGCUAGGUUAUGACUUAUGAACUUGUAUUGAAUAUUUGUUAGGUCGUUUUGAUAAUUCAAGUGAUACUUAGAAAAUGCAACCGAGCUUAAACAAUUCCGCUCAUUUUUCUAAAAAUUUUAGUUUAACCUAUUUAAUAAAAUUCGAUGGAAAUUCUUGUUUUCUUUUUGUAGGAAUAAAAGGAAAUGAAAUAUAACCAAACUUGGGAUCUUUGCAAGCAAUCUUCCAUGAAGAAACUUGGCUACAAGUGGUUUGGGGUUUGGGUUUUUAGGGCUUAGGGCUUUUUGGGCUUAUGACUUAGGGCUUUUAGCGCUUUUAGGGCUUUUAGGGCUUAUGGCUUUAGGGUUUAGGGUAUAGGGUUUAGGGGUUUAGGGUUUAGGGUUUAGGGCGCUUAGGCUUUUAGGGAUUUUAGGGCGCUUAGGGCUUUUAGGUUUUAGGGCUUAGGGCUUUUAGGGAUUAUGGCUUAGGGCUUUUAGGGCUUAGCGCUUUUAGGGCUUAGGGCUUAGAGCUUAGGGCUUUAAGGGCUUUAAGGGUAUUUAGGGAUAAGGGAUUUUAGGGCUUUUAGGACAUUUAGGGCUUUUGGAGCUUUUAGGGCUUUUAGGGCUUAGGGCCUUUGGCUUAGGGCUUAGGGAUUAGGGCUUGGGCUUUUAAGGCUCGGGCUUUGGGCUCUUUGGGCUUUUAGGGCUUUUAGUGCUCUUAGGGCUUUUUGGGCGCUUAGGGCUUUUAGGGAUUAGGGCUGAUAUUUUAAUACUUUUUUCUCAUUCAGUUAAGUUGUUUAUAAUGUGUUUGAUAUUAUAUUUAUAAAUGAUUAAAUUAGUGGAUGUUACUCCCUAAAUAUUAAUGGACAACAAAUUUAUUUAUAAACAUGUUUUAGGUUAAAUAUUUGUUAUAAUUAUAAUACUAGAAUAUUUUAUGAUUUAUAAUAAACUAGGGAAGGUUAAACACAAAUAUUGGAGAAAUAUAAUAUUAAAAUAAAUAAAUUAUUAAAACUAAAAAAUUAUAAGUAUAUAAUUUUUUUUCAAUUUAUUGUUAUCUUACAAAUACUAGUAGACUAUAAAAUUUUUUUUUAGAGCAAUGGUCAAAAAUAGAAAAUUUCACAAAAAUAUUAUAUAUAGCUCAAUUUGAUUUUCAUUUUUCUAAAAUUUAAAAAAUUCACGUUAAUACAUUAAAAAAAGCAUAAAUUAUUCUGUGUAAAUAAGAGUUGGUAAAUUGCUACAUUAUUAUUUAAUUUAUAAUGUCAUUUACAUUGCAUUGUAAUUUACAACAUCCUUUUUUAUUUAUUUUUAUAAAUGGUAUGGGUGAGUACUCAGUGCGGUUUAAUGGAAAGAUUAAUUAUAAUAAAGCUUUAGCCAGCUGUCUUAGUUUGAAACUUAAUGGCGUCAACGGCAUCCAACGGCUACAUUUUUAGGUUUACUUACUUCAUUAUUUAACUUUACAGAUAACCUCCAUCGCAAACCAAUUUUCUCCAGAAUUUUCUUUUUCCGCCUCAGUGCACGCUGGUCUAACCUCUGAACCCUAAUACUGAUUUUCCUUUUCCUUUUCCUUUUCUUCUUCUCAUUAUCAGACGUUUGUGAAUUCUACGGCCUUUGUGAUUCAGGUGAUGCGGCUUUCUAAAUUCUGGGCACUAUCUUUCUACAUCGUUUUUGCUUCGUGUCUUUUUUUUUUUUUUACUGUUUUUUCGCUAAAUGUCAAAUUUAGGGCUCGUUUGACAAGCUUUUGAUGCGUAUUGUUUCCUAAUCACUUUUGAUUACAUAGUAUUGGCAAUUGAUUCAGAUUAAAUGUUUGUUUCUUGAAUUCGAAGUGUUCAAUUUUUAUAAUUUCUGCAGCGUUUUUAUCUAGAUGAUUUUUUUUUAAUAAAUGAUAUUUACUGUUAAUUUCUGGCGAAUUUAAACGAGAUAAUGAGUAGAGGUAUUAUAUUCUAGUCUCUUUUAGUGACAAAGGAUUGGGAGUUGCUUCAGAUUUAAUGUUUUUUCCUUGAAUUCGAGAUCCUGGAAUUGUUUUCAAAUACACUUACCGACUUACGUUUAUUUUAAUUAGACAGUAACUGGUGUGUACCAGGAUCGGUUUUCUAUUUCAAUUCUUCUCUGAGAGUUGGGAUUUACUAUCGUUUUAUGACGAAGCUUCUCAUAUAUUUUAAACUUUGAUUACUACUUUUUCAGGUGAGGAAAUUUUUUGUCUGUAUGGACAUCCUAAUGAAACAUGGGAAAUGGUUCUUCCAGUAGGCAGAGGUUCCACCGGAGCUUCUAGAGCCUGCACUUGGAAUUAAUUUUGCAACAGAUGGCAUGGACAGAAAAUAUUGGCGACCUCUUGUUGCUGUACAUGGUGAUUCCUGUUUGCUCUCUGUGGCUUUCUAUUUUGGAGCAAGACUUGACCGAAGCAAAAGGUACAACUGUUCCACUUUUGAAUUUUUGCUUGUGAGCUUUAAGUUAGGUUCUGUUAAAUGCAAUUCUUUUUAAUCGUGCAUUUAUGUGAACUUUUAUAGGUAAUGUCAUUUUACUUUUCUAAUGUUUCUUUUGGCAUCAUUACCAAAUACUCUUUCUGACAUGUAGGUGAUAAGUUCAUAACCAACUUACACAAUCACACAACUUCCUUGUGUUUCCCAGUUUAUUAAGGUUGAUUUACCUUCAAUAACAUUGUUACUGUCUGAGUAAUUGUGGUUUUAGGAGGAUGAAGAACUACAUAACUGUUUAUUCGAUAUGAUUACAUAAUCUUCUUUUAUGUGAAGGUGUGCACUAACUUUAUCCAUCUUACUAAUCAUAUAAUGACAGAACACUUUUCUAAAAGGUCUUUCCAGCAGAUUUUUUCUUCCUCUUUUCUUCUAGAAACUCUUUCCAGAACAUAUGUAUAUACACAUAUGUAUAUAUAUAUAUAUAUUUGCAAAAUCUCUUGUUUGAAAGGUCUAUUCAAAAGAAUUUUCUAAAAGUUUUCUCGAUUCAUAUUCUGUUUUCGAACACUUCCCAAAAUAUUUCUUGAACUUUUGUCUUUCUUUUUGUUUUUGUUUUUUUGUUCUAAAAAAGAAAACAUUUCACAAAACUUUCAGAAAACCGCAUGAGCAAGGGUGUUGGCCAGAACACACAGGGCAAUGAGCAACAAGGCAACAUGCACACGGUGCGUGGAAGAUGUUGUCUUGGUGCCAUCUUUGCACAUGUGGAAGCAAACUUUCAAAUGUCAUUUACAAAACAUUUAGCAAACUUUUUUUUUCUUCCUCUUUUCUUCUAGAAACUCUUUUCAGAACAUAUGUAUAUAUGUGUGUUUAUAUACAUAGAUAUUUGCAAAAUCUCUUGUUUGAAAGGUCUAUUCAAAAGAAUUUUCUAAAAGUUUUCUCGAUUCAUAUUCUGUUUUCAAACUCUUUCCAAAAUAUUUCGUGAACUUUUGUCUUCCUUUUUGUUUUUGUUUUUUGUUCUAAAAAAGAAAACAUUUCACAAAACUUUCAAAAAACCGCAUGAGCAAGGGUGUUGGCCACAACACACAUGGCAAUGAGCAACAAGGCAACAUGCACACGGUGCGCGGAAGAUGUUGUCUUGGUGCCAUCUUUGCACAUGUGGAAGCAAACUUUCAAAUGUCAUUUACAAAACAUCAUUGCAAACUUUUUUUUUCUUCCUCUUUUCUUCUAGAAACUCUUUUCAGAACAUAUGUAUAUAUGUGUGUUUAUAUACAUAGAUAUUUGCAAAAUUUCUUGUUUGAAAGGUCUAUUCAAAAGAAUUUUCUAAAAGUUUUCUCGAUUCAAAUUCUGUUUUCGAACUCUUUCCAAAAUAUUUCUUGAACUUUUGUCUUCCUUUUUGUUUUUGUUUUUUUUGUUCUAAAAAAGAAAACAUUUCACAAAACUUUCAGAAAACCGCAUGAGCAAGGGUGUUGGCCACAACACACAGGGCAAUGAGCAACAAGGCAACAUGCACACGGUGCGCGGAAGAUGUUGUCUUGGUGCCAUCUUUGCACAUGUGGAAGCAAACUUUCAAAUGUCAUUUACAAAACAUUUAGCAAACUUUUUUUCUUCCUCUUUUCUUCUAGAAACUCUUUUCAGAACAUAUGUAUAUAUGUGUGUUUAUAUACAUAGAUAUUUGCAAAAUCUCUUGUUUGAAAGGUCUAUUCAAAAGAAUUUUCUAAAAGUUUUCUCGAUUCAUAUUCUGUUUUCGAACUCUUUCCAAAAUAUUUCGUGAACUUUUGUCUUCCUUUUUGUUUUUGUUUUUUGUUCUAAAAAAGAAAACAUUUCACAAAACUUUCAAAAAACCGCAUGAGCAAGGGAGUUGGCCACAACACACAGGGCAAUGAGCAACAAGGCAACAUGCACACGGUGCGCGGAAGAUGUUGUCUUGGUGCCAUCUUUGCACAUGUGGAAGCAAACUUUCAAAUGUCAUUUACAAAACAUCAUUGCAAACUUUUUUUUUCUUCCUCUUUUCUUCUAGAAACUCUUUUCAGAACAUAUGUAUAUAUGUGUGUUUAUAUACAUAGAUAUUUGCAAAAUUUCUUUUUUGAAAGGUCUAAUCAAAAGAAUUUUCUAAAAAGUUUUCUCGAUUCAAAUUCUGUUUUCGAACUCUUUCCAAAAUAUUUCUUGAACUUUUGUCUUCCUUUUUGUUUUUGUUUUUUUGUUCUAAAAAAGAAAACAUUUCACAAAACUUUCAGAAAACCGCAUGAGCAAGGGUGUUGGCCACAACACACAGGGCAAUGAGCAACAAGGCAACAUGCACACGGUGCGCGGAAGAUGUUGUCUUGGUGCCAUCUUUGCACAUGUGGAAGCAAACUUUCAAAUGUCAUUUACAAAACAUUUAGCAAACUUUUUUUCUUCCUCUUUUCUUCUAGAAACUCUUUUCAGAACAUAUGUAUAUAUGUGUGUUUAUAUACAUAGAUAUUUGCAAAAUCUCUUGUUUGAAAGGUCUAUUCAAAAGAAUUUUCUAAAAGUUUUCUCGAUUCAUAUUCUGUUUUCGAACUCUUUCCAAAAUAUUUCGUGAACUUUUGUCUUCCUUUUUGUUUUUGUUUUUUGUUCCAAAAAAAGAAAACAUUUCACAAAACUUUCAAAAAACCGCAUGAGCAAGGGUGUUGGCCACAACACACAGGGCAAUGAGCAACAAGGCAACAUGCACACGGUGCGCGGAAGAUGUUGUCUUGGUGCCAUCUUUGCACAUGUGGAAGCAAACUUUCAAAUGUCAUUUACAAAACAUCAUUGCAAAUUUUUUUUUUCUUCCUCUUUUCUUCUAGAAACUCUUUUCAGAACAUAUGUAUAUAUGUGUGUUUAUAUACAUAGGUAUUUGCAAAAUUUCUUGUUUGAAUGGUCUAUUCAAAAGAAUUUUCUAAAAGUUUUCUCGAUUCAAAUUAUGUUUUCGAACUCUUUCCAAAAUAUUUCUUGAACUUUUGUCUUCCUUUUUGUUUUUGUUUUUUUGUUCUAAAAAAGAAAACAUUUCACAAAACUUUCAAAAAACCGCAUGAGCAAGGGUGUUGGCCACAACACACAGGGCAAUGAGCAACAAGGCAACAUGCACACGGUGCGCGGAAGAUGUUGUCUUGGUGCCAUCUUUGCACAUGUGGAAGCAAACUUUCAAAUGUCAUUUACAAAACAUUUAGCAAACUUUUUUUCUUCCUCUUUUCUUCUAGAAACUCUUUUCAGAACAUAUGUAUAUAUGUGUGUUUAUAUACAUAGAUAUUUGCAAAAUCUCUUGUUUGAAAGGUCUAUUCAAAAGAAUUUUCUAAAAGUUUUCUCGAUUCAUAUUCUGUUUUCGAACUCUUUCCAAAAUAUUUCGUGAACUUUUGUCUUCCUUUUUGUUUUUGUUUUUUGUUCUAAAAAAGAAAACAUUUCACAAAACUUUCAAAAAACCGCAUGAGCAAGGGUGUUGGCCACAACACACAGGGCAAUGAGCAACAAGGCAACAUGCACACGGUGCGCGGAAGAUGUUGUCUUGGUGCCAUCUUUGCACAUGUGGAAGCAAACUUUCAAGUGUCAUUUACAAAACAUCAUUGCAAACUUUUUUUUUCUUCCUCUUUUCUUCUAGAAACUCUUUUCAAAACAUAUGUAUAUAUGUGUGUUUAUAUACAUAGAUAUUUGCAAAAUUUCUUUUUUGAAAGGUCUAAUCAAAAGAAUUUUCUAAAAAGUUUUCUCGAUUCAAAUUCUGUUUUCGAACUCUUUCCAAAAUAUUUCUUGAACUUUUGUCUUCCUUUUUGUUUUUUUGUUCUAAAAAAGAAAACAUUUCACAAAACUUUCCGAAAACCGCAUGAGCAAGGGUGUUGGCCACAACACACAGGGCAAUGAGCAACAAGGCAACAUGCACACGGUGCGCGGAAGAUGUUGUCUUGGUGCCAUCUUUGCACAUGUGGAAGCAAACUUUCAAAUGUCAUUUACAAAACAUUUAGCAAACUUUUUUUCUUCCUCUUUUCUUCUAGAAACUCUUUUCAGAACAUAUGUAUAUAUGUGUGUUUAUAUACAUAGAUAUUUGCAAAAUCUCUUGUUUAAAGGUCUAUCCAAAAGCAUUUUCUAAAAGUUUUCUUACUUCGAAUCCUGUUCACAAUCUCUUUCCAAAAUAUUUCUUGAACUUUUGUUUUCCUUUUUUUCUUUCAAAAAGAAUACAUUUCAUAAAACUUUCGAAAAAUUGAAAGAGCAAGGGUGUUGGUCACUCACAGGGCAAAAUUUUAGUUUAAAAGGCCUAUUCAAUAACAUUUUCUAAAAGUUUUCUCACUUCAAAUUUUGUUUGUAAACUCGUUUCAGAAUAUUUUCUUGAACUUUUGUCGUCAACUUUUCUUUUAGAAUGAAAAAAGGCAUUUCAUUGAACUGUCAGUAUAUUCCACGAGCAAGACAGCAUACAAUCGAUGCAUGGAAGACACAGCCUUGGUGCCAUUGUGGCACAGGCGGUCAAACAAACUUUAAAAGGCCCCUUACAUAAUAUUGUCUUAAUUUUCUUCUCUUUUUUCUCUUUAAAAAACUCUUCCUGAAACACAUUUUCAAUUUAUAAAAAACACAUUUUCUCUCCAAUGUAGAUUUUGCAUAAUAAAUUCCCUGUUUAAAUAAUAUUUAAGAGUGAAUUUUCACUUUUGUGUAUUAUUCUCUAUCUUACAUGUAUCUCUUCAUAAUUAUUGGAUCUGUUCUAUAACUUUUCUUGUAAAUUUCUAUAUAAAUUGCAAUCGUUGUAUAACAUUUAUCAAUUUAGAAAAAUCUUAGGUGAUUAAAGGAAAUCUGAUUGUCCGAAAAUCACUUUUUUCUAUUUCAUCAUCACCCGACCCAAAUCCCCCUAUGGUUGCCGUUUGGCUUUUCUAUUUUUUUUUUCUUGAAAUUAAGUCUAUAAACACUCAUUCUAUCUUCAGUUAUAUGUUCCAGAAUUAUAUUAUAUUUUAGUUUGACUUCUUUGUAUAUUAUUAUUGGUACAUUUCUAUGUUUUAUUUGCACAAAAUUAUAUGUUUUUUUUAUAACGAUGGAUAACUUCUUUGUUACAAUGUCCAGUAAUUAUUUGACUAUCAUUAAUUUCUAAUUCUGAUUGAUUUUUCUAUGUUAGCACUGGACGCUUUACAUGUAUUUUUAUUUUACUUCCUUUGAUGGAUUUAUUUUUCUUUUAGUUUUUCUUUCAACAUUUUCUUCUUUCUUGAAUUUUUCUACUUUUGUAGAGUAGAUUGUCAAAUUUUAUAUCUUUGUUAUCUUGGUAGAAGUUAUUUAUUUUUGCCGUAUGGGUGAUUUUUUGUUUUUUUGCCCAUUCUAUUCUCUUGGUUCUCUUUUCUUUUUCGGUUCAUAUAUUUAUUAGUUUAGGGUUUGAGUUGAUACAACCCUCAAAAUUGAAGAAUAUAAAUUGAUAUUUAGCCAAAGAAUUUCUUUAGAUGUUUUGAGGCCAUGCGUGACAGUACUUGACCCUGGAUUUUAAACAGCAUCCAAGGUUUGUUGACUUUUGCCCUACCUAUAUCUGAAAAUUAAAAAACAAUCAAUUGUGUAAUAUUGGCUGAAAGAUUCUUCAUAUGCAAAUAAUGGACAAUUUUUCGGUUUCUACAUUGCCUCAAGGAUGCUAACAUCUUACUACAGUGGGUCUUGGACCGGACCUUUUCUGCAGAGCUCCUUCCAUUGCCUGCCAUGAACUUUUGCAUUUUUGACUUAUAGGCACUCGUUAUUUCUUUCUUGUGUUGUAUUCAAUAAAAAUAAAUACCAUGUUCCUUGACUAUAAUUUUGUGUAUACAAGGGUAACUGAAACAUUCAAAGCCUUGCUUUCGGCUUCCCUAGCUAAGCCACAAUGAUGUUUUUCUAUCCUUUGGGCACUGAGAAAAGGCAGAUGCUGCAAAUGAAGGGGGUACACCUUACAAGACAAUGUUUGAUGCUUUUGCAGGUAAAAUUUGUAUUAGUUGUUAUGUCUGGAAGUGAUUUUAUAUUAUUAUAGUUGGUUAUUAGUUGUUAUAAGUAAUUCUGAAGUGUGGCAAUGAUUAUUUAGAGUGAAAUCUGGGCUCUGACAUACAUGAUUUAUGUUCUUUGUAAUUCUGUGCUCAUUAUCUAUGUGAGUAUGCGUUCUUGUCCUCAAUCUUUUUGCAACCUUUUCAUGUCUUUCAUAUUUUGAACUAUACGCAUUUGUGGUUUUCGUAGAACUUUAACAGACACUCCUAUACUUCUACUGCGAAACCACUUUUAAUUAUCUAUUUGCAAUAUGCUGAAUGUUCUAUCAUUAGAAAGCUACUUUCAGGAGUAUUAUAGAUGAUGAAAUAAACAUUAAAAUCCUAACAUUGAAAAAUCAAGCAAAAGGAGGAGAAAAAGUUUGCCGAGGUGUAGUUUAUAGGAAUCAUCAUUUCCUCAAUUUGACGCAGGUAUAUGAGUGAUUUUUUACUUUUGUAUUCAUUUCUCUCUUUACCAUUAUGGGAUCUGUUUUAUGACCUUUUUCGUGAAUUUCUAUGUGAAUUGCAAUUGUUGUAUAACAUCCAAUAUGAUCUUAGAAAGAUAUGAGGUGAUUAAAGAAAACUUGAUGGUUGAAAAAUCAAUUUUUCUUGUUACAUCUCAUGUCGAUGCUCCAAAUUCGAGAACCAUUUAGUUUUUGUUCUCUUAGUUAAACCUUUAAAUUACAUUAUAUUCUUUAGUUUGACUUCUUGUAUAUUAUUAUUUUGGUACAUUUCGUAGUUUUAUUUGCACCAAAUACUUUCUUUCUUUCCUUGUUUGUUGCAUGGGGCGCUUUCAAGGUAUUUUUCCUUUACAUUAUGGAUUUAUUUUUUAGUUUACUUUUUCUUCGUACAUUUUAUUUUUCUUCUCAUCAUUUGCUACUUUAUUUUAAAGUAGAUAAUUAAAUUUUAUUUAUUUACUUUUGGUGGAUGAUUUUUUUCUUUUUCCGUUUAUGAUCUCUUGGUGGUGGUUCAAAAUUUUUUUCUUUUUUUUUUUACUUGUGUAAUUUAUUUUUCUUGGAUGGUUCAAAAUAUUUUCACCAUUUUGCCGUCUGUUUAGUUUCUUUUUAUUACAUUCUUAUUUAUUAUUUUUCUAGCUUUGUUGUUUGGUUUGUCUAGUUUUUGAUGUAAGGUCACUUUUAAAAAUAGCAAAACAAAUUAAAAUAUUUAUAAUAAUAUGGCAAAAUUUUAGAUUUUCUCAAGAUAAAAUUUGAUAGACUUAUAUCAUAAUGUCUAUUAGAAGGGUAAGAAUUGUUGGAAUUUUUUGUCCUAAAACUCGUAGUUUGAUUAUAUUCUGUUUCAAUAAAGUUGUUAUUGAGAAAAAUAUUAUAAUCCUAAAUCCAAUAAAUCAAGUUCCAAGGCUAUUUUUUGAAUAAACUUUGAACUUUAUGUGUAAACAUAAACGUAGAUCAAGUUUUGACAUAUAGCCUAAAUAGUCUAUAGUAUAUGAAUAAAGGUUGGACACCUUAUUUAGAGAAACUAUGGAUGCGACCCACUUUGUAGUACAAACGAUAUUUUGAAUUUAAGGAGCAAGAUGUAAUAUUGGGGGUACAUAUAGCCUAAAUAAGGUUUUAGGAUUUAAGGCUUUUAGCGCUUAGCGCUUUUAGGGCUUGGGCUUUGAACAGCUUGUUGACUACCCAGUUUCAGUUUUAACUGAGAAAUAUGGAACACAUUGUGGAUACUGGCUUCCGGCGGUAACAUCAAUCUGUACGCAACUGCUCCUAUUUCUUCAGUAAUUUUGUAGGGUCCGUAAUAUUUAGGUGCUAACUUUUCACACUUCUUCCGAGCCAAGGAGUGUUGCCGGUAAGGUCUCAAUUUCAAGUAGACUUCAUCUCCUACCUUAAAUGUUAACUCUCAUCUAUUUCGAUCAGCCAUUUUCUUCAUCCUGUUCUGGGCUACACACAGGUGUUCUUUUAAGGCAUUGAUGGCUAAGUCACGUUCCUUCAGCAGCGUGUCAACCUCAUUAUUAGGAGUUUUCUUGUAACCAUAGGAUAACAGGGGAGGAGGCGGUCUGCGGUAUACCGUCUGGAAAGGGGUCAUUUUGGUGGAUGCAUGGAAGGUGGUAUUAUACCACAAUUCUGCCCAUAGAAUCAGUUUAUCCCGUUUUUUUUGGUUGUUCAUUACAGAAACAUCGCAGAUAAGUUUCGAGACAUCUAUUUACCCUUUUUGUCUGCCCAUCAGUUUGUGACUGAAACGCGGUACUCCUCUUUAGAAUAGUUCCCAUAGUUGCAAACAGUUCCUUCCAAAAAUUACUAAGAAAGAUUUUAUCCCGAUCUGUGAUAAUCGACAAAAUUACUUAGGAUAAUCGCCUAGUAGGUCUUUAGAAUAGUUCCCAUCAGCCGUGCUUGCUUACUAUUUUGUCGAUGAAUAUGGAAGCAACUUGCUUGGCUGAAAACGGAUGUCUCAAUGAUAUAAAGUAAGAAUACUUACUCAGCCGAUCAACUACCACCAUGAUCACAUUAACCCCUCCAGCUAGUGGCAACCCCUCAAUAAAGUCCAUGGUCCAAUCUUCUAAGAUUCUGUCAGGAAUUGGAAUUGGUUGAAGUACCCCAGCUGGUUUGGUUGCUUCGUAUUUGUUUCUCUGGCAGAUCUCGCAUUGUUCCACAUAUUUCUUUAUUUCAGCCUUCAUACCCCUCCAAUAUAGUUCUCCACUGACCCUCUUGUAAGUUCUUAAAAAUCCAGAAUGUCCCCCGAGGAUAGAAUCGUGGAAAGUAUGUAGGAUCUUGGGUAUAAGUGUAGAAGUUUGAGAUACUACCAUUCUCCCCUUAUAGAGCAAUCUUCCUUUUUCCACUUGAAACUUGCUUCCUUCUGCAUUUUUCUUCAGAUUUUCCAUAAUUUUCUUAAGUUCAGCAUCAUUCUCAACUUCCUGCUCGAUUAGUUUCACAUCAAUGAUUCCAGUAGUUGUCAAGCUGUGCAGCUCCACCGGUUGCUCCAUUCUAGAUAGGGCGUCCGCUGCCUUGUUCUGAAGUCUGGGUUGAUAUAAAAUCUCGAAAUCAUAUCCAAGGAGCUUUGUCAACCAUUUCUGGAAUUGGGGUUGUACCUCUCUCUGUUCAAGCAAGAAUUUAAGAGCCUUUUGAUCUGAAAGUAUGGUGAACUUCCUGCCCAGCAAAUAAUGCCUCCAUUUCUGAACUGAUAGAACUACAGCCAUCAACUCUCUUUCAUAGAUGGAUUUGUUUUGAGCCCUUGUGGAUAACUUCUGACUGAAAAAGGCAAUCGGGUGGCCAUUUUGAGAGAUCACCGCUCCUAACCCUACGCCAGAUGCAUCAGUUUCGAUAAUAAAGGGAAUUUUCCAAUCUGGUAAUGCCAACACUGGUAGAGUAGUCAUUGCUAGCUUCAAAUUUUCGAAGGCAGUAUUUGCUUCUUCAUUCCACUUAAAAGCAUUCUUCUGUAAUAACUUGGUUAGCGGUGCAGCGAUCUCUCCAUAACCCUUGACAAACCUCCUAUAAUAUCCUGUUAGUCCUAAGAAGCCCCGCAGACCAGAUAUAUUCGUUGGUGGUGGCCAAUUAAUCAUCUUCUUGAUCUUAUCCUCAUCUGCCUCAACUCCUCUUUUGGAUAUCAUAUGUCCCAAGUACUGUAUUUGAGAAUGGGCUAUAACGCUUUUUUUUUUUUUUGUUAGCAAACAGCUGCUUAUCCUUAAAAACAUUGAAUACCAUGCCCAAAUCCUUUGCGUGUUCAUCUAUAUCCGCACGAUAAACCAGUAUAUCAUCAAAGAACACCAAAACACAGCGCCGAAGGAAAGGUUUAAAUACCGGGUUCAUCAAAGAUUAGAAGGUUGCCGGAGCAUUCGUGAGACCAAACGGCAUUACUAGAAACUCAUAGUGCCCUUCAUGUGUGCAGAACGCAGUUUUCUCCACAUCUUCCUCUUUCAUUCUAAUCUGGUGAUAACCAGAUUUCAGAUCUAAUUUCGAGAAAAUCGUUGCCCCAUUCAGCUCAUCUAAUAAUUCCUCUAUCACAGGAAUUGGGAAGUUAUCCGAUACUGUCGCCUGAUUUAACUUGCGGUAAUCGACACAAAAUCGCAAUCCACCAUCUUUUUUCUUCACUAACAACACCGGGCUGGAGUAAGGGCUAUGACUAGGGCGAAUAACCCCGGCUUGAAGCAUCUCGACCACCAGUUUUUCUAUUUCUUCUUUCUGCACAUGACCGUAUUUGUAAGGUCUUACGUUGAUAGGUUUAUGGUCAGGUAGGGUUAAUAUUCGAUGAUCAAUAGCUCUUUUUGGAGGUAAUUUCUUAGGUGUCUCAAAUAUCUCCGCAUAAUACUUGAGCAGGGAUCGGAUCAUAGGUAUUUCCUCCUCAUCUCCUUUUAAUCUUGUCCCCAUUUCAUAUUCAUUCUCUACUUCCAUCUCAUAAUUCUGGAAUUCUAAGAGGAAGCCUUGAUCUUCUAUAUCCCACGUUUUUUCCAAUGUCUUCAAAGAACAUUCAGGUUUCACUAAGGAUGGAUCUCCUCUUAACACGAUUUGCUUGUCUUUUGCCCAAAAGGUCAUGGUUAAUGAUGGCCAAUGUACCUUCAUUGUGCCGGUGGUAUCUAGCCAUUGCAUCCCUAAAAUCACGUCAAUAUUUCCUAGUUCCACCACUAGAAAAUCAGUUAUAACUGUCGUUUCUUUCAAUCUCAGUUCCACCUUUCUGCAAAUACCUUUCCCUUUACAGCGGGUCCCGUCUCCAAUAGUCACUCCAAAUUGUGUACCGGGUUCAAUGUUCAACCCUCCUACCAUUGCCACUGCUUCAUGGAUGAAGUUGUUCGUAGCUCCACUGUCGAUGAGAAUCACCACCUCCCUUCCUUUUACAUGCCCCUUCAGUUUCAUUGUCCCUUUGGAUGUUAACCCCGUGAGUGUCUUCAAUUCAAUUUCGGUGGUUUCAGCAACAACUAACUGGUUCAGCUCCAUUACUUCUUCGGUCUCUUCCAUUUUGACUUCCUCUCCGCCACUCUCUUCUUCGUUAAGUAUAAAUAACAUUAAUUCCCUUUUCUCUCUCAUCUUGCAUCGGUGUCCCGGUGAGUACUUCUCAUUGCAUCUAAAACACAAACCCUUGUCCAAUCUUGCUCUGAAUUCCGUGUCCGAGAGUCUUUUAACUGGAGGUUCAUUUUUCUGGUAGUUUCCUUUAAUGGGAAAAGUGACUUGCUUCAUGGGGAACUCAGUCUUCUUUGGUGAACUUUUAUCUUGACUGCUUUGUCCCUUGCUUGAGCCUCCUCCUUCCCUAGUCACACUGUUUACUCAUUCUGCCUUGGCUAAUUUCAAGGCUAGGUUUCUGUCACUUACCAGUUGUGCGUCCUUCAUACAUUCCUCUAAGGUUUGAGGAUGUCUACUAAUAACUUCUGCUUGAAGAGCCGAUUCUAAACCUGUCACGAAUGCAUCUAAGAGCACGCUUUCAGCCAUGUGCGGUAGUGGUGCAGAAUAUUGUACAAAUUUCUUGACAUAAUCAUUAUAGGAUCCAUCUUGUUCUAUUCGAAUCAGCCUUGCACCUAAGCUCUUCUGCCCAGAAUCUCGAAAAAAUUCAAACAUCCUUACCUUCAAAUCUUCCCAUCCUUCCACCUUCUUUCUAUGGUUACUCCAACGGUACCAAUCGAUUUCAUCUUGUCCAAAACUAACCACUGCUACUUUCACUUUUUCUGCUUCCGGUAGGCUAUUAAUUUCGAAAAAAUGCUCAGCUCUAAACACCCAUGACUCAGGAUUUUCCCGGUGAAAAUCGGCAUUUCCAGUUUCUUAUAUUUGCUUCGGUCGACAGUUACUACAUUGUUUUCCCCUGGAUUGUCGGCUUCUUCCCAUUUUCCUUUUAACUUCAUGACUGAUCCAUCAGAAGUUCCGGAUUCAUCUCGCCUUUUGUAGCUGCUGUUUUCUUUCAUUUCAUCAGCCAGUCUAUCCAUGGAUUUCUUCAUUUCCAGAAUCAUUUCCUUCAAUCCCAGUAUUUCUUUCUCUGUUCCAGCUGUUCUUUCUUCUAUUUGCCUUUGCGCCAUCAGUCGCGUCACCACCCCCAACGUUUGGGCUCUGAUACCAGUUGUAGAGACUCCACAAAUAAAAUACUAAAUUACCCAAACAGUUGGCAAACAGAGACAGCACUCUGUAGAUCUUUAUUUAUAUAUAAAUGCCAAAAGAUACAGUAGAAGGAAAUAUAAAAGAAAGCAAUAAAGAUGAUAACAUCAUGUCAAACCUCCCCACGAAAAGAUAGUAGUCCUUCCUAGACCUAGCAGCCUCUAUAGACCAAAUGAAGACAAGAAGUUAACCUAGCCCCCAAUCCCGAUAAGGCCUUAUUUAUAACUCUUUUCUCAUUCUUCCCCGUGGGACCCACUCUCAUGUUCUUUUCCUAAUAUUCUCCCCUUUUCUGCUGCCUGAGCUUUUACGUUUUUACCCCUCCUUUUGUAUGUAUGGAUAAUAGGGGGCCUUACAAAUUUCUUCCAACACUAUGAAACAUUUAUGUUAUAGUUUUAUUAUUGUUAAACAUCAUUGUAAUUUCCAAACACAACUCUGCCAAAGUUCCCAAGAUAGUUCUAUAGCAAUGUUCCACUGCUAUCUUGCAAGUGAUGUGGAACUCCUUUGCUUUUUUGAAUAGUAAGCUGGCCUUCCUCUUUUGUUAUGCUUUGUUUUAUUCUUAAUACUUGCUUUUAUCUUCGCCUAUUUCAUUCCUAGUUGAUAUAUUACAUAGUCCUCUUAAAUCUACAUUCUUUUUCUGUUUUAUGAUUCACUUGAGUUUAAUGACUAACUUUGGCGAAAUAAUGUUUAACUAUAUUAGAUGUUUUGCAUCUAAACCUCAAUUGAAAAGGUUUGUUACCUGUAUCAUUAUAAGGUUUCCAUGAUUUGUUACCUGUAUCAUUAAAAAUAUUGGGUCGGGUGCAUUUGCUUACACACCAUUCCAUGGCCAGCAGCAGAGGUUGUACUCUACGAUUCAAUUCCUUUCCUAAUCACAAUUUUGAUAGAUUUGUUUCUGAAAAACAAUAUUUAACUUCCUAUUUUUUUGUUUUUUGAUAAAUCUAUUAGUAUAUUUGAUGUAAACUAUAGCUAGUUAGUUAGUAAAAAUCCCUAACUAAUUAGAAAUACAGCUGUAACUAACUUCCUAAAACAGUCUUGUAACUAACUAAAUAAAACAACCUUGUAACUAACUUGUAACUAACCUUGAGAUAUCAAUAUAUAACAGUCUCCUAGCCUGAAAUAUGGCAGAGAAUUCUUUUGAAAAAUCAAUCCAACUUGAAUUACAUCAAAUUGGUAUCAGAGCAGCCCCGAUUCUUGGACGGAAUGGCUGGCCGAAGAGUUAACAACCCUGCCACGGGGGAAAACCGUGUGCAAGAAGCGGCGGAGGAAAUCACCGUCCUCUCUCCAAAGACAUCAACAGUUCGCUUGCUGGCUGUUGAAGAAUCUUUGGGAGAUCUCCACAACAAAUUUGAUAGGUUGAUGGAAAGUGUCGAACUGUUAAACCGAAGAGGAGAAUUCCCACAGCCACCACCACGGAAUGAAAUUAACUUCCAAAACGACCAACGUUUUGGUGAAGCAAGAGGCCGGCGAGCAAGGGGAUACAUUAGAAACAUGAACAACCCACGAGGACUUCAAAGAAGGAGACCCGGUUACGCUAUACAGCAACAACUUGACGAAGACUUUCAAGAAGAUCAAGAAGCUUGGCAAGAAACCCAAGAAGAUGAUUCUUCAAGCGGGGAUGAACAAGGAAACAUGUGGAACUUCAAUGAUGAAGCACGAGCAGGAAGAAAUAACCGAAGAAUUGAGGCCAGAAGAGGAGAAUACCACGAUUAUAAGAUGAAGAUUGACCUUCCCAUGUAUGAUGGCAAACGAAACAUAGAAGCAUUCUCGGACUGGAUAAAGAGUACUGAAAACUUCUUCAACUACAUGGAUACGCCUGAACGCAAGAAAGUCCACCUGGUAGCCUUAAAAUUAAGGGCUGGUGCAUCAGCUUGGUAGGAUCAGUUAGAAAUCAAUAGACAAAGAUGCGGGAAACAACCGGUUCGCUCAUGGGAAAAGAUGAAAAAAUUGCUGAAGGCAAGAUUCUUACCACCAAACUACGAACAAACUUUAUACAAUCAGUACCAAAACUGCCGCCAAGGUGUCCGGACAGUAGCUGAGUACAUUGAAGAAUUCCACCGCCUGAGUGCAAGAACAAACCUAAGCGAAAAUGAACAGCACCAGGUUGCAAGAUUUGUGGGAGGCCUUCGAUUCGACAUCAAGGAAAAGGUCAGACUACAACCAUUCCGUUUCCUAUCUGAAGCAAUAUCAUUUGCAGAAACGGUAGAGGAGAUGAUUGCAAUCCGAUCCAAGAAUCUAAAUAGAAGAUCAGCAUGGGAAACAAAUUCGACAAAAAGCAAAACAAACGACCAACCUUCAACCUCAACAAAAGCAAAAGGGAAAGAGAUUGAUAAUCAAGAAGUAGCCGUUGAAAGAAAGAAAGAACAGACGUUCAAGCCUAGUGGUCAGAACAGCUACUCCCGCCCGUCAUUAGGAAAAUGCUUCCGAUGUGGCCAAACUGGCCACCUGUCCAACAACUGUCCGCAAAGAAAAACCAUUGCAAUAGCCGAAGAAGGAGGACAGACAAGUGAAGACAGUAUAGAAGCAGAGGAAGAAACUGAACUGAUUGAAGCAGAUGAUGGGGAAAGGGUCUCUUGUGUUAUCCAACGGUUACUAAUUACGCCCAAGGAAGAAAAGAACCUGCAACGCCACUGUCUUUUCAAGACAAGAUGCACCAUAAACGGAAGAGUAUGUGAGGUAAUCAUAGACAGCGGCAGCAGCGAAAACUUCGUAGCAAAGAAAUUAGUAACAGUCUUGAAUCUAAAGGCUGAAGCACAUAUGAGUUUCAAUGGAUGGGAAGAAAGGUAGUCUUACUCCCUAUAACGAAAAAGAUUAACGAAGGGUUAAGAGGUGAGAAACAGUUAUUCAUCACUGUUAGUGGGAAAAACAUGCUUAAAGAAAGGGAAGAAGACAUCCUAGGACUGGUUGUUAUUGAAAAAACCAAAGAAAAACAGGUUGAAGACAUAGAACCCAAAUUACAGCAGCUCCUUCAUGAGUUCCCUCAUAUAAAGGAAGAACCGAAGGGACUCCCACCCCUUCGAGAUAUACAGUACCACGUAGACUUGAUUCCGGGAGCAUCACUACCAAAUUUGGCUCACUAUAGGAUGAGCCCCCAGGAGUACAAAAUACUUCAUGAUCAUAUUGAGGAAUUACUAAAGAAAGGGCACAUCAAACCUAGCCUCAGCCCGUGUGCAGUACCAGCACUUCUCACGCCAAAGAAAGAUGGAAGCUGGAGAAUGUGCGUUGACAGCAGAGCCAUCAACCGCAUCACGGUAAAGUAUAGAUUUCCCAUUCCAAGGAUUAGUGACCUGCUAGAUCAACUCGGUAAAGCCAGUAUCUUUUCGAAAAUUGACUUGAAAAGUGGCUAUCAUCAAAUACGGGUAAGACCUGGCGACGAAUGGAAGACAGCCCUCAAGACAAACGAAGGAUUAUUUGAAUGGAUGGUCAUGCCAUUCGGCCUUUCUAAUGCACCCAGCACCUUCAUGAGAUUGAUGAACCAGGUACUUCACCCAUUUCUCAACAAAUUCAUAGUAGUUUACUUCGAUGACAUACUUGUUUACAGCACAAACAAUGAUGAGCAUUUACUACACCUAAGGAAGCUGUUUCAAGUCUUAACAGAGGCGGAACUCUACAUAAAUACUAAGAAAAGCAUGUUUAUGAAAAAAGAAAUUGCAUUCCUCGGCUUUAUAAUCAAACAAGGAAGCAUAAGCAUGGAACCAAAGAAAAUCGAAGCCAUCCAUACAUGGCCGACUCCUGCCUCCAUUAAAGAAAUACAAGCCUUCCUCGGCCUGGCUUCGUUUUACAGGAAAUUCAUCAGAAAUUUCAGCUCUUUAGCCGCACCACUAACUGACUGUCUAAAGAAAGGAAACUUCAAAUGGACCCCAUUACAACAAGAAAGCUUUGAAGAUAUCAAAAAGAAGCUCACAUCCAGCCCUAUCCUUAAAUUACCAGAUUUCUCUUCACCUUUUGAAGUAGCAGUUGAUGCAUGCUGUACAGGGAUUGGAGCUGUCCUAGUACAACAAGGACAUCCUAUCGAAUACUUCAGUGAAAAACUCAGCACCGCAAGACAGACCUGGAGCACAUACGAACAAGAGCUGUAUGCCCUCGUCCGAGCACUAGAACAAUGGGAACACUACCUGAUCUCUAAAGAAUUUGUACUCCUAACUGACCAUUUCUCACUAAAAUACUUUCAAGCUCAAAAGAAUAUCAGUAGGAUGCAGCACGCUGGAUAUCCUUCCUCCAAAGGUUUGACUUCGUGAUCAAACACCAAUCAGGCAAAGAGAACAAGGUGGCCGAUGCUCUAAGCAGAAAAGGCUCCCUACUCACAAUACUGUCCUCGGAAAUCAUAGCAUUCAAACAUUUACCCGACUUAUACGAAGGUGAUACUGACUUCAAGGAUAUCUGGUACAAAUGCUCCAACUUCUUAGACGCUGAUGACUACCACAUUGUUGAAGGAUAUCUAUUUAAAGGAGAACAAUUAUGCAUCCCGCACACCUCACUACGUGAAGCCUUAAUAAAGGAAGCACAUUCUGGAGGGCUAGCUGGACAUUUCGGACAGAACAAGACAUUGGAGAUCACUUCCAAACGAUACUACUGGCCGCAAAUAAGAAAAGACUCCAAUAAUUUCGUAAAAAGAUGCCCCAUCUGCCAAAGAACCAAAGGCUCCAGCACGAAUCCAGGAUUAUACUCGCCACUACCCAUCCCGACCUCAAUUUGGGAAGAUUUAUCAAUUGACUUCGUGAUUGGAUUACCAAAAACACAAAGACAAUUUGACUCAAUAAUGGUCAUAGUGGACAGAUUCAGCAAAAUGACACAUUUCGUAGCAUGCAAAAAGACAAAUGAUGCAAUCUACAUAGCCAACCUCUUCUUUAAAGAAGUAGUACGACUACAUGGAGUACCUAAAAGCAUAGUAUCAGACAGAGAUGUCAAGUUCCUGAGUCACUUUUGGCGAACACUGUGGAAGAAGUUUGACACAACACUGAAAUUCAGCACCACAGCCCACCCACAGACAGAUGGACAAACUGAAGUAACAAACAGGACCCUCGGUAAUCUGCUACGCUGCCUUAGCGGGUCAAAACCAAAACAAUGGGAUCUAGCAUUGGCUCAAGCUGAAUUCGCCUUCAAUAAUAUGAAGAACAGAUCAACAGGAAAGUCCCCCUUCGAAGUAGUUUAUACCAAACUACCACGAUUAACCUUUGAUCUCACUACACUCCCCACAACCGUGGAUCUCAACAACGAAGCAGAAUGCAUGGCAGAAAAUAUCAAAAAACUACCCAAGGAAGUCCAUGAUCAUCUUAUACAGACAACAGACUCCUACAAAAAGGCAGCAGAUAAAAAAGAAGACAAGCCCACUUCAAUAAAGGAGACCUAGUAAUGGUACACCUGAAAAAGAGCAGAUUUCCUACUGGCACCUACAACAAGCUGAAAGACAGACAAAUUGGGUCAUUCCCUAUAUUAGAGAAAUACGGAGAUAAUGCCUUCAAGAUCGAUCUACCACAAGACAUACACAUACACCCAGUCUUCAAUGUUGCUGAUCUAAAGCCAUACCAUGCACCAGAUCGUUUCAGGCUUGCUGACUGAUGGACCCUGGGACAAGUCCAUCCUUAGGGGGGUGGAAUGAUGUAAACUAUAGCUAGUUAGUUAGUAAAAAUCCCUAACUAAUUAGAAAUACAGCUGUAACUAACUUUCUAAAACAGUCUUGUAACUAACUAAAUAAAACAACCUUUUAACUAACUAAAUAAAACAACCUUGUAACUAACCUUGAGAUAUCAAUAUAUAACAGUCUCCUAGCCUGAAAUAUGGCAGAGAAUUCUUUUGAAAAAUCAAUCCAACUUGAAUUACAUCAAUAUUGGUAAAAUGGUCUAUCGAUAAUGAAAAUCUAUAACUAAUACACAAGUGAUGGACUAACAAUUUAAAAUAUCAUCGUAUUUAUAAAUCACGUGGUUUUGUGACAUAUUUGCUAAUGCCAUAGAAACCUAAAUUAUAUAUACAUUUUAGGUUAGUCACGAUUUUGAGUCUAGAGUUUAGACUUUAGAGAAGCGUCGUAAAUGAACUCUUUAAUCUUUCAGGCCUUUGCGUCUGGAUCUAUAAUACAAUUGUUAAUUUCCUCUAUUCGUGAACAAAUUUAACUAUAUGUUAGUGAAUAAUCGCAUAAAUCUCAUUGUCGUUUCUUACCGUUCACAUUUUUACUUUUGAAAAUACUUUUGUUAUCAACUUAUCUAUGACAAUUAUCUUUAAACGAAAGAUUCUUUUUAAGUCGUCAUGUAUGAAACGAAGUGAUCUUUUCGUUCAUAUUCUUAACAGGUCGGUCUCUCUCCUGCUAUUCAAAAUCUUAGUACUGCCACAUCGAUGAAGAUGACCAAGGUUUUCCAAGCGUUUCUCAUGCUCCAACCCCAACUCGUAGACCUUAUCCACGAGAUGCAGCCAGAUUGUAUCGUUUCUGACGUCUUUUACCCAUGGACGAGUGAUGUGGCAGCCGAGCUCAGAAUCCCACGGCUUGCCUUCAACGGUUCAAGCUUCUUCAGUUAUUGUGCGGAACAAUGUAUAAAGGAGCAUAAGCCACAUCUUGAAGUUGAAUCCAACAAUGAAAAGUUCAAACUUCCGGGGUUGCCUGAUGUUAUUGAAAUGGUGAGAUCUGAGUUGCCAAGUUGGAUCACUAGACAUAAACCAGAUGGUUUCUCACAAUUGCUUGAUGUCAUUAGAGAAUCAGAGAAACGAUGCUAUGGAAUGUUGAUGAAUCGCUUUCAUGAAUUGGAAGCCUCAUAUGAAGAACACUUGAAUAAGGUGAGGUUUACCUCAAACCAUUGUAUAUAACUACACAUUACUCGUUUCUUAACGUAAUCUUUUGGUUUUGAAAUUUUGUACUUGAUUUAUGAUCACGAUUUCGUUAGAAUUAUAUUAUUCAUAUUUUUUUAAAAAAAGAGAAUAUUUGAGAACAAAAAUUACAUCUUGAAGUAUAUAUUUGUUUAGAAGCUUGAUUUUUAGAAGUUGUUAAUUAAGCUUAUUCACAUAUUUUUAAAACACACUUGAAUUCUAAGUUAAAGUUUUUCAAGAAAACUACAAAUUUUACUUUAAGAACGUGUUUUUAAAAGGGUUGUUGUCAAAUAAUACAACAUGAGACAAAUUAUUUACUUAUGUAGCAUGAAAUUUUAUUGUCUAAUAAACACUAAUAAUAUAUAGAAAUAGACAUGUGAUAAAUAAAAAAAUUAUCAUUACGUUGGCCUGUUGCACCCAGCCUUGUAUAUCUCCUUCGGUCGCAAAGAAGAAAAAAAUAUUCAAAUUAUCGUUUUUAAAAAAGAGAAGUUUGUCACGUGGUAACGUGUAAUCUGGACAUUGAAUAAGCUAUACAAAAUAGAUGGAGCUCAAGAUGCACCCAAAUAUUUUUGAAUUGAUUCGAGACUUCGAGGAUUUGUUUUUAUUAUUAUUAUUAUUGUUUGAUAGAUUAUAGGGAUCAAAACAUGGAGCAUAGGGCCAGUAUCAUUGUUGGCAAACAAUGAAAUUGAAGAUAAAGAAUCAAGAGGUGGAAACCCCAACAUUCAAACCACCAACUUACUCCAAUGGCUCAAUGAGAAAGAACCAAAUUCAGUUCUCUACAUCAACUUCGGAAGCUUGAUUCAGAUGAGUCGUAACCAAAUAACCGAAAUAGCACAUGCGAUUCAAGAAUCCAGUCAAAGUUUCAUUUGGGUCAUAAAAAAGAACGACGAAGACAACGAUGACGACAUAGUAAACAAAGGGUUACAAAAAGGGUUUGAGGAGAGAAUGAGUAGAACCAAAAAGGGUUUGAUAAUAAAGGGAUGGGCUCCACAAUUGAUGAUAUUAGAGCACAAAAGUGUUGGAGGGUUUUUGACUCAUUGUGGUUGGAACUCAAUUCUUGAAGGAAUAAGUUCAGGCUUACCAAUGAUCACAUGGCCAUUGUUUGCUGAACAGUUUUACAAUGAGAAGUUGUUGAUUGAAGUGGUGAAGAUUGGAGUGGGAGUUGGGUCAAAGAAAUGGUGGCAUUUGGGAGAAGAACCAGAAAUUAUUAAGAGGGAAGAGAUUGGUAAGGCCAUAGCUUUUUUUGAUGGGUGAAAGUGUUGAAGCUUUGGAAAUGAGAGAGCUAAAGAAAUGGGAGAGGCUGCAAAAACAAGUGUGAAUUGUGGUGGUUUCUCUCAUACCAACUUGGUUUUCAUUGUUUGAGGAACUUCAAGAAAUGAAGCUUAAGAGAGUGAGGAAUGGUCAGAAGAAUACUUAGAUGUUUGUCAAAGGAUAAAGUAUUGUUUUUCUUUAGGUCAGUCUAUUCAAUCGAACGGCUAUAGUUUGUUGUAAGGUAAAGUAUUUUUGUUUCUAAAUAUAUUUUGAGUUACUUUUACUAUGCGACUAAGUGAGUUGUACUAUUGUAAAUCUUCUACAUUUAGUUUAUGAGAUGCAUGUUCAUGUUUAAAAAUAUUUUGUGAUUCACCCGAGUGUCAAAUUAUUAAUUAUCCUCUAGUAAACUUUUUUUAAAGAUAAGAAUUAUUUUGUGAUCAAGGAGAUGUACAAAGUUUGUUGGACUAAAGUUGGAUAAUAUAAGAAUUUGUUUUCUUCUAUUGGCUUAAGGCCUUGGUUCCAAUUUAAUUAAGAAUCACUUCUAGAAUCUUAGUUGAGAUUUUCUUAAACAUUUGACGAAGUCUACAAAAUGUGUUAGAAUAGAAUUUGUAAUCGUAACAAAUACUCUAAAUUGAUUCUCAUGUUUUGCAUGAUAUUUUUCAAACCAAGUCCAAGGACGUAAAUUUAUAAGCUUAUGGAAGUUUAUUGAUUAGAUUACUAAAUCCUAUAUUGAUUUAAAUUAUACAACCUUCCAAGCGUAGGGGCAUAAAUUAUUUAAAAGAUAGUGAAUUUGUUAUCAAGCUGUCAAUAUUGAUGUAGAAAAAAGCUUUUUGGAGAAUCUUUAUUUCAAGAAGGAAGCUGCCCUUCCUAGAAUCAAUUUGAGCAUUAACAUGGCUUUUAGAAUCAAUUUGAGCAUUAACAUGGUUUUUAGUCGUUGGAAGCUGCAAAGAGAGCGUUCCUAGAAGAUGAAUGUUGAUGUUGCAUGGUUGGAGAACACUCAUAGAGGGUGGGACUGGUUGAAUUAUUCGUGAUUGGGAACCCAGUUAGGGUUGGGUGCUUUCCAAUGUCUUUCAAUUGGUCAAUCCAUGCAUGAGACGAGUAUCAUAUGCUAAUGUCAUAGUCAAUUACUUAAGUCACACCUUGGUUUUCCAACUUAUGUUGGGGUUUAGUAGAACAAAGUUGUCCUAUAAUCAAGUAGGUUUGUCUUCUUCAUUUGGGAAUUCCUCUUUCUAGGAGAGUUUUUCUCCUUUUAUAUUAUCUCUCAUUCUCGGGAGGGAUUUAUGAUAUAUGUAUGAAGAAAAAACAAGUGAAUACUACUAACAGAGAGUGAACCACGAGUUUUUAAGUACAACAAUCGAGGUAUGAAGGAUCGAACCUCCCAUCUCUAAGAAUUUUCGUGGGGAUCCUCUCCGCUUUUCUUGCCUAAGCAAAACCCGACCCGCCUAGUAGGUCCUUAGAGUUUUUCACCCGGCAUGGCAGCCGGUAGAGAGGGAGAGAGAAAAAAAAAAGAGGGAGCCAAGCCAGCCGCUUAGGUCAAGUAAAAUGCGCGCCGAGAUCCCCCGGUUUCAGAAUUUUCGUGGGGAUCCUCUCCGCUUUUCUUGCCUAAGCAAAACCCGACCCCGCCUAGUAGGUCCUUAGAGUUUUUCACCCAGCAUGGCAGCCGGUAGAGAGGGUGAGAGAAAAAAAAGAGGGAGCCAAGCCAGCCGCUUAGGUCAAGUAAAAUGCGCGCCGAGAUCCCCCGGUUUCAGAAUUUUCGUGGGGAUCCUCUCCGCUUUUCUUGCCUAAGCAAAACCCGACCCGCCUAGUAGGUCCUUAGAGUUUUUCACCCAGCAUGGCAGCCGGUAGAGAGGGAGAGAGAAAAAAAA
rnacentral:lncRNA from 1 species